AUAUUGGAGCUUGGAAAGCUCAUACCUCUUGUGGUUGUUGAUAUGGCUAGUGAAAAACAGAGAGACAAUAUUCUCUAGAAAAGUUUUAGAGGGUAGCUAUCUGUGUGAGCUGAUUUUAUGUGGUAAGAAAACAAGAGAGCUGAUGUUUGAUGAAUUAUCUCAGAUUCCCAGAUAAGGAAGUGGGGCAAUAUCCUAUGGCAUACAUUAAUAGAAAAGCAGGAAGCAAUCUGUCCGAGUCUGCGGUCAUGGAUUUCAUAGCAAAACAGGUGAGUUUAAAGCUGAUAACCCACCUGCCAUUGAAUAGUACCUACCUUAUGUAACUCAUCCAUGGAGUAAUCUUUUGUCAUUGUUCCAUUAUAACAGGUGGCUCCAUACAAGAGAAUCCGGCGAGUCGCAUUUGUAGAUUCCAUUCCCAAAAAUGCAUCAGGCAAGAUUCUGAGGAAGGAUCUCAUACAACUUGCAACCUCCAAACUCUGAGAAGUUGUCUGGGUUGCUUCUUGGGCGUCAUGGAUUUGGAAAAGUAAUAAUAAUAAUGUUGACUCCAAAUCCAUCAUGAUAACAUGUAUGUUAUAAUUUAGCCCCCCUUUUGUUUUUUCCUUCUCUUUUUGGGUUAUUGAUUGGGUUUGAUCAUUGAUGUGAAAGAUUCCAUUUGGUGUUUGGGAAAAGUAGAACAUGGAAAAGUGUCUUUGAGCAAGCGAGGAGGCUUCCCAUCAAACUCAAUUGGGGCCUAUCAGUUUGGAUUUUUCAUGUGAUUUCAUCAAGCAGAACCACACAUACACAACAUUUGUUCAAUGCAUUCUUUUUAGUUCUGCAGGGGAUUGGGCCUUUUGGCCUCGCAUGAAAGAUAAACUGGUUAUUUGGUAAUUCUUUGCCAUUCAUCAAAGUUUUUGUUUGUAAUGCCAUGUUUAAUUUCAGAAAGUUACUUAGAAAAAAAAAAGCUAAAUAAAUUGAUUUUUUUAUAUUUUAUAUUACUCUGAAAAAUAUGAAAAUAAUUAAAUUAGUUAGAAAUUUAUUUAAUUUUAAAUAGUAAUAAUUAAAAUAACACUAACAACAAUAAUGAUGAUAAUAAUAAUAAUAAAUGUUAGACGUUUAAACUAUAAUGAAACAUAAUAUAUAUAUAUAUAUUCAUUUUAUCUAUUUUGAAUGCUUUGAAUGAUUUGAAAAGAGUGACAAAAUUGAUAACAAGAAUAAUACCAAUUGAGAAAAUAAAAUUUCAAUGAUGAUACAAGUCAAGAAAGAAAAAUAUUUCCAAUCUAUUACUUGUUCUUAAAAAUAGUUUUUUGUUUUGAGAAUGAUUUUUCUGUUUUAAGAAUAAAUUUGAGAAGUUUUUGAUGAUUUUUUUUUAAUAAGAUGUGAAGUUGUUCUAGCCUUGACUAUGGGCAUCAAAGAGAUCAAACAAAGCACGAGGGGAUGAAGCUCCGUGACUCCGUCAGGACAAGUGGUAAUGGAAAGUUGGAAACAACAUCAUUUUUCAUUUUUCUCUCUUGGCGAACAGAGAAUGUUUUCCAUAAAUUGAUUCAAUUCUUCCCCCACAAGGAACUCCAAAGGCCCAUGAACCAUGGGCUCCUCCUCAGCCAUCUCCAGUAGCAUUCCAAAGAAUGGGGUGGGUGGUUCAGAUAGUAUAAAGGCACAACAAAUCUUCCUUCCUUGGUUUACUGAUCUAAAAAAUGACCCUUCUUUCUCUUCGCCAUCUCUCUACAAUCCCACCAAGCUUCCUAGGAGAGCUUCCCAUCAUAUACACUCCCACUAAAACUUCGAUUUCCUUGGUGGGUUUUUGAAGCCAAGUCCUAAACUUGAAGGUUUUGGUGGAUUUACAUGGGCGAUUGAAGAGGAUUUAUACUAAAAGAUGGGGGUCUUACUUCUUAGGCGUGGAGAUUGGUGAAUUUAUGGUGUGGAAGGAGUGGGGUGUGAUAGUGAUGUCAAUGGGAUCUUCUCCGUGCUGCAAAGGACAGAGGGAAGGGCCAAGGUUUGCUUUGAAUGCAAGAGCUAAUACUCUUACUGAUUUUGUCUCUUUCUGACUUGUGGCCGGAGAAUUUAGCUUUCUGGCUUUUUUAAAGAGAGAAAUCUCAAAAUGUAUGUACCACAUAUCUUUAAGUCAUGUUUUAUAAUUGUGGUAGUGGGGUCUGGGGCAUGUGAGCUUAAUUCAGUUGUCUUGUACCCAUACAGUGGCUUAUGAUUAACUCUCAACUGCUUCUGCCCUUGUCCAUCCUCGACACCAUUUCUCUGGUUUUCCGUAACUUAUAUACAAUAUUCUCUUGGAUGAAGCAGCAAAAUGAGUCCAAAAUGUCAUCUUCUGGAUGUGUGUUAACAUUUCGAGCAGUAUGGUUAGUCUAUACCAAUAUCAUUCCAUUUACGAUCCGGAAAAAUUAUUGAGGUUAUACAUGGAAAAGUGCUUUCAAAAACGGUUUUUAAGAAUUUUUUUUGAAAUGUUUUAUAGAUAAAAAUAUGUUUGGGUAUUUGAAAUAUUUUUAAUUUAUUUUUAAAAUAAUUUUUAUUUGUAAUGUUUUAUUUUUAAUCAUUUUUCUUAUUUAUAUAAUUAUUUUUUAAAAUUAUUUUUAAAAAAUAAGUGAAAAUAAUUGAAAAAUAUUUUUUUAAAAUACCCUUUUAUUUGUUUUCUGUUUCAAAAAAUAAAAAUCUAUUGUAAAAAAUAAUUAUCAAAUAGAAGCUUGAGUUUUAGAAACCUUUUGGCCUCUAAGUAUGGAACAUGCAUGGAUGCUAUGCCUACAUGGUUCAUAAAUAUAUAUCCUUCACUUGUAGUCUAGCUUUUCAAACCUUGAAACUCCAUGAGUUUAAUUGGCAAUUAUCUGAUGUUCAUCAGAUAUUUAGUUAGUUAACUCCUCCAACUUAAUGAUUUCUUCAUUUUUAUUUUUAUUUUGAAAAUAGAAAAUUCUCAGACAGAAAAUCAAUUACUUGUUGAUGUUUAUGAUAUUGUGGGUAAGAGUUGGGUGAGAGACAGUAGACGAAACAGAACCCCCAAUUAAAGAAAUGUUACAUGCAGGCUGAUGAAGUGACUGCUGAACUAAAAGGAAACAUGUUCACCUCCCUCAUCAUAUCCCCACCAGAGUCACCACAUGGUUUUGCUUCACAUGGGCCUGCAUAAAGCAAAGGAAAGAGAAACCUAAAAUCUAGACACAAAUUAAGGCUGUGUGAGCUACAUGAAUGCCAUGAGCCUAGCUCAUAAACAUGACCAAAUGGAAUUAUCCACUGGAAGAAGACAUGCAUUCAUGCACAUCCUCCUGGCAGAGCUGUCCCCUCCAUAGUACCAUCAUGGCCCUCUGAUUUUUUACCUCCAACUUAUUUGAUAAGUUGAUUUUUGAGAUGGAGUUGGAUGAUUUCAUUCACAAACAACAAAUAUAUGUUCAUAUAUAUAUAUAUAUAUAUACAUAGCAUGGCAAUGUGCAGACAUGCCCAUCCCCCAAACCUUCUCUCUUGUACUCCCAUCACAUGGUUGUGCAUCAAAAUUAACCAGCCACUAAGAAAACUACGCUUUAUGGUGAGUAUUGGUGCAUCAAAUAUAUAAACCCACUCCCUUCCUCCCUUCAUAUGUUACAAAUGGUUCUUGGCAUCAUAGUCCAUGCCUUAACGAAAUAUCAUGAUCAUCAACCCCAGAAUGCUCAUCCAAACGGCAAUGAAGUGGAGAAAGGCUAAUUCAAUGGGGAGAAGAAGGAGAAGAAGAAUCUCACUGCCAAGAAGAAACAGGGAUUCUAGUGAUCGAGACUGCAAAAUGGCAGUAGCCCAUAAGGGUCAUUUUGUGGUAUACACAAUUGACAAGAAAAGGUUUGUGGUUCCUUUGCGAUAUCUUAAUCAUAGAUUCAUAACAUCUUGAUGGAACUCUUCAAAAUGUCAGAAGAAGAGUUCGGAUUGCCAGCUGAAGGGCCUAUUACGUUGCCAUGUGAUGCUGUGUUCAUGGAAUAUGCUCUUUCUUUGGUGCAGCAACAUGCUUAUGAAGAAUUGUUGCAGAAGGCUCCGCUCAUUUCCAUGAUAACUAGCCGCUGCUUGACACAUUCUUUGAGCCCACAAAAUCAGAAGAGCCAACUAGCACUUCUUCCUUGCUUCUAGAUCAUCAGCCAUAAAACCCCCAUUAGCAUGCUUUAUUGCUAGCUAACUCCGUGUAUGUCACUAGAAAAAAACUCCAAUUUUUAGCUUAAUGUAGCUGUUAUUUUACCAUAAGGUUUGACGGGCAUAAAAUAUCAUUGAGGAAAAAAAAAACCAAAUGAAAAUCUGUAAAAUGGUUUGUGAUCACCACCCUUGUUUUAUACUGAUAUUUAGAUGAAAACCAGAAAAUAUAGAGAUAAGUGUAAGUACAGAUGUAGUUGGUUGUUGUUUUCUUCUUGACAGGCAUUCAUUGACAGCCACCAAAUAUUAAUGCCUAUGAUGUGUGAUAGUGAUAGUUGUGUGUAGAAUUUUCAAACAUGUCAAAUUGCUUCUAAAUACUAAAAAAAGAAAAAGGAAAAAAAAAUUCAGUCUUUUCCUUUGAAAUUUUUUGAUUCAUCACCCAAGUCCACAAAUCCGAAACAUUGCCGCCUGCAAAGUUUAUCUCAUUAGUACCAUUUGCAUGUGCAUUCCAUGUCAUGUAGCCCUACGGCCCCUACCUCAUCCUUCAUUUUCAAAACUCAAUUCACUAGUUUCCGAAUUUGCAUUCAACCUCACACCCCCAAUCAAACUUCUGUAAAAUUUAUGUACAAAUAAUUUACCAAAAAGAAGAAGAAGCUGAGGAAAAUGAGUUUUCCUACUUCUGUAUAUUUUUCAAUUUUUUUUCUUGACUCCAAAAAAAAAAAAAAAAUGUUGGGGGGCUACUUGACUAAAAUGAGGAAGAAGAAGAGGGAAAAAAGCAUUGCCUCAAUCCAUGUUGCUGUUGCUUCACAUGUAUGAGAAGUAUGAACCUUGAACCAUUCCUCAUUUAUUUGAAUUGCUUGUUGCUUCCAUCACUCAUUUUCUUCAGCCAUCAGAAAAGUUUGUAGUGGAGCCAAAAUUCAAUACACCUAUGAAUCACUCGACCCCACCAAGAAAUUUGAUCGUGAACUCUCAAUAAACUCCAAAACAAGCUCACUUCCAAAAACCCAUGUCUCAAAUCAGCACACUGUUUAGCUUUAUGUACAAGUUCCCAAGAAGUUGUAUUCACUUCACAACCUCCCCUCCAAAAAACCCACUUCAAAUUCCCCGUUUCUACUCUUUCCCCAAGUUUCAGAGGGAGUGAAGCUUAGCCCCACCCCCCAACCCACGAUGAUCAGCCCAAGAAAGCUCAUGGCCAUGGCGAGAAAGUGGCAGAAGAUGGCAGGCAUUGGAAGGAGAAGAGAAAUCUCUCUACCCAAUGCCAGAAACACUAGAUUAGCUGAUAAGGGUCAUUUUGUGGUUUACUCCAUGGAUAAGCGAAGGUUCAUGGUGCCAUUGGCGUAUUUGAGUAGCAGCAUUUUUAUAGAGCUGUUGAGGAUGUCUGAAGAAGAGUUUGGGCUGCCCGGAGAUGGGCCUAUCACUUUGCCUUUUGAUGCUGCGACCAUGGAGUAUAUGGUUUCAAUGGUUGGAAGACACGUCUCUGAAGAGUUGGAGAAGGCUUUGCUUGUUUCAUUGGCGAAUACUACAAGUCUCUGCUUUGCAACUGCUUCUGUUUACGGAGGACUGAGGAGCAGAAUCAUUGUUCAAGGAUUGUGAACUCCCUGAUUUCGAGAGGGCUUCUUUUUUCCUUUUUUUUUUUUUUUUAUUCUUCUGAAUUGUUAAUACAAUUUUGGAUCAAUUGUAAAUCUUGUGAUUUCUUGUAAAGAAAUAAUGCUCUGUUUUUCUUUUUAUUUUCACGGUAUGCUCCUUUGGAUUUAACAAUGAGUAGCAAAGAGUAAGAGUUUACGAUAAUUAUUAUAUGAUAAUUAUUGUACAAAGCACUUUUAGGUGGUGUUGGCAUUUUUACUUAAUUUUAAAUAAAACUUUAAUAUUCAAUAGUUUUAAAUAUUAGGUUAUUUAUUUUUGUAAUAUUUUAUUUUUAUUAAGUAUUAAAAAGUAAAAAAAAAAUAAUAUGUUAUUUUUUUCUAUUUAGAAAAAGUUAUAUAUUUUGACUUUUUCUAUUUAGUAAAAAGUUUAUAAUAAAACAUAAAAAAAAUAGAAAAAUAAAUAACCUAAAUUCUAAAAAUAAAUUGUUUUCAAUAAAAAAUAAAAAAAAAUAAACACCACAUCUUAAACAUAUUGAUAAAAAAAAAUGAUUGUUUGAAAAAAUUUAGAAAAUAAAUUUUAAAAUUAUUUAUAAUAUUUUAUAAAAAAAUUUUGAUAAAUUAUACUUCUAAAAAUAUUCUCAGAGAAAACAUUUUUACUAAAAAUAUUUUGAAUAAAAAUAAUGUCAAAUGCACUUUAACAUUUAUAAUUGUACAAAAGAGAAAAAGUAAAUUAAAUAAGUAAAUAAGAAAAUUAAUUACUAGAUUAAAAGUUCUUUAUUAUUUUUAGAUUAGGGGAAAAUGUAAGUGUAUUUUUAAAGCUAGAAAACUAUUUAACUUUUUUUCUUUGUUUUGAGAAAAAAAAAUUACUUUUAAGAAUAAUUUACAAAUAGGUCCAAAUUAACCAUGGGAGGAUAUUAUUCAUUUAAAUUGAUUUAUAUGUUAUAUAUAUAUAUAGGCCUCAAAAUUUAUCAUAAUUUUAUUUUUACGUUGAUUUUGAACCUAAUUUUAUUCUUAAUUUUUAAAUUCUAAUUACAUGUAGUAUUUUUUACCAUUCAUCAUUUAAUUUUUAGUUUUUUAUUUUAUAUAUUAUAUUAUUUUAUUAUUAUUACUAUUAUUGCUAUUAUUGUUUUAUUCCAUUUUAUUUUUAUUUUAUUUAUCAUUAUUUUUUUUCUUCUUUUCUCUCUCCUCUCUCUUUCUACCUUCUCCAACCACCCCACCCACUCUCUCUCCCUCCCUCCCGUACCCCUCGUCCCACGACCCUACCCUAUUUUUUGUUUUUUGUUAUUAUUUUUUUCCCUUUCUUCUUCUUUCCCAUUCUUCAUCAUUUUUUUUUUCCAGCAUCACUCCGCACACUCCACUCCACUCACAGCCAACUUCCACACACAACCCUAAUUUUUUUUCUCUUUCCUUACUCCCACACGGCCAGCUCCCCAUUAUUUUUCUUUUUUCUUCUGCUUCCUCCACUCUUCCUCUACACCACUCCCUACACUCCACGACUCCCAUUCCCAACCGGUUGCUCAUAUCCUACUCCUCUCUUCCAUUUUUAUUUUUUCUUUUCCGAACUCCCACACACGCCGGCCCCUAGAUUUUUUUCCUUCUCCAUUUUUUUUCUCCUUCUUCUUCUUCCACACACUGCCACACGCCCCCUCAUUUUUUCCUUCAUUCUAUGUCUUUUUAUUUCCCGUGAAACCCAUCUCCAUAUCCACGGCUGGUUAGUCAUGGCCAACGAGCUUCCACCGGCAAUGCUAUUUCCGGCCGUCGGCACACCCAUUUUUCAUUAUUAUUACUAUUUUUUCUUUAUUUUUCUUCAUUUGAUUUUAAUAGUAAUUAUUAUUGAAAUUAGGCUUGUGCAUUUAUAUUUGUUUGUGUGCCUUAUAUUUGAGUUUUGUUAAUUAGUAUGUAAUUAAGGUUAAUAUGAAAUUUGAGAUAAUUUAUUAUUGAUGAAUUAAUUUAUAAUUAACCAAUUUGGGUUAGAUUAAUUGAUAAUUUAUAUGAUUGUGCUCAUUUUAAUUAUUUAAUUUGGACAUGAUAUAAUAUUAUAGUAUAUUUUGGCUGUGAGUUUACAUAUUAAAUUGAGUUUAUUUUGGUAAUCGAUUUAGGUUUACAUAUUAAAUUUAGGUUUGGAUUAUGAGAUAUUAAAUUUAAGCUAAUUUGAAGUUUGAAUUUGGGCUCAAAUAUUUGUUUUAGACUUUAUACAUUUCUGGAUAUUUACAUUUGUACUAUUUUUGUUGCAUGAAUCCAUUUUGUAAUUUUGUUGGCUGAGUACGGAUUUAUGACACAUGGAGCAUGAAAAAGUUAUAGGAAGAAAUCGAUGCUUAUUUGGAUACAUAUUUUAUUUCCCACUUUUAUUUGAUCUUAUUUUUAUUAGUUCUUAUAAAUAUUCAUUUUAUAUAUAUUUAUUGAGUGUGUAUAAAAUUGAAUAUCGAACAAAUCAGAAAUUUUGUUUAAAUAAGAGGAAUAAUUUAGUAAAUAUGUUUUAAUAAAAUAAUAAUUUUAAAAUAUUCUUUUUAAUAAAAGAAAGUUUUUUUUUAUUAAUAUAAAUUUAGAAAAUGCAUUUAGAAAAAUCUAAAAGAAUUGUUUUUAAUAGAAUUUGAAAAAUUGUUUUUAAUAAAAUUGUUCAAAAAUUUCUUUGUUUAAUAAAAAUUGUCCAAAAAUUGUUUUUGUAAAUAAAGUUGUCCCAAAAAUUAAUUUUUAAUAAAAUUGUCCAAUUUUUUUUUAAAUAAAUUCUUUUUGCUUAAUUAAAAUAGAAUUAAAAUUAAUUUUUAGGAAUAAGAGAUUGAAACUUUUUUCUUUUUAAUUAAAAAUUCUUUUGUAAAUGAAUUUUUUAUUUUUAUUUUUUUGUAUAAGUCAUUUUUCUUAAAUGAAAACAAAUUGAAAUACUUUUGUACAUAAAAUUGUAAAAAUUCAUUAUUUUUUAGUAAAAACAAUUAAAAAUAAUUUUUAUUGUCAAAUUAAAAUUUUGUAAUAAAUUAUUCUGAUAUAAUAAGUGUAGAAUAUAAACGAAAUUGAAUCAAACCACUUGAAGAAAAUAAAUAAACUAUUUUCUUGUAAAUAAAUAAGUUGAAAUCAUUAAUUCAAUUUUUUUUAAAAAACAAAAUCCUUUGAAAUUUUGUGAAAACUAAUUUUUGCAUAAAUCACUUUGCAUAAUUCUCUCGUCAUUUAUUUUGUACAUGCUUGUAAUUAGAUUUCAUCAUUAUAUUUGUAUAUAUUGAUUUGUUCUUUUUCUUGAUAUUCAUGAUUAAUUAAUUAAUUGUCACAAUUUCUUUAAUUUGUUUAGUAGAGAUCGUAUGUAUACGGGCUUAGAGAGGUGUUAUGGCUCACCACCGUACAUUUUCAAUAAGUAACCUAACCCCCACUCGGUUUUUAAUAGACCUGUUUUCCUUUAGGAGUUACAUUUAGGGUUUUUAUUUUUUUAUUUUUUCCUUUAAAAAAUAAAACAAAAAUAAGUGCGGACUUCACCAAAUAAAAGCGAGUCUCGCCGUCGAGUGAGGACGCACGUGAAAAACGUGGGUCCACAAUAUCCUAAUCAUUAUUUAUUAUUUUUAUUUUAAUUAUUGCAUAAAAUAUAUUUAUAGUAGACUAAGUAAUAUUUUGAUAUAAGUUUAUAUAUAAAAUGCCUUAUUAGCAUUGAUGAAACGGUGAAAAAUAACAAUAAAUGUGAAGUUAAAUUUGAAAAAAUUGAGGGUAAAUAUGUAAAUUGGAUGUAGAAUAUUUUUCAUCAUAAUUUUGGGCCAUGGUGGGUCGGUAUUGGACCUUUCCAAUUUGAACUGACCGAGCCCAAUGGGCCUCCUAGAAGGUCGGUCCAAAACUUUUCCUAACUUUCAUUUGAAUAUUAAAACUAAUAAACAAGAGAUAUUGGAAAAAAGAAUUAAUGAAUUCAAUUUAUACGAUCUCUAAGUUUAAAUUUUGCCGCUUACGUCACAAUCCAGAAAGUCUUCAACAAAGUCUAAAUAAUGUUGUUUUUUAUUUUCGUCAAAGCCAUAGAUAAAUCAUUUAAUAAUGACAAGAACAUCCGGAUGAUCCCCCAAAAAUGGAAAGCGCCGUUGUAACGCGUCAUCCCCAUCUACAUCCUUCCCUAUUUAUUUAAAUCUAUUUUAAUCCUUAUUAAAAAAAUCAUUUUAAAAUUUUUUAUUUUAAUUAUAUUCAAAAUAAAUAUAACUUAUAAAUAUAUAAAUAUUAUUUUAAAUUUUUGUAACUUGAUUUUUUUUAGAAUUAGAUUUUUUUUUUAAAUUUUAUGUGUCAAAAAAGGAAAAAUGAAAAAGAUUAAACUAACUCAAAGCUAAGACUUGAAACCGAAACUAAAAUCAUAAUAUUUAAAAAAUAAUAUUAGUAUUAGUAUUGUAAAUAUUUCAUUAAUUAUAAAAUAGUUACGUGGAGGGUGCCAUUUAUAAGUAAUUUAUUUAAUUAUUUUAGUAAAUUUUGAAAGUCAAUAUGAGGUAGUUGGCAUUUAGGGUGGGGUUUAUUUCUCCAAGUCUGAGUGAAGAUGACGUGGGCAUGGCCACUUGCUUUUUUAUUUUAUUAUAUUUUAUUUCAAUGUAAAUAUUUUCGAAGGGAAAGAAAAAGACGUGACGCCGUUAAGAAAAAUAAUUACAAUGUGAUAGAGGAUUAGGAGACUAGGGGUGUUUUUAAUUAGUUCUGUCUAGCAAGCGUGGAACUACGUUUUCUUUCAUUCAUUAUUUAUUUUCCAGCUUUUCCAGAAGCUUCCAGUGAUCAAACUGGGCUCCACACUCCAUCAUGUGGUCACGGGUCUCACACCUCACCCUUCACGUGCCUCAUCUACUUUUGAACCAUUCAUCUCUCCAUUUCAUUUAUGAAAAAUGAAAGGAAAUAUCCAAUCGACAAACAAAUAGGGUAUGUUUGGUUUCAAAGAAAAUUUACGGGAAAAUAAAGAAAAUAUAUAUAUAUAUAUAUAUAAAAGAAAAAAAUUUCAAACUCAUUAUAUUUAUUUUAAUUUAUCAAUAUAAAAGAUUAAAUAAUUUUAAAAUAUAUAAAAUUUUAUUUAACUUUUUAAAUAUUUUUCAUAAAAUAAUCAAACAUGAAUUUUUUUUUUCAUUCUUUUAUAUUUUUCGGAAACCAAACUGUGGACCACUACGGCAAGCUGCAUGUCUAAUAAAAGGACUCGGGGGUCAAUCAGGGGUCAAUUUACUACCUACUCCGAGCCCACACGCAUGACCCCAUUUUUGUAUGACUACCUUUGGGCCAUGUGUCAUCUCCCAUUUCUUCAUCUUUGAUUUUGAAAAUAAUUUUCUAAACUUUAGUUUUUCAAAUAAUUUUAAUUUUCAAAUUUUCAUUCUUAGAAUUUUUUUUUAUUAGGUUCCAAAAAUCCAUUUUGCAAUAAAAUUUGUUGCCUUUUUUUUUUUCGACAAGCAUCAUUUCACAUUUUCUUUUAUUUUUAAAAUAUUUUGAAAUAAGCAUGAAUUUAAUUUUGUAAUUCCAAGUGAUGUAAUUUAUGGAAUUGAUUCAUGCAAAAAUAAAUCGGGUUUUGGUAGGGCCCAACAUGUAUGAUUUUCUCAUUGAUUGAUUUAUUGAUAUGUUGUAUUGACUUGCCUCACUCUACGACAUGCAUACGAUUAUUCUAUGUUCGUUCAGUAACCUUUGUUUUCCAUAAAACAAUCAACUCAUUACUUAGAUACACUCUCUGUCUUUUUUGUUUAUUUGAUUAUUUUUAGAUUGAUAUUCUUUUGGUAUCCAUGUUUAAUCAAUUAAUUGUCAUAUUUGAUUCAUUUUCUUUAAUAGAGACUCGUUUUAUGGGCUUAAAAAGGGUGUUACGGCUUUUACUAUACCUUCUCAAUAAUUAACCUGACCCCCGAGUCUAGAUUUGGUUUUUCACAUAACCAUCUUUUCCAAAUAAGGAGUCAUACUUAGAUUUUUUUUCUUCUUAUUUUGUUUUCCCUUUAAAAAUAAAACAAAAUAAGUGGCUGACUUCAAAUCAUUUUCUAAAAAAUAAAAAGUAUUUUUCAAAAUAAAAAGCGAAUUGUACCAUUUAAGUGGGAACGUGCAGAAAUGCGGGAUCCACACAAACAUAAUCAUAAGUUCAUUUCACAAUUAUUUUAAUUAAUCAGGACUACUUUUUAAUAGGAAAUGAGAUAAAUAAGAAACAAACAAAACUCACACGUCCCAUUUCAUUUGUUGUAGUCAAUACAUUAGAUUGUGGACCAUGAUUUGAUGACAAUCGAUAUUCAAAGCUCAAUUAUUUGAGAAGUUGUCCUGAGCUUUGAAGUUUGAAGUAGAUUCUUUGGUGUUCAUGAGUCUCAAAAGUCCACCCAAGUGAUUAGUAUAUAACAGACAAUACUUGUAUGACAAAAUAUGCCAAGAAAAGCAACAUAUUAAUUCCGUUACCGCGCUACGUGAUCAGUAGUGACUUGGUAACCAGAAGUGAAUUCAGUUGUGGUAGGUAGGCAAAUUUUGAUUGAUUUUUCCUGUUGUCUUUUCAAAAAUCAGUUAGCCAUUAUUUUUCCCGCCGCAGAAGUCUUGGUGCCGUUGCAACAAAGUCAAUCGUUCCAUAGAAAUUUAAUGUUGCUUGAUUUGGACAUUGACCAUAUAAAAUACGAUACCCUUAAAAUCAGCUCACUCACCUCCCAAAUCUGCAGUCGCAGUUUCACUGUUGAUUCUCAUAUUUUGAUAUCAAAAUAUAAACAACCUGAUGCCUAACGUGACACCAUUGUUGCUUUCAAAAGCUCCCUUCUCCCUUGGGCAUUUCUAAAAGUUGGAUUUAGAGAAACAUCUGAAAGUCUUCAUGUCACGGGCCAAUCUUUAUUUGUCCAUUUUUGUUUUAGUUGGGUUAAUCAGUUUAAUAAAGUUUUUAUGGAUCACAAUAACAGUUUAAGUAUUAAUAUGUACAGAACGAUGGAUAGUGAUUUUAGGGUUUUAUCUUAUUCAUAUUAUUAUAAUGUAUUUGAUAUUAAUUUUUAAAAAUGUUUUAUUAUUUUUAAUAUUUAAAUAAUAAAAUUUUUCUAAAUAUUAAAAAAAGUUAAAAGCAUAUUAUUGUAGACAAACUUUUAAUUGAUAGUUUAAAAAACGUAUAAGGUAUUUGACAAAAUUUAUAAAAUAAUUUAAAAAAUUUCAAAAAAUCACUUGUAAUAUUUCAUAAAAAAAUUUGAUCGGUGGUUAUCUCAAAAUCAGUUUUGGAGAAAACAUUUCUAUUAAAAUAAUAUUAAAAACGUUCUUAAUUUUUGGAAUAAAUUAUAAAAAAAAUUAAUAAUAUUUUUUAAAAGGAAGAUUGUUUUAAAAGAUUGUUACAAAUAUAAAAAAUCCUGCUAUAGGGUUGGGAGAUGGGUGCAAUUAUUCUUGAAAACUGAACUCAAACCCGUGUUCAUUUUUGUGGAUGUUUUGGUAUUUAUUAUAUAUCCUGAUUUCUGUAUGACACUUCAUUGUGGCACGACCCAUAGGAAUUAAUGUGAAUCAUUUCAACACAAUUCUCAUAAAUAUUUUCAGAGGGAAUAGCUCAGAAAUGCAACUUUAUGGUCAAAAUGAACUGUCCCCUACUUGGAAAAUCCAAAAAAUAAGAUCCAGUUCCCAUUUAUUAUUUUAACUUGUUCUGAAAUUUCUUCCCCUCCAAGACUUUUCCAUAUCAAUCAGUCAAACUGCCAUAUCAAUAAUUCCUUAGAUGCCGGUCUGUAAAAGUUGUCCACCCCCAGAGAGUUUAUUCCAAGCUCUUGCAUGAAGGAAAAAGCCAUAUAUAUUGAAGUUUAGGCCCCUAAGGCUGGUGCGUGUGAAGAAGAAGCUAUGGGUGAGGUAGUUGAAGAGAGUAAUAAUAUUAUUACUCUACUGAGAGUAGAGAUGGAGUCGCCGGCGGCGGAGGAGCAGGAGCUGGUAGUGUCGGCGCCACCCAUGCAGUUGCAGGAUAAUUCACCAUAUUUGUCGGGGAAACCACUGCUGUUAGUAGAACACCCAGAUGUUACUACGAGAAGAGGAGGGACUCAUUCUUUGACUCCCUUCUUCACACCAUUGGGCAGCCCAAUAAGAAGGGCUAUACAGAUGACCAAGUUUGAUCCUCAGGAUGCAUGGCUUCCCAUUACUGAAUCCAGAAAUGGAAACGCCUUCUACGCUGCCUUUCAUACUCUUUGCUCCGGGAUUGGGAUUCAAGCCCUUGUCCUUCCUGUUUCCUUCACCAUUCUUGGCUGGUAAGAAAUUUUCUAUUUUUUUUCAUAAUAAAAAAUUCUGAUUUUGGCCAGAAAUGCUGAUGUAUAUGUGUAUAUUUUUUCCUUGAGCAGGACAUGGGGAGUAAUAUGCUUGACAAUAGCAUUUGUAUGGCAGAUGUAUACACUGUGGUUGUUGGUGAAGCUGCAUGACUCCCCUGAAACUGGGGUACGUUACAGCAGAUACCUCCACAUCUGCCAGGCUACUUUUGGUAAAGAUCUUUCCCACCUCCUACCGCAUAGCAUAUUAUCCUACCCAGGGAUAGGUCAUAAGCAUGUAAAAAAGAAAGAAAAAAUCGAAAUUUUGACCAAGUACUUACAAAUUUUCUAUGUGCAUAGUCAAAUAAGUAGAUGGGUAAUUUAAAGGUACUAGAUCUCACCAGUAUUGGUACCCAUGAAUGAUACUUUUGCAGCUGGCACACAUUUUUUCUUCCAACGUAUUUAAUAUUUAUUGAGAGUCACCAUCAAAACCAUGGUAUCCAUGCACCAAGUCAACAGUAGAUCAUGAUGUCAAGGGCAGUGCCAUUUUUACAAGAAUUCGGGGUUAUAUUGCCCUUCCCCCAAACAAGCAAGCAUAUUGGUACGGUCUUAGAGUUCCAAUGUAGUAGCAUGGCCCGUGCCACGACGCCAUGGACAAGACUCAAAGGGAGUCAGCUUGCAUGCCAUAAAUACCAAAGACUCUAGGCUCUAUGUUGUAUGUAUGGUGUGCAUAGGGUUGUCACACGGGUCAUAUGGCUACGUCGAAACUCUAGGGCUAUGACAAUAUGUCUUGAAUAUCUUUUGAGUUUAUUAUUAAAAGUAGCAUUAUUUUAAAUUAAUUUGAAAUCACAUUUUAAAAAUAUAGUUUUUUUUUUUAUAAAAAUUAAAAGCCACAACUUCAAAAUCAAUGCAUAAUUUUAAAAUACAAUUUGUAAAGUAAUAUUGAAACCACAAUUUUAAAAUACGAUUUUAAUUUUUUUAAUUUAAAAAACGAUGAAGUAUAAGAAUUAUUUUGAAUACAUGUUUUAAAAUAAAUCCGAAAGUUACAAUUUUUAUGGCCAUAAGGACAUUUUGAACCAACGUGACAUGACAAGCAUAUCAACAUUUUGAAUUUUGCAGGCAACAAACUUGGGAAGCUGAUGGCCCUCUUUCCAAUAAUGUACCUCUCCGGAGGCACAUGCGUGGCGUUGAUCAUCGUGGGUGGCUCAACCCUGAAGCUUUUCUUCCAGAUCAUAUGCGGCCACGGCUGCAAUGCGAAGCCACUCACCACCCUGGAAUGGUACUUGGUCUUUACAUGCGCUGCUGUGCUUCUAUCUCAGCUCCCCAACUUGAACUCCAUCGCUGGGGUCUCAUUGAUUGGCGCUGCCACAGCCAUUGCGUACUGUACAAUAAUGUGGCUCGUGGCUGUCACUGAGGGCAGGCUUGAAGGCGUGUCAUACGACCCAGUGAGACCAGUUGAAAAUGUGGCUUUGAUUUUUGGGGUUCUGAACGCCCUUGGGAUCAUCGCUUUUGCUUUCAGGGGCCACAACCUUAUACUUGAAAUCCAGGUAUAUAUAAUACAACAUAAAACUGAAGAUAAUGCAUGGAAAAUGUGGGUUAUUGUAUUGAGUUUUCUGAAUAUAUUUUUAUGCAGGCGACCAUGCCUUCAAGUGAAAAGCGUACGACCUACGUGCCAAUGUGGAGAGGGGUGAAAGUAGCGUAUUUAAUCAUAGCAUUGUGUUUAUUUCCCCUUGCGAUAGGAGGAUACUGGGCUUAUGGCCAAAAGGUAUAUAUAAACCCUAUUUUUCCAAUAUCAUUUGAGGGUAUUUCUUAAAGGUUAAACCUUAUUUUUAAGGAUUUAAUUUGAUUUGUUUCAGAUACCUGAAAAUGGUGGCAUGCUGACGGCAAUUUACUUGUACCAUGGGCGAGACACUUCCCAAUUUGUUCUAGCACUGACAAGCUUACUAGUCAUAAUCAACUCUGUGAGCUCGUUCCAAAUCUACGGUAUGCCGAUGUUCGACGACAUGGAGUCCAAGUAUACCAAGAGGAAAAACAAGCCAUGCCCAUGGUGGCUCCGGGCAUUGUUCCGAACCAUGUUCGGAUACGGGUGCUUCUUUGUGGCUGUAGCCAUGCCAUUCUUGGGAAGCUUUGCAGGCCUCACAGGAGGCGUUGCAGUGCCAGUGACCUUUGCAUAUCCAUGUUUCCUAUGGCUGAAGAUAAAGAAGCCCAAGAAGUACAGCAUGAUGUGGGUUCUGAACUGGGUUCUGGGAGCUUCAGGCAUGGUGUUGAGUGUUGUACUGAUAGCUGCUGGGGUUUAUGUUGUGAUUGAUACUGGUAUUAAGGUGAGCUUUUUCAAGCCCUAGUACUAGGAAAAACCAGUAGUCUCAUGGGAGGAAGAAAUUAAGCUAAUUAAUUAACUGGAUUUUAAGGCUUUGAUCUUUGUCAAGUUGUAAUGCUGUGUGUAUAUCCUCUACUUGUGUAUAUGUGUGCAAAUAAUUGUUACAGAUGCCACUUUAUCAUAUAGUUGAUUCAAAGAGGUCUAAUGAAGGGAAAAUUUGGAUACUUUAUGAGGAUAAAAUUAUUUUAAAUUAAUAUGGUUUUUAAAAAAUUGAUGAUAAUAGAUUCUGGUGAAGUGAAAUCUACAUUCUUAAAGAACCUUUCAAAGUAGUGGUGGAACCAGAAAUGGAGGUAGGGGCACAAAUAGAAGAGUUCUUUCAUGGGACAAUUGACAAGAAGUGAGGAGACAACGGUACCUAGUCUAAUGAAAAGCUUGCUUUUCCUUUAUAUAUAUAUAUGAGGUAGCAUUUAGUGUAAUGAAAAACUUGCUUUUUCUUUAUAUAUGAGGUGUGGUAUUUAGUCUAAUGAAAAGCUUGUCUUCCCUUUGUACAUAAGCUAACAAAAGCAAUCCCAUCCCUUCAUUUUAUUUUUCCGAGGGACAACAUAUAUAUGCCUCCCUCUCCUGGGCCUAAGCUAAUUCCAUUGUUAAACCCAUCUAAUAAUUCUUUGCUUUUUUUUUUUUUUUUUUGAAAGAAUUCACCUCCGAGUCAUUUUUACUAUUUGUUGAAGUUUUAAUCCAAAUAAACGUAAUAUAUAUUAUUAAUUAAUGUAAUGCAUAGUAAUUUACACUUUUUGAGUUAAGUUGGUUAUUUAGUAUAAUAUCUUAAUUGAAAAUGCCAGUGUAGUGAGAGAGGGUGUUAGGACUUAGGACCACCAUCAAAGUAAACUUAAUAAACAUGAUGAGUGAGUCCAUUGCCCACCUACUUAAAUCAUUUAAGCUAAAGUAAUAGACAAACACCAUUUAAGGUUUUUCUCAAAUGGUCCUCCCUUCACCCCAUUGAUGGCUCUGAAGUGAAAAGCAAUUGCACCAUGUUCAAAAGCCAGAUUGGAUGGGAUUUGGGUGUUUAAAAGAAGGCAUAUCUGGGCUAUAAUAUAUCCUGGUAGAUUAGUAGCUAGGUAUGAGUUAUUCUUAUUUUAUUACACUGAGAAUGUUAAAGGUCAAGUUCUAUCCGAUUAGUUUGCAGGAGUUUAAAGGGGUCAUAACCCCUAAAAUUUUCUUUUAUUUACUAAAUAAUGUGUUUAUCCUUAUUAUAUUUUUAACCCUUUUAUAAUUUAAAAUUUUAUUUUAAAAAAUGACAGAAAAGUUGGUGCAGUUGCAAUUGAAAGAGAAAAAGUCUUUACUAUUAUAAUUCUUUUUUUUAUUUAAUUAAUAAAUUCACGUAAUAUCAUAUUGAUCUUCGAACUAUGUUAAAAAUCCAUUGCCUUUUUCUUUAUUUUUGCUAAUGUGAACCCCCCACAUUAGGCUUUAUACAAAGAGUGAUAUUAAUCAAAAGUGAUAUUAAAAAGUAUAUAAUGGUGGCUCACGACUUCUUUUUCUCCUUGGAAAUAAAACAAAAACCAGGGGCCCUACUGCCAUCUUUUUGACUGGGAACAUGGCAACAAGGUCCAAAGCAGUAAAGUGCACGCCCUUGUUUCACAUCACUUUAAUAUUACUUUUUUUUUUUUUUUUUUUUUGGGUUUUUUGAUGUCUCCUUCUAUUUUCUUGAUGAGGUUUCAUUGACAGAAUAAGAUUUUUUUUUUUUUUUUAGAAAAAAAAAAAGAAACAAAAAAAUUCACAGAAGGAAUAUGCCCCGGUAGUUGAGAUCAACCGAUUACUGUGCAUGAUGAUCUUCACAACUGUUGAUUACCUUUUAAGGUUUUGUUUGGGUGGGGAUUUAAAAUAGGGUCAUACUUUGACUCUUUAAUCAAUUAUCCUUUUUAAAUUAAACCUUUCAAAUCAAUCGCAUCCAAAUACAUGAAUCUUAGAAUUGGUAAUGUCAUGUUAUAUACAUUGUCUAAUUAAAAUAUUCAGUGAAUGAGAUGUAAUUGAGAUGCUUGGCUUGUGUUUAUCCGGUUAAAUUAGUCUAAAUUUCUCAUCAUUUUUGACUUAUUAGUGGUUAAAUUUAUUUCUUUGCUUUGGUACGUAUUAAGUAAUCAAAAGAUUCAAAAUAAAGUAGGAAAUCUCGGUGACUUUAUCAUAUUUGAUGAAAAAUAAGGUUUUCGGAUUACUUUUUUUUUUAAUGCUUAAAAAUCUGAAUUAGUUGUUUCAAUAAUCAAUUUUUUUACUCUAAGUCGUGAAUGAAACUAGAAAUAGAAGAACUAUUUUUUUUUUCCUACAGUAUAAUUGUAUAAAAGUUUUGACCUUCAUUUUCAUGAAGAAAACUCACUUUUUUUCUUAGGAAAAAUAAUUAUGUUCUUUCAUAUUUUCUCGGAAAGAAAGAAUGAUCAAAAUAAAAAACAUAUUCAUUUUUAAUUUUUUUUUAUCAAAUACUUUUAUAACUUUCAAAAACUACUGCUUAUUUUUAUUUAAAGGUUGUGUCAAUUCACUUAAAUAGGUAUGGCUAUAUAUAGUAGGUUAGGGAUAGGUCUUCCCCGUCUCAAUCUCGCCCCAUUUAUUAAAAAUAAUUUUCAUCUUCGUCCCAUUAAAAGAAAUUCAAAAGAGUGAGGUGAAACUGGUACACAAAUUUCUCAUACCCAUCCCACCCCAUUUAUUUUUUAUUUUUGUACUUUUUUUCUAAAAAAACUUUUUUUAAUUACAAUAAAAUAAGUAUAUUUUAUAAAUAAUUCAAAUAUAAUAAUUUUUAUAACUUAUUUUAUUAAAAAAUAUUUUUUAUCAUUAUUAUGUAUAUAUAUAUAUAUAUAUAUAUAUAUAUAUAUAUAUAUAUAUAAUAGGAAAAUAAAAUUUAAAACAAACUAAUUUUUAAAAUUAAUUUUAUGUAUAAUCAAGGUGGGGGCCAAGAAAAGACAAUGUCCAAAUCUACCCUAAAUCCGAUCAUAACCCAUUUAUUUAAAUUUCAAUAUAUCCUUUUAGAGAUGAAAAAAUAUGUCCAUUACCAUCCUUAUACUCCAACUUCCAAUCCUAGCUCCAACAAUAUUAGAGAAACUACUCCUUAUUUUUGUCGGAACUAACUUCAACAAUAUUCAAGAAUCGUGGUUGUGGUACACUCACCGCCACUACCGACUCCCAAGUGUCCUUUUGCGCAAGGCAUAAGUGUGCAAGAGCCAUAUAGUCUUGUUAGUUUGACCUAGGAUACCAAAUGGACACAAAAACAAACACUAUACAUGUAGCUUAAUAAGUAUUAAUUGCAACAAACGUUAAGUACCUUAAUUGACACAAUUGUUAUAAGAUUAAAACGUUUAUCUUUCAAGACUCAUUAAAGUAUGACAAUUGUUAUAAGUUGAUAAUCAUCAACAUUAAGGAGGGUAAUAUAUACAAUCAAAUGCACCUAAAAAGACGUUAUACUUAAGCAAGAAUAAAUAGCCACUCUUGACUACAAGAAAAAUAUGCUAUCACUUUUUCAAAAAGUUUAUCUUACUCAAGCCUUCACUCUUUUAUUUAAGUUUCGAAGAGGUGUACUUGAACAAUCUAUCUCAGAGAUUGGUGGUCGGAGGUUGGUCGGACUUUACCCUUAUUGACCGUGCAACAAUAGUGGUUUUAAUCAAACUUUGGUGUUGACUCAACUUUUCUUCAAUAUGUGAGUGAAAAAUGGAAAGCCGACGAACAUGUCAAGACAAAGACCCAAAAAAAACUUGCUUUUUAAAAAGAAGAUAGUGAUUGAACAAGAAAAUUGGAAGAGAAAUUUCUCUUGUAAAUUAAAUCCUCAAGCAUUCUUCGCUUCAUAAUUGAACUAAAAAAUUCUACCCACGUUACUCACAAUUUAGUCAGUCCACUUCUAUUCCCCUUUUUAUAAAAAUAAAAAUAAAAAUAUCUUAUGGGCAGUCACCAAACCUAAGUGUUUUUAAGAUAGUUCUAUCAAAUUUAUAAAUUAGGAAGAAAAAAGAAAACCUCUAUCUACUGAGGGAACUUUAUGAUAUAAAGUCUAAAGAUCACGUAAUUAAGGAUUCACUUGUUUCAAGAUUUGAAGUUGAUAAAAAUUGCUUUCACUUUCAACAUUUUACUGACACCAACCAUCUUUUCCCAGAACAUGCAUGCAAUUAUUUGUUUUGUUUGUAUACCACCCAAAAAAAAUAAAAUUAUAUCCACAAUGAUCGCUUUUUCUAAAGCAUGCAAUUAUUUAUCUUUUUCUUUCGUUGUUUUUUUUUUUUUUUUUUAUAAUUUUUUCUUUUAACCAUUUAAAUAUCAACCAUGCAAUAUCUUCUCAACUAGUGGUAUGUCAGUUCUUGAUUUAAAAAAAAAAGAGAGAGAGAGAGAGAGAGAAGAGAUCAUCCCAAGGGGAGGCUCUACAAAACUUUCCACAGAGAAAGACGACUCCUAUUGUGCCACUUCCAAAUAGAAAACGAAACCCCUUUCUUGGAGGAAAGUGAGCACUCACCACCCAUACACAUCUUCAUCAACAACUCCCCAUUUGUCUGUAUUGGAACAUUACAUUAUACAUCAAAUUAAGUUGUCUCUCUUUAAUGCAAUGCCUCCUAAACCAGAAAAAAGGGGGAAAAAAAAAACGGAAAGAAAAAGGCAAUUUGAAUAAGAAAAAGGCAUGUAUAGAAGAAAGGAAGAAAAACAGAAGGGGAAAUUGGGAAAGUUUGGACAGCUGUUAAUAUAUGAUGGGGAAUGACGUAGUUGAAAGGUGAUCUCAGCAACCUCCAUGCACACCACCUAGUCAUGUUAUUUAAGUAUACUUGGUCUCUCUAUUAUUUUCCUUCUUUGUCUCUUAACUUUUUAGAAACGUGAAUAAUUCGGCUAAGAGUCCGUCUAUUUACUUGACCCAAGAAGCAAGUCGCUAGUUUCCAAUUUAGACACGAGGAGGGACCAGAGGUUGACCCACCUUAGUUUCUAGUCUAUUCUUCUCCAAAAAUAAAUAAUAAAAAAUUUAAAAAAGAAAGAAAGAAAGAAAGAAAAACCCCAAUGUGUUCUUGCAGCUAGCCCAUGUUUAUUUCAUUGAGUCUUUUGUGCACUAGAAUAUCACUUAAAUUGCAAAUUGCAAGGUUUGAUAUUUUUGUUUGGCUUCCAUACACUUUGGUUUUAAUUUUAUCUCUUUUGUUUUUAGAAAAUAAAAAAACAAAACAAAAAAACGGUUGAAUAAUUAUAUACCAAUAAACUCAAAAAAAUAAAAUAAAAUUCCUUCAUGUGAUUUUUUCGAAGUUGUAGAUCUCAAUUUCCCAUUCUUGAACUUGUUCAAAAUAAUUUAAUUAUUAAAAAAUUUCAUAUUUUUGUUUUUGUUUUUAACCUUUUAAAAUCAAAAUUGAAACAUAAAAAAGGUGUUGAAACAUCAAUUUUAAAAACUAUUUUCAAAAGAUGUUAUUUUCUUGUUUCCCUUUUUUAUUUUUUUAUUUUUAUUUUUACUUUUCACUCAUCUUCGUGGUGGCUGCCACAUCAAACCAUGUCCAAUUAAAACCAAUUGUGAUGAACACCAUAUAAUAAACAGCUAGCAGCCAGCAUGGGUCAGUCAAAGAUCCAGCUUUAUUGUCUACCCCACCAUUAAACCUACUCAGCUUCCAAAGCCAUCGCCUCCAAAAACACCUCUCUAUAUGUACCUCACCGAUCUACACCAUCUCCUCCAAAAAUCUCUUACCAUAAAGACUAUCCAGCAAUUGUUCUAUUCUAGUACACUAGACAGCUAGGUGUGUUGUCCAGAUGGGUGAGGUGGUUGAGGUGAAGUUGAGCCCGGUGCAGCCCUCCGGACCUCCAGUGGUGUCGGUUCCUCCGUUUCAGCUCCAUUCUCCGUCCAUGACUCGGUCGCCGCUGAUCGGUGGGGUCCCGAAAAGCCCAUUAACUUCACGGAUUCUGACUCCAUUGGCGAGCCCCAUGAAGAAGGCGAUUGCAAGCAUGCAAGGGUUCUUGGAAGAAGUUGGCCACCUCACCAAGCUUGACCCGCAAGAUGCAUGGCUUCCCAUCACUGAGUCGAGAGAUGGUAAUGCGUACUACUCGGCGUUUCACUCGCUGAGUUCCGGGAUUGGAGUCCAAGCCCUUGUGCUUCCCUUGGCUUUCACUACACUUGGCUGGUGAGUUUGAUGAAAAUCCAAAACUAGAGGUACCGAAUCAACAAACGGGUCAAAUUUGGAUUUUUCGUUCUAAUUCUGCGAUAUUGAAUUGGUUUCAGGAUCUGGGGAAUUCUUUGUCUGUCGCUGGCUUUUGGAUGGCAGCUCUAUACUCUAUGGUUGUUGAUCCAGUUGCACGAGUCGGCUUCCGGAACACGGUACAGCAGAUACCUCCGACUUUCCAUGGCUGCUUUUGGUAAGCAUGCAUGCAUUAUUGCUCUGAUAUAUUAUAUAAGAUGGCAGCUCUACGCUCAAUGGUUGUUUCUUUUAGCUAAUGGUUUAUGGGGAUCGAUGAUCCAAACUGCUGAUCAGGUGAAAAGCUGGGGAAGCUGCUGGCACUAUUUCCAACCAUGUAUCUAUCAGGAGGCACCUGCGUCACUCUCGUGAUUAUCGGUGGAGGGACCAUGAAAAUAUUUUUCCAAAUAGUCUGUGACUCCAACUGUAAUGUGAACCCGCUGACAACCAUAGAGUGGUACAUCGUCUUCACCUGCUCCGCCGUCAUCCUCGCUCAGCUUCCAAACUUGAACUCCAUCGCCGGCAUCUCACUCAUCGGUUCAAUCUCGGCCGUCACCUAUUGCACUGUGAUAUGGGUGGUGUCCGUUACCAAAGACAGGCCACAUGGCGUGUCUUAUGACCCAGUGAAGCCCACAUCGGAUGUGGCUAGGCUCUGCGGCAUCCUGAAUGCGCUUGGGAUAAUCGCAUUUGCCUUCAGAGGCCACAACCUUGUGCUCGAAAUACAGGGGACGAUGCCAUCAAGCGCAAAGCAUCCGUCACGGAAGCCAAUGUGGAGUGGCGUCAAGUUCGCUUAUUUAAUCAUAGCGAUGAGCUUGUUUCCACUUGCAGUAGGAGGCUAUUGGGCUUAUGGAAACUUGGUAAGCGCUAAACACUUUAAAACCCAGUUAUCUUUUCUUCUUGGGUCUACAAAACCAAGGGGUUUUGGGGCUAAUGAAUGAAGCUUUAAAUGGCAGAUAAAAGAAGAUGGGAUGUUCGCGGCAUUGUACAACUACCAUGGACACGACACAUCAAGAAUUAUUCUGGGUUUAACAAGCCUGCUCAUCGUGAUCAACAGCCUGACCUCGUUCCAGAUAUAUGCAAUGCCAGCAUUCGACAACCUGGAGUUUAGGUAUAUUAGCAGCAGAAACCAACCGUGCCCAUGGUGGCUCCGCUCAGGGUUCCGGGCCUUCUUUGGAUGCCUUGUUUUCUUCAUAGCUGUGGCGCUUCCGUUCUUGCCAAGUUUGGCAGGACUGAUCGGAGGGGUUGCAUUACCAGUCACUUUCGCAUAUCCUUGUUUCAUGUGGAUACAGAUUAAACAACCCCAGAAAUAUAGUGUAAUCUGGUACCUUAAUUGGGGACUGGGAUGCAUGGGGAUGGUUUUAAGUGUCCUCUUGGUCACCGGAGCAGUAUGGAGCAUCGUGACCAUGGGCAUUGAAAUCCACUUCUUCAAGCCCAAGUAGUACAAGCAAAAAGACCAUGAAUCUCUGAUCUGAACCUGGGCUCCGGAUAUAUAUAUAUAUAUAUAUAUUUGAAGCAACUGACCAGUGUAUUCCUUGGCAAGGGCCAAAGCAUAGCCACGGAGGUGAAGGAGACAGCAGUAGCAAGAAAGGUUUGAUGUCUGAGACCAGCCUACGCAAAUUGGCUUAAUUGAAAUGUGUUUGUACAUCAACAUCUAAUAUUAAAAUGUUUGCUAAAUAAAGCAGACUGCAGAACUGAUGUGCUGGUGCUGUGGUGCAUCAGCAGCAACAUAUUUUCAUUAAAAAAAUGUGCAUCACCCAGCAGUGUUUGAUCUCAUCAAGAAUCAGCAAUUCAAAACUGACAAAUAAAACACCAUCUUCCAGACAAUAACCUUCACAGGACGUUAAGAUACAGGUGGUUUACCCAAUCCUGGGAUAAAUCCAUGGAAGGAAGAAGCUCUAGACCUCAGCCACUGCUGUUCAGCCAGAGCAGCAUCUUGAAUGAUGAGAUGAACCACUUUAAUCAGCUUGUAUUUAAGUAAUCACACCAAUAAUAUUCUUUAAUCAGCUUCCUUUAAGUGCAAUUACAUAGCCAAUAAGCCAAAAGAGGAUGGGGGACCAAAAGCUAUGGUCAAGGAUUCUCACAAUUUACACAACAAAGUUGGGUCACUAUAAAAAAAAAGGGUUGCAACUCCAUAUGAUUUUACAUAGAUAAUGGAAGAAGCAUCCUCCGCUUCUUUUUCCUGUCUAGUCUUACUUGCUUUGUAAUUUUCAUGCAUAAAAGUAAUAGCAUUGUGACAAUUACUAAGAUAAAAGCAAGCCGUAUAUGCCUGAAAUAUAAAGAGACUGCUGAGAAAACCAGAAAAGCUAGAAUAACAAGUUCCCAUAUCACAAAGACCACCACGUCCACCCUGCACCCAGAAAAGGAACAUAUAUUAUCAGACGUGAUGCUCUUGUGGAAAUUUUAAUACAGAAAAAGCACAAACAGUAUUUUGAAAGACUUCAUCACAGACUUUAAAUGGACAAAAAUAUUCUGGAUAACUGGAAUUCAUGCGCCAAUUUUAUAAGAAUUUGAGUUCAUCAAAUCCUAAAAGCAAGACAACUUGGAUGAAAUAUUGAGGCACAAGGCCUAGGUUCAGAUGGCAAAGUAAUAGGACGGGGUUGAGUUAGGCCCAAUGUUAAAAACUAUACUACAAUAAUAAUAAUAGCGGCAAUAACAACAACAACCUGAUGUCAUUAUCAAGAAUUUUAUACUUUUAGUGAGCACAUAGGCACAUCAAGAUAACUUGCUCAUUUCCAUCAACCGCCCAUGCCCUGAUGCACACACUGCAGACCCAAGUUUGCUUAAUCAACACCAUAAACCAUGAGUAUCAAAGCACACCAUAAACAACUAACACCAUAUGCAUCAGACCUAGCUGUCAUAUUUUCUACACUUAAACAUUGCCAUAAUUUAUGGCACAAACACACACAGAAAAUGAGAUGGCUUGGAAUGCCUAGUGUCAAAAGUUAUGUCUAGAACCCAUGGACAUUUCCUCUCCAAUUCUUCUGCUAGUUUGGUUAGCAGCUGUCUUGAGAUAGUCUUUGAAGUUCUAUGAACUCAAAUCAAAUCUGUCCUAGGAGCUACCUAAAAAUAAGGAGUCUAAAUGAAGGAGAACACCUCUUUUCAUCAUCAAUCAAUCUGAAAAAGAGAAAAAGGGUUAAUCAAGCAGGGGUGAUCAUCAAAAACAUUUUUAGGAAGCUUAUUGUCAAGUGGGUUGGGAAAGUUACUUCUAUGUCAUAGUUCCUAAAUAAAUCCACUUGUCUCUACCUCUACAUCAUAUUCCCUACACAAAUCUGCCUAGGUCAUUUUUAGUAUUAUUUUUUUUUUUGAUAAGCAAAGGAUAUGCAUUAAAAAAGGCAAAACGCCGCACAACAUAUAGGAAGUAUACAAGGCAGCUAAGGCCUCAAAAAAGACAAAGACAAAAGAAUCACCUCCCUUUAAGUGGAAGUUAUCCACUCUAGGAAGCCUAUAAGGGAGAACGCCUCCUCACCUACAUACAAUUUGGCCCAACUCCACAAAUUACAGACAAAAAAAUUCUUUAACUUUUGAACGUUCAAACCCCCCCCCCCCCUAAAUGCUAAUCUAUUCCUCUCCUUCCACACCGUCCAAAAAAUACACAACGGAAUGGCAUCCCAUAUCUUUUUCCUUUUCUUUCCCACGAACGAUCCCCUCCAACUAGCUAAAACCUCCUUUACAUUUUUUGGAAAAACCCAUUUCACAUCAACUAAACCAAAAACAAUAUCCCAUAAAACUCUAACCACUGUACAAUGUAUCAGGAUAUGAUUUACACUUUCUUCCUCACAACCACACAAGAAACAACGAUUUGGAAGUUGUAGUCCUCUUCUUUGAAGUCUAUCCAAAGUAAGCACCUUCCCCCAUGUCGCCUCCCACCCAAAAAAAGCAACUUUAGUUGGCACCCUUGCCACCCAAAUGCUUCUUGAAGGAAAACCUAUAUCUUUAGACUUCGUCAACAAACUAUAAGCUUCCUUGACCCUGAACUGACCACUUCUUCCUUGCCUCCAAAGAACUGAGUCUUCCUCCAAGGAGGGUUUGUAACCCCUCAAUAUUUGGAGAAAAUCCCCAACCAAAUCCAGCUCCCAAUCAUUGAAGUCCCUCAAGAAGUUUAGGUUCCAAUUUCCUUGACCCAAAUUUUGAUCCCACAUUUCCUCAACCGUUGAAUUCCUUUGCGCAGCCAUACUAAAGAGAUGAGGAAAACAUUGAGACAAAGAAGAUUUUGAACACCACACAUCUGUCCAAAAUCUGAUCAUAUUGCCCUUCCCUACUCGGAAUCUCAUAUUAUCCCAACACCACUCUGAUUCUUUCAAAAUCUCCUUCCAAACCCCUGCACCAACCGCCCCAUUUGCCUUCUUGGGCCUCCAAUCAAGACCCUCCUGCCCAUACUUCACCUUGAUCACUUGUUUCCACAGAUUAUCUUUGUCACAGGCAUACCUCCAUAUCCACUUGCCAAGUAAAGCUUUGUUCAACAAAGCUAGCUUCCUCAGUCCUAACCCACCUUUAUCCUUGUCUGUACAAACCACCUCCCAUUUAACCAAAUGAACUUUCCCCUCCAUAUUUCCCCCUCCCCACAAAAAAUCCCUUUGCACUUUCUCAAUCCUUCUAACAACAACCUUGGGCAUUCUGAAAAUAGACAUUUGAUAGAUUGGCAUACUAGCCAAAGUACUUUUUAUUAAGGUGACUCUUCCUCCUUUACAAAUAUAUUGCCGUUUCCACAGAGCAAGUCUCAAUCUUACUCUCUCCUCCACCCCAUCCCAAAUAUAAGGCGCUCUAUUUGGGGCCCCUAAAGGAAGACCCAAGUACUGAGAAGGUAAAGACCCCACCCUGCAGCCUAGCUCAACAGCCAACUCCUCCAUCUCCACCACCUCUCCAACUGGAAUGAUUUCACUCUUGGCUAAAUUAAUCCUUAGGCCUGAAGCCGCUUCAAACCAGAAUAAGAUCCAACUUAAGUGAGUUAGAUGAUCCUUUCUAGCCUCACAGAAAAUAAUUGUGUCGUCAGCAAAAAACAAGUGAGAGAUGUUCAAAGGAGGGCCACUACCACCCCUUAUAUUACACCCUGAUAAAAACCCCCCCUCCACAGCUCUCCUGAUAAGGACAUCUAGCACUUCCAUCCCCAUAAUAAAGAGAUAAGGAGACAAAGGAUCUCUUUGUCUAAGACCUUUAGUGCUAGGGAAGAAACCUGCAGGCACUCCAUUAACCAACAAUGAAAAUUUAGCUGAGGAUAGGCAACUCCACAUCCACCCCACCCACUUAGGCCCAAAGCCCAUCUUUUGCAACACCUUCAACAAGAACUUCCAAUUGAUGCUGUCAUAAGCUUUCUCUAUAUCCAAUUUGCAUAUAAUGCCCUUUUCUUUUCGUUUCUGCUACGUGUCUAUCACUUCAUUUGCAAUUAAAGAAGCGUCAAGAAUUUGUCUUCCCCUCACAAAGGCAUUCUGAGAAAUGGACACCACCUUACCAACUACUUUCUUCAGUCUGUUAGUUAACACUUUAGCCAAUAACUUGUAAAGCCCCCCCCAAGAGACUAAUAGGUCUAAAGUCUCUAAGGUCCUCAGCCCCGCUUUUCUUGGGGAUCAAUACCAAGAACGUAUUGUUGAGACUCUUGAGGAAAGAGUUGUGUUCGUAGAAGUCUUUGAACAUAUCUAAAAUCUCUUCUUUAAUGAACUCCCAACAACUUUGCCAGAAUGCCAUAGUAAAGCCGUCCGGACCAGGGGCUUUAUCCCCAUUCAUCUCCAUCAAAGCCACAUGGAUUUCUUCCUCUGUAGAGGGUCUCUCCAGGUUCUCAGCCUCUUGUUGGCUGAUCUGGUCAAACUGAAGUCUCCCUAUGUCCGCCUUCCACCCCAUAUCUUCGGAAAGCAAAUUUUGAAACGCAUUAGCAAUUCCUUCCCUGAUUUCCUGCUCCUCUAGCAGCCAAUCCCCAUUUAUCUUAAUUCUCUCCAAAGAGUUAUUUCUACAGUGAGCGCUUGCCAUGCGAUGAAAGAAGCCCGUGUUUCUAUCCCCCUCCUUCAGCCAUAUUUCCCUUGAAAGCUGUCUCCAAUGAGUUUCCUCCAUAAUCACCCAUUUUCUAUAAUUAUCCUUUGCCUCUUUCUUAAGCUCUGUUUCCUCCACAGUCAAAAUUCUUUCACUUUCCUCCCUAUCCCAGAAUUCCACCUGCUGCAAGGCUAAGGUUUUGUUGCUCUCCAGCUUUCCAAAGACUUCUCUAUUCCAAACUUUCAAUUUCUGUUUGAUUUCCUCCAUCUUAGUAGCCAAUUUGUAACUAGCACUACCCCUAACCUCAAUUCCUUGCCACCAGCUGUGAACAAGAUCUUUGAAGCCCUCAACCUUAAGCCACAUAUUUUCAAAUCUGAAUGGAGUCGGGCCUCGUCUUAUCCCACCCCCCACUAACGUUAUUGGAAAAUGAUCGGAUACCGGACGGGUCAGCCUACACUGAUUAAUCCCACUAAAUUGGUCUAUCCAGCUAGGGGACACAAGGAACUUGUCUAAUCUUGCCCAAACCUGAUUGUUUUGUCCCCCAUUCUAAGUAAAUUCUCCCCCCUGAAGGGGAAUAUCCACCAGCCCAAGAUCACCCACAGUUUCAGCAAAUUUCCUCAUAGUUGAAUUCAUUCCCCUCCUGCUACUCCUUUCCCUCGGAAAUAGAGUGAUAUUAAAAUCCCCCCUAUACACCAAGGGUCUUCCCACAGCCCUCUAAUCGCCCCAAACUCAUCCCAUAAUGCAUCCCUGUCCACUUUGGAAAACGGGCCAUACACUCCCGUAAAAAUCCAGAUAGCCCCAUUUUCUACAUUCUAGAAUCUGCAAGAUAAGGUAAAUUGACCCUCUUCCCAUUCUAGAAUGUCCAAAGACCUGCUAUCCCAGCAUAUCAGAAUUCCUCCCGAAGCCCUCUUCGCAUUCACAGCUUUCCAAUCUAGGAAUCUUCCGGAGCCUAUACUUCUCGCAAUGCUAUCCGACAUAGCUUGAAUUUUAGUCUCCUGAAUACAGAUUAAGUCCACCCUCUGGUUCCUUAUGAACGUCUUAAUAACUUUUCUUUUGGAGCCAUCAUUUGCUUCCCUCACAUUCCAGCUCAGAAUUUUCAUCUUCAUUGAACAAUCACAAUUUGACGCCCUUUGCCCUGUACCGAGCCUUUCUGUUUAAUUCCCCCCUCAUAAUUUAUGGAACAUUCCAGUCUUUUUAGCUCCCUUUCAAACUUAGAUUUUUCCAGUAGCUCUUUACUAUGGAUUUUCUCCCGUCUUUUUCUGAUUUUGGUCAGAAAAUUCAAGAUUUCCUUCUCCAACCCCUCCGUAGGGAAGCUCAGGAAUUGGCUGAAUUUCGCCAAUCCACUCUCUUCCCAUUUGCCCUCCGGCUCACUUCUCUCUGCUUGGGUAUCAUAUAUGUCUCCGACCCCAACCAUCCCCCUGCCCUUCUCACUGCUACUUUUAUUUGCUUCCAAUUCCUUACAUCCAUUGCUCCUUUCAUUACAGGCCUCAUACACUGUUAACCAUAUUGUAUUAUCAGCCCGAACUUCCUCAUUCCAGUCCCCAGAAUGAUCGAAAAACUCCCCCCCUCCCCGGAGUCCGAUCAAAAAGAAUAGAGUUGAGAUGAGAGGCCCCCAAAACCCUUUUCCCCCAAGAACACAACCCCAUUCCAUACCUCAUUGAUUCCUCUUCCAGCGCCUUAUCCGUCUCUGAUAUCCUAGCCACUCCAUGUAGCUUCCUCAUAUCCUCAGUCUCCCAUGCAACAAAAGGCUCUGGCUCAUGAAGAUUACCUGAAGCGAGACCCGUCAACAGUAAGUCCAUCUUCUGAACGUUAUUUUGGACUUGGGCUUCUGAGAAAGUUGGACCCUCCCUUAGCUUUGGGCCUUUGUUUGACAAUCGAGCUUUUCGCGAAACUGGGCCUAAAGAAGAACAACCCACCUCAUCAAUCCUAUGCGACGGGCCUGCUUCAAGGCUAAUCUCACAUGCAGCCACACCUUUCAUUUUCAAGCCCAUGACUCCGCUCUUCAGACCAGGCCCAUCAGCCGUUCUUGACUCCUUUGGGCUCGCAGUUGGGCUUAAGAGAUGCAUUGUACCAGAUGGAGCAGUCCGGGUUAUCGGGCUUCUAACUGCACUGGGCACGACUCGACCCGGUCCGACCCCCUGCUCACCCGUCCCAUCAUCUGACGGGUUUAGGGUCUCGAGCCUCACGCUCACCCACUCCUUCGACACUCGCUGUUCCGCGCAUGAGAUCUCCUCACCCCUAACCUCACUGCUAUGACGAACUUCUUGUCUGCGAUUCCUCCUUAACACCGGCCGACAUUCCCACCAUAGGGACACAGCGUAGACCUCCUCCUCCGCUUCGACUUCCAGGACACUCGGUCUAGCUUCACCUCUCACUCUCACCAAGAUUCUGGCCCACUAGAGCUCGCCCAUCGUGUUCGUUUGUUCAUCGUCUGUGAUAAAGCCGCCGCAUUCAUCCCCCACUCUCUUCAAAAUCUCUGGACUCCAUAGCGAGACAGGGAGCCCAACUAAUCUCACCCAAAUUUCCUUUCCCUCUUCCUCCUCUGUCCAACAUCCACUCCUAGGACUCCAAAAAUCCAGCCCUACCUGGACUCCUUCCGUCACGCGAUUUCCAAAGGAGACAACGCGUCUAGCCUCUUCCAAAUCUUCAAAAUCCAGCAGAGCUCUUCCCUUUUCCAACUUAGCCAACCCUAAGCUGCCUUUAAGCUCCCACGAUUUUGCCCAAAGCUGCCCUAACUUCUCAAGAUCGUCUUCUGCCCCUGAGUUAUCUUUCCAACUCGCCACGAUACAGUGUUCCAAUUUCUUUAACAAACCUAUUGAUUCCUCCCUUUUCACCUUCACUACAAUUGUGUUUGGGUUACCCAACAGUGCUCGUUUUGCUAUUGUUGCAUACGAUCUUCCCCCAACAGCCUUCUCCCUGUCCUUUCCUUCCUAGGUUUCUGGUUGCCAAAGGAGCCUACCAUCUGGUUUAGCUUCUCCGCCAUGGUCAUCCACCCCCUUUUAUCCCUUCUACCUCUCGGAAUGAAAAUGCAGAACCGUUUCCUCUCUAGAUCGGAGACCCCUAGCCGUAUAAACCCCCCCGCUUUGUUUAUCCCUCGUGAUAUAGAGUACACUCUUCCCUGCUCCUUCCAUUCCCUUCCCCAUCUUGCUUCUUUCUCAUCCUUGAUACAGAGAUUCAGACCUUCAAAGAAAAACCCUAGGCUGUCCGAUCCCAAUCGGACCCAUGACGAAACCCCUCCCUUCUUCUCCACGAUGAGGACUUGGAUUUUUCCUUUUCUAUCAUCCACAAUGAUCUCGAACGCCUUGGAUUCCACUAUGAAGCUACACACCUUCCUUCUGCUUCGCGGCGCCAAGCUCUCCUCCCCCUCCUCACCAUCACACACGCCUUCGCACUCUCUCUCGUCCUCUCUCGCUCGCUCUCUCUCUCCCAUGACUCAACUUUCUUUAUUUGGUUCAACCUUUUAUAUAUAUCCAUUUUAUCUUUACAGAGCUGGUCCCUAGCAAUAAAUGAGGUGGGUUGUAGUAGGUAGGCAAAAAAAAUUAUUGCAGCCAAGCCCAAGUAACUGGGAUAAGCCUUUGUUGAGUUGAGUCAAGUUGACUCACUACAUUCAACAUGGAUAACAAAAAAAUAAGUUUCUCAAAUCAUAAAAAUAGCUGAAAUCCCAGGCUCUUUUCUGAAAUAUUAUCCACCUUCCCAAAAAUGCAACAUUCAUUUACAGUAUUUCACCACUACAAUAACAACCAAAAAUAUUCUUUAAAUUAAUUUAUGAGUUGUAAGCCAUUGUCCAAGGUUUUAAGCAUCACUGGCUAGCAAUAUCAAUACAGUUAUAUGAUACCAAUAUGCGCCAGAUCAUAGAGAGCAGUAAAACACAAUUUCUGAAAGUUUUUAGGUGUCGUAGAAGAAUAUCAGCCACGUUAGUAAACAAUUUGUAGAUGAUGCUAAUAUGUCUGCCUGAUAUUUACAAAGUUACUGGGCUCAAUAUCAACACAAUUGGAUGAUACAAUUGGUGCCACUUGUCAGACUCUAUGCAUAAAUAACAACACAUAGUUUACCAAAGUUUUCAGAUGUCACAGCCAUACUAGGAAAUCAUUCAAAGAUGAAACAUAUGUAGUACCAUCGUGUAAUAUUUAUAACAUUCAGAUGCCAAAUAUUUUUUUGAUAGAUAAACACACAGAAAAUAUAAUAAGAAAAAGGGCGCUUAAGAGGCAACCCAAAGCAUACAGGGAGUAUACAAGAGAUGCCAAAAAGCAAGAACAAAAAGAAGCAAACACUCACUAGCCCUCAACUAGAACCCAACCAAUAAAAAAAGUUGAUUAAAGGUAAAGGUCCUACAUCUAAACAAGACUUAGACCAAGACCAAAGAUUACAAACAAACGAAUUUUUCAUCCUUUGAAUAAAAAAAUCCUCAUUAACAAAAGUUAUCUUGUUUCUUUCCUUACAAAUCGUCCAAAAUAAACAAAGAGGAGCUACCAACCAAGCCUUUGUACACUUCUUGCCCACAAAGGAAUCAUGUUAACCUAAGAGAGUGUCUCUAGCCAAAAGCGGAAGGACCCAAUUAACACCAAACAAAGCAAACACAAGCUCCCACAAAACCCUCGCCUUGGAGCAAUGAAUAAGAAUGUGAUUAAUCAUCUCCUCUUCAACACAACAUAGGAAACAUCUGUUAGCUAAGUUCCACCCCCUCCUCUUGAGUUGAUCUAGGGUUAGGACCUUCCCCCAUGAAGUUUCCCAAGCAAAAAAACCCACCUUAGUAGGAACACAAGGGCUCCAAAUGAUGCUCCACGGAAACGGGACUGCACAACUAGGUUCAAGAGUAUUAUAAAAGAUUUAACAGAAAAAAUCUCAUUCUUUGACUCUUUCCACACCACCCUAUCCUCCAAACCAACAGCUAGUCUCUUUCCUUGAAGAGUCUAAAGGAGCCUCUCCACCGCCUCCACCUCCCAAUCAUUGAAAGAUCUAGAGAAACGGGGAUUCCAUCCCCCCUCUUCCCCCAAGGAAUCCCAACAAUCCGCUACCCACGCAUCUUUAGAAACCGCUAAGGCAAACAAAGAAGGAAGAGAAUCAUGAUGGGUAUUAUUUCCGCACCAUUUGUCCUUCCAAAAUCUCACCCUUCUACCAUCCCCCAUAGAGAAAGUAAUAUUUUUAAGCAUCAAGGAACCUUCCUUUCUAAUUUCCUUCCAAAACCCCACAACCUCCCAAUUUAUAGGAUCUUAUUUGAAUGUUCUCUUUAAUAAAAACCGAUCCACAAUUUUCUCACAACUAUUUGUACCUUCUAGACAAUCCAAAAGCAAUUCUACACACAUUACUACACCCUUAGGAUGCAGUAAUUGCCCCAUGCAAAUUUAGUCUAAAAAUAACCUUGGUUAAUGCAAGAGAAUCAUUUCUUACUAGUGUCACAUGCGCACUGACACAUACACAUAGAGCUGUUCUACCAUUACCAAAAUUUCCUUUUCCAAACAAGAAUCCUAUAAAAUUGAAAAUAAAAGGGUUCAUCCUCAAGAGUUUAAUUAAAAAGAUUAACAGGCUCCGGAAAGCUAUGCAACUAACCAAACUAUAAUUAGAGAAAUAAGAGACUUUAUUAUGCUUGUCACAAGAUAAGGUUUCACAAUCAAAUAUACUUAAGUUUAGGAUCCCAGACAGUAACAUGAAACAACAGUUAAAACAAAAUCUUCACUUGUAAGGUAGUCGCCGCUCAAUAAAUAAAAAAUCUUUCCAUCCAUACUCUAUUUCAAUCGAUAGGUACAUGGUCUCAUAACAACCCUUUUAUAAAUAAUUUAAAAAUAAAAAAUAAAAGUGUUUAUUUGUCACAUUGAAGCAGCCUUGGGAAAAGCACCAGUUUGCCAAAGAGACAUUAUGUUUGAGAGAAGUUGCCCAAACAAAAAGAAUUUAUACUUUACAUUUGAGAAUUCCAAUUUUGGCGAUCAAAAUGGCCAAAGGCUUCCUACUGGACAGGUCUUUGUCACUUACACAACCAAAUGAUAAAAUUUAUUUGCAUCCCAGGUUAUAUAAAGUUGGGCAACCCCUUCAGAUCAAAUAACUAAUCCAAGCCUAAAAAACAAUCAAUGAUCACCCACACCAAUAAUGCCACCAUGCCCAAACCAAUUAAUGCUUCAAUUACUUGAAUCACAUUUCCAAUUCUCCUUCCGUUAAGGUUUUUCCACCAUAAAGAUUCCCAACAGAUUGCCCAGGAGUCGUAAUAUUCCUAAUUUUCGUUUCCAUUUUCCUAUUCUUUUCUCCUAACCAAAACCCUAGCCGAUCCAAUUGAAUCCGCAGGCUAGAACUGGUUCCAGAUCAGACGGUCAAGCAUCUAGAUCUCAACCAAAACAAUUAGCGAAAACCAAAACCACGAAAAACACAAACCGAAAUUGGAGAAAUGAAACCCUAACUAGGAAACAAACCAUGAGAAUCGAAGAGAGUAAAUAAAUACCUAGAAGAAGUGAGAUUAGAAGUGGAGGAGAAGAAGGAGACGGAAGCCCAGUCAUGCUUCGAUCGAAUCUGGUACUCUCUCAGCUGUUCCGCCAAAUUCGAACGCGUUAUCAUAUCGACGCCCCUCCCCCGUCCUCCCCCGUCCCUCAAAAUCCUGUUUGUUUCUCGAGAAAUUUGUAGAUUGCUUUAAGAAGGAGAAUUUGCAGACAGGAAAAUGAGAUGAAGCAGUGAGGGCAAGAGACGAAUGAGAGCAUCAGCUUCCGUUCGUUGCGUGGACUCUUCUUUCUCGCUCGGUACGAAAUGAGAAAUGGAAUUUUCCCUUUUUUCUUUUAUCUUUUUUUUUUUUUCUUGUUUUUGAAAAAAAAUAUAUUAAUUUUGAGUUUUAAACCUACGCCAGCGGAUUUAACGGGUAGGCUGGUGGCUGGAUCACGAUGCCAAUUAUAGAUGAGCUCGUUCUUGGAUUAGGGUCACAGGCUAUGAUUUGUAAUUGGGUUGCCCAUUACGCCGAAUUAUAGGCCGAAAGUCUUAUAAGAUUUAGUGAUCUACGCUUGAGUUAAGCCCAUAUCCUAUUUAAUGGAUUCGGCCCAGAUUCAUGACUAUAUCUGGUUCAGAUAAUUUCGGCCCACCCUCAAAUGGGCCUUCAAAUCGAUAUUGUUUCAUUUCAAAACAUUUCUCUACGCAUAAAAUUUAUUAGUCUUAAUGUUACUCUUCUUUGUUUUGUUUUGUAUUUUAUCAUUUUAUGUUAAGAAAAAAAAAUUGAAAGGAAGAACCCACAAAUUAAUAAACUACCAUAAAACGAUUGAUAUAAACAUAAAUUACCGUUAAAAAAAUAUUAUUUUGACACAAAUCUUUUAAAUUCUUGAUUUAAAAAAUUGAUCAUACUAUAAAUAAUAUUAUCAUAAUGUAAAAUUUUAGUAUGACAUUCAAUAUUAUAAAUUUUUUUUCUCAAAUGGAAACCACUUAAUAUUGUUGAAUAAAAAUUCAAGUCAUUUAUUUGAGAAAGUUAUUAAAAUUGAAUUAUUAAUGUGAAUAUCAUUUUUAUAUUUUUGCAAAAAGACUGUUUUAUUAUUGUUUGUUAUAUUUUUAUCCAUUCAAAAUGCGAAAAUACACUAUUGAUUUCCUUAUCUAAAUCUUGAAAAUUUUAUAAAAAUAACAUGAAAGUAAAGGAAACAAGAUAUAAAUAAUAUGACAUAGAUAUUCAUUAAGAUAUAAAAAUAGUGAUCUAUAUACGAAGAAUGUGACCUAAGUAUUCGGCUACAAAAAACACAACUUAGGAAUGAAAAGAGCAACCUAAAUACUAAGGUAUGAAUAGUAUGACUUAGGGACGAAAGAAAUGUCCUAAACUUAAAAAUCUGGGUCAACGACGAUGCCGCUAAAGACGAAACCUGGCUGGGAAUAUCAAUAUGUGCAGCAGACAAUAGAAGAGAUGAUGUUUCAAUGGAUGAGGAAAUUUCAGCAGUGGAAGAUGGUGUCGUAACCAUGGUAGACGAGAUUGAGAGAGGAUGCAGCAGGAAAGAAAUUGCUAGAACAAUGACAGCGGCAGGUUUAGAAUCCUAAAGCUCUGAUACCAUGAAAAAACAAACGGUGGUUGUAUAGUUGUAUUAUCUCAAUUGGGUUUUACCUGAGAGUAUAUAUACAAGAAAUACAAGUACCUAUGUGCCCUUAUGUGGCAGUAAACUGGGUCUCCAAAGGGGGAGUUAAGUUCACUUCCUAGUCAGUCAAUCGUAUCAAACCCGUCUUCUCGCCGCACUCCCGACCGUGAAUCAUCGGAUUCGAAAGUGUUCUCCAAUUGGGUUAUGAGCCUUAUGAAUAGACCUUAUGGUGACAGCUAUCUCGAGCUAAUGCUCAGUAUGUCUUUGUUACUAGGAUCCUUUGCUUUCUAGGAGAUGGUACCGCAAGCUCUCAUCGCUAUAGAUGACCUAUGUACUAAGAUACGAAAAAAUAAACUUAAGUACUAAAAAAAUGAAAAAUGUAACAUUGGUACUAAGGUAUGAAUAAUGUGAUAUAGGUACCAAGGGACAAAAAAUGUAAUAAAAUUAAUAAAAAAAGAUAAUCCUAGGUACUAAAGUUGAAAAUUUUGACCUUCGUCCGAAAAAUGUGAUUUAAACAUUAAGGUGCAAAGAAUGUGACUUAGUAUUUUGACCAAGAUACAAAUAAUAUAAUCUAGGUAUGAAAAAUGUGACUUAGAUACUAAAGUAUGAAAAAAUUGAUUCAAGGUACGUAUUGAUAAUAUGACUCAAGUACAACGAACAUUACUUAGAUGCUAAAGUAUAUAUAUAAGCAACUUAGAUACUAUGGCAUGAAUAAUGUGACCUAGGUAUGAAGAAUGUGACUUAGGUAAUAAGGUAUGGAAAAUGUGACUUAAAAAUAUGACCUAGAUAUCAAGGUAUGAAAAAAGUAGCACCGGCAUGAAAAAUAUGACCAAGAUAUGAAAAAUGUUAUCAAUGUAUCAAGGAAUAAAAAAUAUGAGUAGGGCAUAAAAAAUACGACUAGAACACUGUAUGUGACUAAAAUACAUGAAAAAUGUUAUCAAGAUAUUAAGGAAUGGAAAAUAUGAUUUAAAUAUAAAGAAUGUGACUAAGGUAUAAAAAAAAUAUGACUAAGAUAUGAUAUAUAAGUAAAAUAUAUGAAAAAUAUAAUUUAAGUACAAAAAAAUAUGAUCAAGAUUCGAUAAAUGUGACUAAGGUAUCAAAUUAUAAGAAAUGUGACUUAUAAAUAAGCAAUUACCAAACAAGGCCUUAGCUUCUCUAAAAUCAAUUCAAAUGGAGCCUAAAUAUGAGAUGAGCUUCUUACAUAAGUUAUAAAACAAUUAAAAAAAAAAACAAAAAAGGCAUUAUCUUUAUUUUAUUAUAAAGCUACUUUUUCCAAUCAAAUUUUUUAGUAAAAUCAUUCAUACACAUUUGAGAACUUAUGGCAUGUUUGCAAGUUUUCAAAAACAAUUAAAAAAAAAUCAAUUUUUAAUAUUUUUAAGAUUCUAUUUAAAAACUCAAAUAUGAAAAUGAAUUUUUUUGUACUCAUUCUUCAAACAAAUAUGCAUUACAUAUAAGUUCCAAAUAUAUUCUCGUAUUUUUAAUUAUUUCUUAGAUAUUUCAAAUUUCUAAAAGAUAAUAUAUUUUCAUAAUAAAUUUUUUUUUUAAAAAAAAACUACAAAACUUUUUAAAGCAGGGAUCCAAUGAAUCCCAAGAUAGAAUUACAUUGAAACAUGCUUUAAAAUUUAAUGCUAUUCAAUUUCAAAAUUAUUAUUUCAUUCUUUGCCAUGACUUUUGGGAAAACAUAAUAUUAUUGUCCAUUGAAGGGGAGACCUUUGCAAAGUGAUAUCAUUUUUCUUACCUUCCUCUAUGUUUUAUGGCAUAAUUAUGAUAUUUGUCUCUUCAUGCUUCCAUCAAUACUUUGUAGGGAUUUUCAAGUGGCAUUAUAAUAGUGUUGAGAGCAUCAUUGCCAUUAGUGAUGGCUAAACAUUUCUACUUUCCAAGUAAGAAGGAGGGAUUUCUCCUUUAACCUUUAUUUUUCCUUCCUCCCUAUCACUUACCCUUGUGCAAGUAAAAAUGAAAAUCUUGCUUUCUCAUCUUUAUAAAAUUUUCUUCCUUAUAAAUAAAAAAAAAUUGAAUCUUCUCUUAUGUCAAACAAAUACCCUUUUUUGUUAAGAUAUUAAUGAAAUUUCAUCAUAAAUCGACAUUUGAAUUAAUAUGGCCUAACAUUAAGUAUUAUUAUGAUACCCCAAAUUUUUUUAUAUGAAAUUCAUUUUAUAAAUCAAUAUAUUUUAGUUUUAAAUUAUAAGCAUUUUCAAAAAUCUUCAUACUUAAAACUUUUACAAAUUGCAAAUAACCCAAUUAAUAAUACAACAAAAAAAAAAAUAAUAAUAAAGUAAUCACAAUUGGACGAUGGUAGAGAAUAACACAUCAAAAUCCCCUCAUUCUAAGUAAGGACAAUAGGUAACAUGCUCAAUCAUCAUUAGGACUAAAAAUCAUGAUUAAAAGUCUAUUAUAAGAAGACAAAACUUUAUUACAAAAACCUAUUUCGCCAUACACAACGGUAGAUACUCCAUAAAAUUGUCUUAAAUUACCAUUCAUACGGAUGAAAAAUGAGAAACUAACCAAGCAAUGCAAAUAGUAGAUGAUUAAAAUGGAGAAAUACACAACUUACCAUAAAACACGAGAUAUUGUAUUAUGAAUAAAUGUAACAAUUCAUAGCCAAAGUUAUCACGUUUUUAUAUCAAAAUCGAGUUUAUAACUAAACAUAAUAGGAAGAGUGUUAUAAAUACGAAUAUAUCAAAACCCUCUAACCAUAGGUUAAGGAUAAUGACAACAUGUUCAAACACUAUCAUAGUUAAAAAUCAUAAUUAAAACAUAUCACAAGAAGACAAAACCCUAUUACACAAAACUAUUUCACCGCAUUAUAUAGAGUUUGUGAGAUUAUUUUGCACUACCUUUUGAUGUGAGUGAUAGACAAGAGCCCCAUUGAUAAAGUAAAACAACUAAUUGAUAGUUACAUCCAAAAACACACCCCACCUACUGUAUGACAUGACCUUUAUUAAGAAUAGAUAUAACAACUUCUAGUCAUAUUGUAUUCUUAAAGUUUGGUAAAGUUAUACACAAUAAAUUAAAUUAGCAAGUUAAUAACUGUUCCUCAAUUUGGUUUUUAGAAUGUAAAAUGAUUAACCUUUGAGAGAACAAAACUUUAUGUUUGUGAGAAAUAAAUAUCCAUGUAGAGAAUGAAUGUUUGUCAUAAUAAAUGAUGGAAAUGAAGUUUGAUAUCGACGUUUUAAGAUAACAAAAAAAUUCUUAUAAAAAGAUGAAGUAUUUUGUGUAGGUAAGAAAGUUUGGUGAAGAUUACUAAUAAUAUUUAUUACAGUAUAUGGUAUAUAAUUUAGACACCAAAAUCUCGUAACCAAACAUUCAAACAUUCUUUUAUUUCUUCUACUUCUCUUCUUGGGGUUUCAUUUUUAUAGGUUAGUUGAAAGAAUUAAGUUCAAUGAUGGAUUUAAAAGAAUUUUUCAUCCAAUAAUCACCCCAUCAAGUUUAAUUAAAUAAAGUGAUAAAAAAGAAAAUAUUGUUAUUUAAAUUUUUAAAAACUCUCAAAUGCAGAAAAUUAAUAAAAUAAGUGAUAAUUGUUUAUUUAAAACACGUGGAUGGCAAAAAUCAUUCAAAGAGAUGUCCUCAAUUUCAAUACGCCAUUUCUAAUUUUUUUCUUUUUAAAAAUAGUCUUGUAUUUCAAGUUUAAUAAUUAGAAAAAGGAAAAAAAUUAGUACCUUCCUAUUGAUCUAUUAAUGAUAAAGGAAUGAAGGAGCUGGUGGACCAAUAGGAACUGGUCACGUGCAGGUGGAGGUGCAAGAGUCAGAGCCGUGAACCCGAUGAUUAAACAGUGACAACACCAGGCCGCCACUUGUCCACCAUGAGGCCCGCCCCAGCACACGUAUCUUGGGAAAGAGACAAGGCCCACGUCAGCCCAAUUUCAAUUUCAUAGUCGGCCCAAUUGAACCCACAUGGGGCUCUACCGCCCUACUGUGCGCCGUCAAGGCUAUACACUAAACCCAUUCACAAAUCUCGAAACUCCCCUCCUUCUUCAUCACGCAACUGCCACGUGUCACUGUCCCACACCGACCUUCCACAUUUAUCCUAUCGAGGCCGACAUUUCCUGGACCCCACAUGGACGCCCUCCCACGUCGCCCGUACACGUGGCACAUAUUCUAUUGGCGUCGGCAAGCAACUACAGCGCACCGUGUCCCUCUCCCGCUUUUCUCCUUUCUUCCUUUUCUCUUUUGACUUCAAAUUCCCCUUAACGAAUACGCAACUCCACUCGCCAGAUCUAGUAGACACGUGUAAAAUAUCACACGUGUUAUCUUCUUGUAGCGAGUAGUCUCCAAAUAUGUAAGCUUCGAGAGUUGAGUUCUCAUUUUAGGUUUUGUUAAAUGCACUCGUCCGUUACGCACGCAGCUAUCGAUUGGCCACCCCUUGGUUUAUAUUCUUAAUCGCGUCAGAUCCGCGUACGCGGUACUGUAAGCCCUUAUAAAAUCGAAUCACUCUCAGAACCAACCCAUCAUCGAGUUCUAGACGCUGCUCUGAUUGCAUUUUUCUGAAGGCUUCAUUUCUGUUGUACAACUUGGUUUGAUACUUGAUCAUCAUGGAAGAAGAGCACCACCAUAGCAAAACCCACGAGUGUGAGACCACUGUGGUGGCAGAGGAGGCUGCCGUCGAGACCAAGGAUCGUGGGAUAUUCGAUUUCUUGGGGAAGAAAGAGGAGGAGAAGCCACAGGAGGAGGUGAUUGUUACCGACUUUGAGAAGGUUACCAUUUCCGAGCCUGAGCCAAAGGUGGAGGAGGAGGAGGAGAAGAAGCAUGGACUCUUGGAGAAGCUUCACCGAUCUGAUAGCAGCUCCAGCUCUGUGAGUUUUUAUCUUAUAUCAAUGUUUUUUUUUUGUUUUUUUCCUCGUUUGUUUACAGGCUUAAUGGAGGGAAGGAUUAAAUAGUAAUUUUGUUGUUCCCUGAUAGCUGGGGGGUGAUCUCCCCGCUCCACGUAUAAAUCCUUAGACUUCAAUGACUAAUCUGCCCUCACGUUUAAAAAACUUGCAGUCGAGCGAGGAGGAAGGAGAGGGAGGAGAAAAGAAGAAGAAGAAAAAGAAGGACAAGAAGAAAAAGGAGGAGGACACUUGUGUGCCGGUGGAGAAGUGUGAUGAAGUAGUUCCACCACAGCCGGAGGAGAAGAAGGGCUUCUUAGACAAGAUCAAGGAGAAACUGCCAGGACAGCACAAGAAGGCAGAAGAGGUUCCUCCUCCGCCACCACCUCCGGCAGAGUGCUCCCCCUCCUCAGAGACACACGAAGGCGAGGUAAAGGAGAAGAAGGGAAUAUUGGAGAAGAUCAAGGAAAAGCUUCCUGGAUACCACCCCAAGACCGAAGAAGAGAAGAAAGAGAAAGAGAAGGAUUGUGAAUAAGCCCAUAGAAAAAAAAACCAAUGUUUAUCGUUGAUUGUGCGGUUUGUUUGAUCACAGGAUGAUGUUUUGUUCUGUUUUGUUUUGUUUUAUUUUAUUUUAUUUUAUUUUUACCUAUACUUAUAUAUGUGAUUAUAUGUAAGUUUGUUUCCGAGGAUCUAUAUUGUAAUUUCCUCGUGUUAUUUUGUGAUUUUCACGGUAUUAAUGUAUUUGUUAAUUACCUGCUUUGUUUGUAUUUAAUUUCUUUGUGGAAAAAAGAAAAAGAAAAAAUAGAAAGCUAGUGUUGCUUUAUGGGUUUGGUUUCUAGCUUUUUACAUACAUUGCUUGGACAAUGUCAAGGAUGCAACCGAAAGCCACUUAUCUUCUUGAUCAUAUUAUAAAUAUUAUAAGUAACGUAGCUAAGAAUAUGAUACGGAUAAGCUUAUUCUAUCAUAUCUGAAGUCUUGUUGAGAGCUACAAACACAAAUGUUGUUUGUAUAAAUCAAUGAGAAUAAUUAUUAUGCCCAACCCUUGAUUCAAUUCUUUGUAUGUAUAAAAUAUGGAAAGGGUUUUUAACACUUGAAGGUCAUGUUUGGUUCUAGAAAAAUAUUACAAAAAAUAAUUUUAGUAUUCAAAAGUAGAGGAAGUAUGAGUUCCAUGUAAUUGAAUUUCAUUUACUAAUAAAAAGCACAAUUUAAUAUUUUUAAAAUUUUAUUUUAAUUAGAUAGAAAUCUACUUAUGAUGUUUCAAACCAUGGGUGAUUCAAAAAAUUAUCCAAACACAAUCAAAAGGCUUAAGUUUGAUUUCAAAAGCUAUUUUAUCGAACUAUUCUUUUAAGAAAAGUUUUUAACAAAAUCAUUUAUAAAAUAUUUUUCUUAAGAAUAUUAUAAAAGCCUAUAAGAGCCUUUAUAUAUAUAUAUAUAAUUUUAAGAAAUAUUUUUAAUAUUUUUAACAUUUAAAUUUUAAUAAUUUAGGAUUCGUAAUGAUUUGUAACAUCAGUUCAAGUCUUCUUUCUCGAUCCAAUUCCUUCCUUAGCUGUCAUUUGCAUAUAACUAGCUGGGAAUGCCCUUAGCGGAUUCUAUCUUUUUUUGGUGGAGUAACUUGUUUAAUAUUAAAGAAAUUUAGAAAAUUUUUAAUAAUUCAGGUGUUGAAAAAUCUAAAAAUGUUUUAAAAAUGUUUUUUAAGAUCAGUACUUCAAAUGAUUUUUCAAUAUUAUAAUUUUAAAUAUAUUAACGGCCCAUAGUAGCUUAAUUUAUUUAGCAAUUAACCGUUAAUUAAUUAAAAAAAAUUGUUACACAGAUUUGGAAAGGCAGCCUCUUGGUAGAUAGAAAGGCUAUGGUCCCAGCAAUCAACUAGACAUCACCAAGGCAAUUUCCAUAAUUGAGAGUUGCUUGGGACCUCAUAAUUCACACCUCGAAAGCUUUAUUCUACCCAAUGACUCAAUACAUGCUUGUAUUCUAUGGCUUAUUCAUUUAAUUGUUAUGCCAGGUGUCUGUCAAUAUCUCAUCACCAUAAUUGAAAAGAAAGAAGGAAGAAAAAAUAUUAUACUAUAUUGGUCGGAGCAAUGAUUGAUUUUUUUAAAAAAAAUUGAUUUAUUAUGAAAAAAUAAAAUAUAAUUAUUUUAAAUUAUUUAAUUCUCAUAUAAAAAAGAAAAAAAAAUCAAAAUGAGAUUAAAAAAUGGCUUAUUAUAUUUUUAUUUGAUUAAUUGAAUUAAGAGCUUAGUAUACAAGUUUUGCUUUUUUAGAAUUAAGAUUUAACUUUAUUUUUAAGCUUCUCCAUGAAUUUAUAAACAGAAGACUAUCCAUCACAAUUGCGCAUUUAAUAAUGAAUUUGCAAGUGGGAUGUUAAAAUAUAGUGGCUAAAAAGACUUGAUCUCCAAGUUUGAAGUUGCUACAUCUUAUUCUAUGUCUUUUCUUUUUCCUCCAAUACAAAAAGGCCCACACACCAGUCCAGUCCAGUGGGGUUGAAGAUGGGUGAUAUGCAUCAUCAUAACCUUUCUUUUUCUUCCUUUCGGUAGUAAGACUGGCUAGCAAUCAACAACCUCAGUUUCUUCUACCCACCACUAGUGGGUGGCCACAUCUGAGGGACCAAGGAGGAAGAAAAUGGUGAUAUAUUAAUGGGUAUCCGAAGAGCCUUCAUUCAUUGGUGCUGAGUCGAUCUUUUCAACUACUUAUCAAAACCAUAUUUCAAAGGCGUGCUCAACCAGUAGGGUAGAUUUUGAAUUUAAUUUUUUUUUUCCGCAUCGAUGUUUACCUGUUUGGCUCUUUCAAAAUAUCCACAAUUUUUAUAUAUUUAUUUUUUUAAUGUUUAGAAUUUGGCAUGGACCAAUUUGGCUUGAAGGGGUUGGGAAGUGGAUCAUAGGAAAAAGGCUAGGGAAGGGAUCUUGAAAUUGCUCCAAAGGAGAAAAAUUAGGCCACCCUGGUUCGGUUUGAAAAUAAUUGUCAAAUUAGUUCUCCUCAUCCAUGUGACUCUACGUGAUGAACAAAUCUUUUUCUUUUUUGGUUUUUAGCUUCUUCCAGGUUCUAGCAAUGUUAUUUCCACCGUGAACUUAAAUGUCAAUUUUCCCAUAUUAUUAUAUAAAUAUGGUUUUUGGUGGAAGUGACAAAAGCAUCCUCCAUGACUUGGGUCAUGUCACGAAAGACAUAUAUUAAGAAAGGACAAUUUGAGAUGCAUAGGUAAGGGUAAACGGUAAACCCAUAAAAGUCGUACACUAAGGGGUAAUCUUAGUAUAUCGUUCAUUGUUUUUAUUGGUUAUCCCUUUGCUUCUCCUAAGACACCAUGGCUAAUUUGAUCGCUAGGGGACAUUGAUCUAACCAACCGUCACACUCUAAUGGUCUCACUUAUUUUUAUUGGAGAACUCACACAUCCCAUAUUACGCUUAUUGCCACUUACGAAAAUAUCGUGAAAGGAGCGUAAUAUUACGUAAUUACAUUUUUUUCUUGUAAUUUAAAUACCUAUUGAUAUAUAUUGUCUAUUUUAUAACCAUAUUCCUUCAAAUAUUAUAAGUAUUAUAUUCAUUACCUAUCACUAUUUUAAGCAUGUCUACCAAAUUGAUGAGUCACCUUAUAAAUGUUAGUAACCAUUUCACAUGAUAUCUGUAUCAAUAAUUAAGUUUGUGUAAAUGUUUUUUAAAAUUACGAGAAUUAAUAUAAGCUUUAAAAAGCAAAUAAAAAAGAAAAAAAGUUAUAUUUAUAGGGGGUAAUGACAAAUAAUAUAACAACUUACUUUCAAUCACGUUGAUAUUAUGUGUUCUGAUCACAAGAGCUUCUUGUGAUUUUUAAAUGCGUCUACAAGUUAAAGAGAAAUUUAUACGUAAAUAAUACCAAUUUUUUUUUUGGAAGAAUUACCCAAGAGGAUGGGUUGGAAAAAAUAAUGACUAUGAAGGCUCACUCUUUUAGAGGACAAUUUUACCCUUGAAUAUGUUUUCUAUAUUAUUUAUAAAUAAACUGAAAUUGUCAAUGAUGUGGGGGUCAUACAUGAUGAUAAGUACAGGUUGAUAAAUGAUGUGGGGCCCAUACAUGAUGAUAAGUACAAGUUGAUAGGCAAUCAACGAUACAUUUCUCAACUUGAAAAAAUUGUUGUCACUUUUUAACAAUUGCCUGUUUAAAAAUUUGUUAUUUUUUUUUCAAAAAAAUUGAGAUUUUUUAAAGAAUCUUGUAAAAAAAAUAAUUUUUAAUAUCUCAUAAAUAAAAACCAUAUCCUAAAGUUAUUAUAUCGUUUUAUAUAUAAAAUAUACAAUUAAAAACUUUGUUAUCGUAAUAUAAUGAAUAAUUAUUUUUUAUGAGUACUCAUCAAUUGAAUAAUAUAUAAAUAUUUAAUUGACUAACAUACAUCUAUUAAAUGGAAUAACUCACAAUUAUUCAUUGGGUAAUAUAACAAGUGAAAAAAUUAAAUAAAAAUAAAUUAAAUUAUGUUGUAAUAUAUUGUAAUGAUAAUGUAUUUAUAUUGUAAGUAUAAUGCAUUUAUGCCGUAUCUAUAUUUCAUUACAAAAGUAAUAAUUUUAAAAAUGUUUAUUCAUACCCUAUUGGUAUUAAUACAUCAUAUUAAUAUAUUAACAACAUUUAUUUAGUAUUUUGAAAUUAUUUAAUAAUUUUUGUAUAUAUAUAUAUAAACUACGUGAAUUCAAAUUAGUAUUUCAUUUGAUUUCCGAAAUUAUUUAUGAUAUAAGUAUGUUGUGAAAUAUGGUAUGAUCAUACAAAAUUACAAUUUUUAUAAAAAAUUUCAUAAAUUUCUUAAUUAGGUUUUAUUGUAAUGUAUUGUAAUGUAAGUGUAUUUAUAUUGUAAUUAUAACAUAUUUUUGUUGUACUAAUUGUAUUUUAUAAUAAAAGUAAUAAUAUUGAGGAUCACCUUUUAUACCUUAUUAAUUUUCAACAUAUCAAAUAUAUUAAUACCAUCCACUCGAUGCAUUGAAAAAAAAAAUUUAUAUGAAAAUUAAAAUUAAAAAAAACACUAUGCAAAGGAAAAAAAAUCAUAUAAAUUUUUUAAAAUUAUUUUAUUAUAAAAAUAAAAAAUGAUUAAACAUUUUCCAUCAUUUUCUUAUUCUUUUUAGAGAAUCUAAAUGAAAAAUUAAACAUUUUAUCUUCCCUAAAUUUAAUACAAAAACAUAAUUUAUCAAUUUAAAAUUAUAAUAUAUAUAUAUAUAUAUAUAUAUAUAUAUAUAUAUAUAUAUAUAUAUAUAUAUAUAUAAAUCAUCAUUUUUAUUAUAUAAUUAUAAAACUUAUUUUUUUCUUCAUAAAAUUAAAAAUUAGAAUAAAAAUAAAAAAGGUAAAAAAACAAUAAAUGAUAUUUUGAAAAUAUUUUUUAAAAGUAUUUUUGUUUUAAAUAGUAAAUUUAAAUAACAAAUUAUAUAUAAUUAUAAGGGUUAAACCCAAAAUUUUGAUAUAAAAUUUAAAUAUCAAUAAUUACAAUAUAUGUGGGACCCAUGUACCAUAAAUAUAUUGACAAAUCUAAUAAAGUGUUUUAAAUGCUUUGAAUUUUAAAAGUUUUAGUUAAAUGAUGGUUUUAGUAUAUUAAGCCUAUUAAAGUCAUCCUCAAGAAUUAUUAAAAGAUACCACCCUUUCUAGUAAUCAUUCCGCCAAUUCUCCCAUUUUUUUUCUUUGCUUGUAGAUAUACUAAGCUACAUGAUACUUAAGACACAUAAGGGACAAAAAGCGAGCAUCGUCAAGAACAAACAAUCGGAUAACCCAAGAAGAGAUGCCCUUGUGCCAACUCCUCCCCUGCAACCAAACAAAACAAUGUCACUGAUUGAGAGUCCCUGUUAGUAUAUUACAAACAACACUGUCAUAAACUUCAAGAAAUUCCAAGCUCACCAUAGCUGUAUAUAUCACCAUACCUUUAAUCAAACACCCUAAUCAACAAUAGAGAUGAUGAUAGCCAAACAACAAUCAUGCCCACAACUCCUGCCACUGAUUUUCAUCACACUAGGCCUCACUCAUGCCACCUAUGGAGGCUACCUGAUAGGCAUCGGGAGCUACGACAUGACCGGUCCAGCUGCAGAUGUGAACAUGAUGGGGUAUGCCAACAUUGAGCAGCACUCCGCUGGGAUCCAUUUCCGGCUAAGGGCGAGGGCCUUCAUUGUGGCUGAGGGUCCCCAGGGGGUCAGGUUUGCUUUUGUAAACCUUGAUGCUGGAAUGGCUUCACAGCUUGUUACAAUCAAAGUACUUGAGAGACUCAAAUCAAGGUACUUAGCAUAAAUUCAAUGCUGUAAAACGGAUAAACCCUUUGAUUAAUGGAUGUGAAAUGUUGUGUUUUUCUGUUGAAGGUAUGGGAAUUUGUACAAUGAAGAUAAUUUGGCAAUCAGUGGCACUCAUACUCAUGCAGGGCCAGGGGGCUAUUUGCAGUAUUAUGUUUACUCUAUAACUACUGCAGGCUUUGUCCCUCAGUCUUUUGAUGCCAUUGUCACUGCAGUUGAGCUGAGUAUAGUUCAGGCUCAUGAAAACCUCAAGCCUGGUUCAGUUUUCAUCAACAAGGGUGAGCAUUUUCAUAGUAUGUGUAAACACAAAGAGUACUGGUUGAUGAUCAUUUAAUUGAAGACAAGUACUUUUGUAGGGGAUGUAGAGAAUGCAGGAAUUAGCAGGAGUCCAAGUGCUUACCUUGUCAACCCAGCAGACGAGAGAGCACGAUAUUCAACUGAUGUUGAUACCGAAAUGACCCUUUUGAAGUUCAUCAAUGGGGAGAGCGGGAAGAGCAUUGGAGCAUUCAGCUGGUUUGCAACACAUGGUACCUCUAUGAGCAAAGACAACAGGCUUAUCAGUGGAGACAACAAGGGUGCUGCUGCUAGAUUCUUCGAGGAUUGGUUCACUUCCACCACCAAAUCAUCCUCCAAAGUCAUUGGCAACACAUCUGCUACAUUAUGUAGGCAAUCUUUCCACUAUUAAGUUGUCAUGAUCAGGGACAUUCUUGUGGCUUAAGCUGAUCCUUCAUCCUUGGUUUUUCUGUGAAAUAUAGCAGAUAGCAGACUGAUUCAAAAGGCCAAGGAAAUCAACGCCACAGGAGGGACAAGUUGUGGGAAAACAACCAGCCAAAGCUUCAAAGUUCGGAAGAAUGAUAACUCCCGAUUUGUGGGAGCGUUUUGCCAAUCCAAUGUUGGAGAUGUGACUCCAAACGUGCUUGGCGCAUUCUGCAAUGACACUGGAUUGCCUUGUGAUUUCAAUCACUCCUCAUGCCAUGGCAAUAACCAGCUUUGUCUGGGGCGUGGACCUGGGUAGUAGUAACACUUCCUCUUAGAUGAGCUUGUGCCUAUUCUUAAAACUAUGCUUAUACUCUGAAUAACGUGGGCUUGGGAAUUGUGAUUCUGCACAACAGAUACCCUGAUGAAAUACUGAGCACAAAGAUCAUAGGGGAGAGACAGUUCCAAACUGCAGUGGAUCUAUUCAAGUAUGCUAAAGAGGAAUUGACAGGGAAGGUCGACUAUCGCCAUACGUAUCUGAAUUUUACAGAUAUUGAGGUGGAGUUAGAUGGAAACAAUGUGGUCAGGACAUGCCCUGCAGCGCUUGGCCCAGGUUUUGCCGCUGGAACUACAGAUGGACCGGGUUUCCCUGGAUUUCAACAAGGAGAUACAGAGGUUGGCAGAGUUUUUUUGGGCCAGAAGGCCCAUAAGACUUCCACUGUGGGUGUCAUGGUUGUUGAGUCUCUGAUGAGAUGUGUCAUAUGUAUGCAGAUCAGUGAGGAGUGGAAGAGGUUUAGAGACUCCCUGAAAAAACCCAGCAAGUACCAAGAGGACUGUCAACAGCCCAAGCCUGUUUUGCUUGAUACUGGUGAAAUGUUCAAACCCUAUGCCUGGGCAGUAAGACCCCUUCACCAUUCUCCUUAUUCAUUAACCAUAAAAUAUCUAUUCUAUUUGCUUAGAACACAAAUAUCAAUAUGUCAUUGUCGAAAGAAACAAGACGAGUACAGAUGAUCUAAGAGACAAGAAAGCACAAAGAUAUAAGUGCCUACAACUUCUAAUCACGGGCAUGUGCUUGUAGACUAGAUUAUCAACAAUGAUUUACUAUGUGGUAUUGUUGAUUCUAAUUUGUUCAUGUGAACAUAAAUGCAGCCAGCCAUACUUCCCAUUCAAAUACUCAGGUUAGGGAAAUUGGUCAUCCUUUCUGUGCCAGGAGGUUUGUUUUCCUUGCCAUCGACUCUCACAAUUGAAAUUACUCAUUCUUUCACCCCCUAAAUGCUCUUUGUAGAUAUCACUACAUGGUAUAAUCCUUGACAAAAGUUACCCUGCUCAUGCCAGCAUCAAUUUGAGGAUUUGCUCAUCAUGAAUAACCUCUAAAAUUUUUGGUAUUAAUUUGCAGAGUUCACAACAAUGGCAGGGCGGAGACUAAGGGAGGCAGUUAAGGAGACGCUUGUAAGUAAUGGAAAUGGGGAAUUUGAUGAUGACACCCAUAUUGUAAUAGCAGGUCUCACAAACACUUACUCGCAAUAUAUUGCAACUUUUGAAGAAUACAAGCAACAACGAUAUGAGGUAUAUGCUAUCACACUUGCAAUGUAUCAUACUAGAAACUCAAUUAGUAGUUGCUCACUAACAGGAUUCAUAUUACAAGAUAUCAGGCAUAGAAGAAUAAAGAGAUCACAUCAACAAUCUUUUUGGCAUAAACAGAAAUCAUAUCCUUGGGGUUCUGCAAGGGCCUUUAGUUUUCUCUAGAUGGAUCCAUAGGAUCAUCCUCAUGGGAUUCUAUGGGGUUUAAAUUUUCAUUGAGAACUCACUAAUUCAUCACUACUUAGUUGCUUACUAAUACUUGCUAGUACAUAAUGAAUUGCACAGGCUUCUUCAACACUUUAUGGUCCACAUACAUUAUCAGCAUACAUCCAGGAAUUUAAGAAAUUAGCCGAAGCAAUGGCAAAGGGAGAAAACAUGAUCAAAGGCCCAUCACCACCAGAUCUUUCUUCUGUUCAACAAAGCUACUUAAUCGACCCUACUGGUGACUCACCUCCCCCUGGCAAAAAAUUUGGUGAUGUAAAACAAGACAUAACUAUACCAAAACGCGGCUCAUUCCAAAAGGGAGAAAGGCCAAGUGCCACAUUUUGGAGCGCAAACCCUAGAUAUGACAUAUUGACAGAAGGCACAUUUGCAGUGGUAGAGAUGCUUCAAGGGGAACGGUGGGUUCCGGCCUAUGAUGAUGAUGAUUUCUGCUUGUAUUUCAAGUGGAAAGUAGAAAGUGGUACCUUCUAUGGCCUAGCAACCAUUGAAUGGGAAGUGCCAGAGGAUGCUGUCUCUGGGGUUUACCGGCUAAGGCACUUUGGAUCAUCAAAGAAAACAAAGGAAUCCCCAACUGAAUAUUUUACCGGUGCCUCUAGUGCAUUUUCAGUGUCAUAAAGAGGAACUCACUGAGUUUAUUAGGCACAUGUCCUUUGAACACAGAAAAAUAAGAGCAGUUCAUCCUUCAACAUAUAGAUUCAUAAUGGAUACAUCUAUACCAAAAGGACUAAAAUGUUUGUAUAUAAUGAGUUCCAAUACAGCAUAAAACAAGAGCUGCCAUUGAAGAGGCAAGAUUCGUGGGAGGAUCUCACUCAUUUGUCCAUCCAAAGCACACAUCGGAGGCUUUUCCCUUGAAUGAGUAGAUCAAAUGCUUUGUUGAUGUCUUCAAACCUCAUCUCAUGAGUGACAAACUUAUCCACAUCCAAUUCCUGAAAACAAAAAACAACAAAUAAUAUUUAGAAAGCGAACAGUUGCAUGCAUAAUAUCUUAAAAUUCCACAUCAGAAAAUAGGUCAAAUGUAAGCCAAUAUGAUGAUCAUAGGCCUAAAUUGACUAUAUUGUAACCAGAUGGAUGGUCACAACAGAAAAACCACAUAAAAGAAUUUAGAACUACCCAGUAAGCUAAUUACCAUCAACAUGUAGCUUCUUUUUUCUAUUCCAGAUAGGCACUUAUUUUCUUCUUUUCUCAAUAAUUUAAGCUUCUCAAUUCAUGAUAUCUUAAUUCUAUGUAUUCCCAUAAAAGAAAGAGAAAAGAAAGGAAUACUGAUUCUAUUACCUUGUCCAUGUAGCGUUUUAAAAGAAUCGGAAUAUCAGAUUUGGGUUUGACACCUCCAUACAGACUUCCCAUUAGGCUUUUCCCAGAGUGAAGGAUGUCAAAAGAAAGAAAGUUCAACAUUGAACCCGGCCUGUCCACUCCUAGCACAAUUGUCUUUCCCCAACCCUGAAGUUACACAAAGAGAAAGAUCUUAACUUUGAAAUUUCCCCUAUGCUGUGUGGUGUGUGCAGGUCAGAGAGAGAGGGAGAGAAGGACACAGACCUUUCGGCAGCAAGCAAAUGCUUCAUGCACUAAGGAUGCUGCACCAACACAUUCAAAGCAGUAGUCUGCCCCUCCAUCAGUCAUCUCCAUAAUCACCUGUUCACCAGGACCAAAGCAACCAAAAACCAAUAAUUCAUCUGUUAUGUUAUCAUUCCAAAUAAUCUGCCCUACCACCGACAGUGAUAAUCUGUCAAUUCUGCUCUCCACCCAAACCAACUCCCACAUAAGCAAAAUUCUCCACCCUCAAUUUCUAAUAUGCAUUGGAAAUCACUGCCUGUACCAUCAAUCCGUUAAGCAACUUGGUGAUUGAACAUAUCCCAUGAAGAACAUUCUCACACUUAAACCAAAAGCCCCUUCUAGCAAGAUAAAAAACCAUGAUCUCAUGGAUCUCAGAAAAAUAAAUUCCAAAACCACAUACUUGAACCCUCAUGCGAGUAAAAAUGUUCAGCAUCAUAAAAGCAUCUAUAAUGGCAGUUUGAUACUCAAUUAUUUGUUGGGUUAGCUAAUAAAUCCAUUAAAUCCACUUGCUCAAGCCUGUGGGAGAAUAUAGACCAAAGAAUAGAACUAUAGAUAUAUUGAGUGCAUGGGUUAGAGGAAAAAACCUGUUUCACUGGUUUGUUCCCACAGUUUCCAGAGUUGACAAAGUCUGUGACUCCGAAUUUCUUCCCUGCAUUAACAAAUAAUAUAACAUCAACCAAAGUCCAUGCAAACCAAUCUCAUGGUCAGCAUGUGAACUAAAAUUGUCAAUACUUAAAGACAUCCAUCAGCCUUUUUGCUAAUGUAUUCAAACAGAGCAAGUUAUUGAGAAAAUUCUCAAGUUUCCUAAUCACACAAACAAGUAAAUAAAACAUUAGAAAGCUGUAUUUACCAAUUUCAAAUUUAUCUGGGUUCAAAUCCACACCAAUAAUUCUAGAAGCGCCACAUAGUCUUGCUCCCUCUGCUACCUAUUCCACCAAAUGAUAGCAGUGAGGCUCUCUCAGAAACUUAUAUAUAUCAGUAUGAGAAAGAAGAAUAAGAAUAUGUACUAAUUGCAGCCAGAUCAUACCGCUAAUCCAAUCGCCCCUAGCCCAAAUAUAGCAACAGUGGAUCCCUUUUCCACAUUUGCUGUUUUCCAUGCAGCACCAACCCCUGAAAACCCAAGCUGUGGUCAGUGUUGCUUUUUUUUCUUUCUUCACAAACUCAACACAGAAGCUGGCUGAACAACACCCACUUUAUAAGAUUGAAUCAGUUUAUAAAACCUUUAUGAUUAACAAUUCUAAUACAAGGCUUAUACUUAAAGACUCCCAUCAGAAUCUGUAGCAGAGAAGGGAUGGUAGUCGUGGGCCAACCAAAAUGAGGGGAAAAAGGGAAGCCUUGUCAUUCUAUGAGGCCAUGUGAACACAUAAGCUCAUAGACAACAAAAUGAUAUGGGAUUCUCUUGACUAUUUAAUCUUAAAAAUGAGCCAAUAAUAAACAGAGAGACUUGAAGUCAAGAUUUCUAGUAAAGUUCUUGGACUAAGUUGAACCACAAAUUAACCCAAAGAUUUAAGCUAUUGUAUAGGCCAACAAUGCAUAUCAAGUUAAAGGAAAAAGCAAAAAAAAGAAGAUUAGAGUAGCUAUGGAAACAGUUGAAUAUGUUAUUGACUGAAAUUUCUGUCACAUCAGAUUACAUAAUGUCAUCCAAAGAAAACAAAAUUGAAGCCUUUUUACCUGUUGACACUCCACAGCUGAAGAGGCAUGCCCUGUUUGGCGGGAUAUUGGGGUCAAUUUUUGUAAUGUUGGCGAUAUCUACCACUGUGUACUCACUAAAACUUGAGACAAAUAGAAAAUGGUAGAGAACCUCUCCCUUAAGGUCUGUGAAUCUGCUGCUUUCAUAUCUAGGCAUCCAAGGUGAGACUUUAAAUGGGAAUUUUGAACAUAGGUUGCUCUUCUCCGAUCUGCAAUCUGUGCAUUCUCCGCAAUCUGGCAAGAAUAUUGGAAGCACAAUAUCUCCUUCAGUUACUUCACUCACAUUCUCCCCCACGCUCUCAACAACCCUACAAUUCAUAAACAAUGAAUGCGCACAAACAUGAUAACAGAUACAACCAGGAGAAACGCCAUUUAAGAUCAAAUGUGAAAAAUUGAAUAAGGAACGACAACUGGAAGGAUUGAAUGUGAAAAGAAUGGCUUCUGAAUCAAAAACACCAGCAGAUGAUAAAUGUAAGAUCAAGUCAAAUGGGGAUUUUUUUUUAUUUCACAAGAAAUGCAACCGCAUUGAAAAUCCCACUCUAAAUCAUUCCAAAAAACCACCAAAAUCCAAGGGCAGAAUUUGAAGUUACCCCACAGCUUCAUGGCCCAGUAUUCUCGGAAAGCAUCCCGGAGGGUCCUGCAUACAGAAAUCAAUCACAAUCCACAACCAAGCAAGCAAACAUGCAAAAUUUCUUCAUCUUCAUCCAGAAGAUCAUAAUGUGAACGUAAACCUGACCUUUAAUUUCCAGAAGGUGAUGUCGCUGUAGCAGAGAGACGUGCAGAUGAUUCGAAUCCGAACUUCUCCGGCCAAUGGCGGAGCCACCAUCACCUCCUCCAUCACCAGCGGCUCCCCUGCCUUCCAACAAACCGCAGCUACACACAAGAAAAAGUAGACACAGACCCACUUCACAAUUUCACCAAAACAAAGAGUUUCCCAACAACAAGAAAGAUUUGAGAGACUUACCUCUGCAUCGAAUUGGCUUCCCUCUCGUCUCACCAGCCAUCAUCCUCUCUCCCACACUGUAUCAAACAAAAUCUCUAUGAGGCUGUUCCCAGAACCGACCUCAAUCUUCAAAUUGACACGAGACCGGAGAGAAUAUCCAGCGAUGAGAAACAGACAAUAAUAGACAAAUUAAAAAUAUACUACUGACCAAUCACCACUUCAACUGACGGCUGCCGAGUGCUGCCUUUCACUCGAGGACUUUCUAAUUUGGACCUCCAAAUAUGAAAGAGGGUAGUUGGUAAUGAUUUCCCUUUUCUUUCUCCUUUUUAAAGACCUCAGGUAAGAAUCAUAAGAUAAUAGUGGAGACUUCAAUGGCAAUUUCGUUAAUUUAUCUAGUUUUUUUGGUAGCCCACCUCUUACGACCAAUUCCAUAUCGUUGAUUGGACGCUUAUUAUUUUUUCUUUAAUUUCAUUUGGAAAAAUUGUUUAUUUUAUUAGUACUAAAUGUGAAUGACAAAUUAUUUUAUCACUUUAUUUGAUCUCCUACGAUACGGACAGGCUUUUUAUCUUUAUUUUUAAUUAUCAUUUCAUUGGUUAAAGGUAUCCUUCCAAGAAAAAGGACAAACAUGCGGACAUACGAGUUAAAAUAUAUAUAUAUAUGAUUAACACACUUUAAAAAAUUAAUAUAAUUUUUUAUGUUUAUAAAAUACAUCAUCACCCAACCAUCUACUAAUUAAAAUAAAUAAAUAAAAUUAAAAUAUUGAUAGUAUAAGUCAAUCCUUAAUAUUUCAAACCAAAUAUAACAAAACUAAUUAAGGCUUCGUGAUUCAAUAUUGAUAAUAAGUUAAUUUUAAUUAUAUUUAUUUUCACCUGAAUAGAAAAAAAUUAAAUGUUUUAAAUUUUUAUAUUCUAUUAAAAAAUAAACAUCACAAGUUAAUGAAAAAAUUAUUAUUUCUUUUUAAUUUCUAUUCAUAUUUUACUUAUUAAAAUCAAAUAAGAGAAUUUUGAUUUUUUUUCCCUUUUAUAUUAAUAUUUUUCAUGCUCAAACACAAUCUUAGAAGAAAAAAAAAAUUAUAUUUUUCCUUAUUUAUUUGAACUUAUAUCCCAUCUUUUUUUUUUGUUUUUGUUUUUGUUUUUUUUUUUCAUUAGUUUAUUUUAUUAUUUCACCAUAAUAAUUAAACAUUAUAAUAAAAUUUUAAUUUCCAUUAUUCUUGUUACACCAUUUUCUUUCAUCUACCUAAUCUCUUUUUCAUCAUUUUAGUAGACUUAGCUUGUGUAACGCUCAAGAUUAUGUUCCUUACAAUUUAAAUCAUAGUGCCUAACUGUCAGCCCCUUAGCCACUUGAUCUAGACCGGGAAAAAUAGGCCUCAUGGGUAGGCCUUGCACCCAUGAGAGCCUAGGUUGAAAGCAAGGGAAGCCUAGAGGGUUGGUGGUUCGAAUCCUUGAAGCUUAGUGGGAGAAUCACAAAGGAGCCAGACGAGCACCGCACGCGCACCGCGGGCGAGCCAGACGAGCACCGCGCGCGCACCGUGGGCGAGCCAGACACGCACCGCGCGCGCACCACGGAUGAGCCAGGCGCGCACCAAGGGCAAGCCAGACAGGCACCAUGCGCACCUUGAAGGCACUUGGGCUAAGGAGUGGUGCAGAGGGAUAUUUUGGGAAUUUAAAUUAAUUUGUAUUUAUUUAAAUAUUUCAUUAUGUCUCCUCAGACAUAUUGAUGUCUCCUCCAGAAACUUUGAAAACGGCCCGUAUUGCUCUUUAAGGGGGGGGGGGGGGGGGGUGGGUGUCUCAAGGGAGAUGAGCACCAAGGGCGAGCCUUGACCGCACCAAGAAGGCAUCCUGGCAUGGCAAUUGAGCAUGCACACAUGGGCUCCACGACAUGUGUGGCAUGCAACCUGUGGCUGCAGCAGCACGGGGCAUGAUGCGGCCUAGCCCCUCCCCGCGCCAGCACGAGGACGCCUAAACCUUGUGCAAGCGAACCAGCCAAGAAGACCAUGGGCGCAAUGCCAUGGCCAGAUGGGGCAUCAGACAAACAGCCGAUUAGCACCCAGACGCCUAUGCACAGCACAGGGGCGCAAUGCCCUGUGCACCAAGAGGGAACAGCCAAGGGCGCAAUGCCAUGGCUCGUUGAAGCGGAACCUGACACAGGAAGGGAAAGCAACAGGCCCAGACCAUGGGCACCUCGACAUGGCUUGGGCUCACUCAUCAGUGUGAGGGAGGCACACUGAUACAGCUUGGACAGCUAGUAAGCAAGUCAAGGAGCUGCAUAGACUGACAGGGGGCUGAGGCAAUGCUGAUGCAAGUGGGUGGUUUCUCAGCAAGCCACCAUCUGGGUGGUGGGUGGUUAUACCAGCAGUUCAGAGCGGUUCUGAGCAGUUGCACCACCACCUGAUGAGAAACUGCAGGGCUAGUCUUUUAAAUAGGACUCCUGCAGCCUUGAGAGAGAGAGAGAGGAAGGAGAGGAAGAGGAUCUCUGAAUGCUUGGGUUGUAAGCAUCAUCCUCUGGCUCAAGGAACAAUUUUGUAUCUUGUAGGUUGAGAACUAAUACAAGUUGGGAAGACAUUCCUGUAACCUCGUGUGUCCUUGUCUCUCUUUGGUUUGCUGUUGCUUGUGUGUGUGAGUGUUGUGAAGACUGGGAAGGAAGGUUGGCUAAGGAGGGGUCCUUAGCACCGCACACCAGGUGAAAAAUUUAGGGUGAUUUUCGAGGGUGUGACACUAACCAUUAUAUUCAAUUUAACAUUAUUCUUAGUGGCGAGGUUCAAUAAUUGCUGUGGUUAUUCCAUUCCGGCUAACCGAUAUAUUUCAGCGUCGUUGUCCAUUUUGAGCGCGUGAAUGAAAACUACCCGCUCGGCCACUACUUAAUGCACAUUCGAUGUGGGACAGCCAAAAAGUCUUGAAAGAAAAUAAAGAGGAGAAAUCUUUUAUUCCCAUUUUGAGCGUGUGAAUCGGCAAACUUCAUUAAUGCCCAUUCGAUGUGGGUCAGUAAGAGAAAACAAAGAGGGACCACAUUAUAGAGGAGAAAUCUUUUGUUCUUUAAAAUAUUUUUUUCACCAUUUUACAUUUGUGACGGCAUAAUCUAUCUAAGCUGAAUGGGUCAAACUUUGAUAAAGUAUGCCAUGGGAUAGAGUUGAAUUUAUUAUUUUUAAAUUAUGUUAAUUAUUUUUUAUUUAAAAUAUAGAAAAACCAUAGUAAAAAUAUUUAUCAUAAACUUAUUUAUCAAACUCAACUUAAAGUCAAAUCGAUAAUUUUCAACUUUCACCCGACACAUUGGAAACUUCGAUCCUAUUAUAAUUUAUGAGUUGUCACAUCAAGGAGACUCGUAAUAAAUUUUUUAAAUAAAUACACUUAUUUUCUAUUUUUAAAAAUAAAAAAUAGUAACAAAUUUGAUAUAAAAUAUAAAAUUUUAAAAGGUUUAGAUUGAAAAUUAAUAAUUUUUAAAAACAGAUUAAAAAAAAUAAAGAUAUUAGAAAAAAUAUAACCUUAAAUUUUAAAUUUUUUUAUAGGUAUAAGACAAGUAUAAAUUUUUUAUACAAGAGUUUCUAUAUUUUAUAUAAAAAAUUUUAUUUUUAAAAAUAAAAAAUAGGAAUUGUAUGUAGAUUAAACUUCAAUAUUUAAAAUUUUAUUUUUUAAUAUGACUGGUGUAUUUUAAGGUAUUUUAUUUAUUCAAAAAAAUUAUUAUAAGUCUUCUUUGAUCUGAAAACUCAUAAAUUAUAAUGGAACCUAAGUUUUCUACCUGUUUAGUGCAAGUUGAAAAUUGUCAACCUUAAAGUAAAGUUUCACGUAGAUCAGACAUAUCGAUAGAUAAGUUUCCAAUAAAUUAGUAGGGUUGGUACCAAAAUAUCAUUUUCAGUACCAAAUCCUCAAUCUUGGACCAAUGGCAAGAUGCCACAUGUCGGGAUUAGUUGAAUAAAAACUUGCUCGGUAAGUUACCAAUCGGUCAACCACCAUCCAAAAAUUUCAACUCUUUACAACAUGCAAUUAUGUAAUUUGAGGAAUUAUUUUUAAAAAAUUGGAAAAUAUUAAAUAAUUUGUAAAAAUAUAAAUUUUGUUAAAGAGAAAUUAGAAUUUAUUUUAUUUUGUAAAAUAAAGUCAUAACCAGGGUGAAGCAAUAAAUAAAUAAAUUUAAAAUAAACUAAAUAUUGUAAAAAAAAAUAAUUUGGUGAUAUAAUUUAUAAAUUUAGAGUUAAUUUAUUUAUUUUAUUUUAAUUUGAAAUUGUUUGCUUGGAUGAAUAUUGAAAGUGUGAAAAAAAAAAUAUUUGGUUUAUAAAGUGAAAAAAAAAUGAAUAAUUGUAAAUAGACAUUUAUAAAAAAAUUGAAAUAAGUAUCCAUUGUUUAAAAUUUAAAAUAAUUAUAUACUAAUUAUUAAUUGAAAAGUAUAUUAAUAAAUUAUUUCUUAUAAUUUAAAUUUAAUUACAUAAAAUAUUGGUUGAAAUAUUAAAUAUACAAAAAGAUAAUAUAAUUAGUAACAACAUGAAAUUCCACACCUUUGUAGUAUUUUUAGAUUUCGAUUUUUUGAGACAUUGAUUGAACACCAUUUUAAUGCAAUUAACAUAUUUAAAUAAUGUCUAAGUCAUAUGAAGUCCAAAUUUUUUUGUAGAAGUUCAAAGAAAUGGAGAUUCGGGAGGAUACAAAGAAUAUAGAGAUUCUUCACACUCUUCAUAACCUUAUUAAUUUUUUAGUAUUUUUCUAUUUCUAUUUUUUCUGAACACCUUAUAAUCUAAUUAGCCUAUUUAAACAAUAUUCAAGUCAUAUGAAGUCCAAAAAAAUUUCUAGAAGUUUAAAGAAGUGGGGAUUCGGGAAGGUAUGAAAAAUGUGAGCAUUUCUAAUUUUUUGGUAUUCUUUUAUUUUGAUUUUUCUUGGCAUCAAUUGAAACCCCCCACCCCCCUCCCCCUCUUCCCACCUUAAAUGUAAUUAACCUAUUUAAACAAUGUCAAUGUUGAAGCCAUAUGAGGUCAAAAAAAAAUUUAGAAGUUUAAAGAAGUAGAGAUUCGGGAGCAUAUAAAGAAUUUCUUUGUACCAUUGCUAAUUUUUAGUAUUUUUCUAUUUCAAUUGAACAUCUUCUAAGUAUAAUUAACCUUUUCAUACGGUAUACAACUCAUAUGAAGUCCAAAUUUUUUUUUUAGAAGUUCAAAGGAGUGGAGAUUUGGGAGGAUACGACGAAUAUGAAGAUUCUUCAUAUUCUUCGCACCCUUGCUAAUAUUAAAUAUUUUUCAAUUUCGAUUUUUCUGGGCAUCAAUUGAACAUCUCCUAAGUGUAAUUAACUUAUUCAAACAAUAUCGUAGUAAUAUGAGAUCGAGAAAUUUUUUUAGAACUUCAAAGAAGUGGAUAUUUAAGAGGGUACCAAUAAUGUGAGGAAUACCCUUACUAAUUUUUUAAUAUUUUUAGAUUUCGGUUUUUUAAGACAUCAAUUGAAUACCCUCUAAGUGUAAUUAACCUAUUAAAACAAUGUUGAAGUCAUAUAAGGUCCAAUUUUCUUUUUUAGAAGUUCAAAGAAAUGGAGAUUCGGGAGGGCACAAAGAAUGUGAGGAUUGCUCACAUUCUUCAUACCCUCACUGAUUUUUUAGUAUUUUUUAUUUUGAUUUUUCCAAGUAUCAAUUGAUUAUUUCUAAGUGUAAUUAACAUAUUCAAAUAAUAUCCAAACCAUAUGAGAUCUAAUUUUUUAUUUUUUAUUUUUUAUUUUUUAGAAUUUCAAAGAGGUGGGAAUUUGGGAGGAUAUGAAUCUUCACAUUCUUUGUAUCUUUGCUAAUUUUUUUUAGUAUUUUUUUUAUUUCAAUUUUUUUGGGUAUCAAUUGAACAUCCCCUAAGCGUAAUUAACUAUUUAAAUAAUGUCAGUCAUAUGAGGUUCAAAAUUUUUUUAGAAAAAGGAAGAAAUAUGUAGAAGAGAGAAGGACGGGCAGGAAGACAUGCUCCAGCAGGUAGCAAUCGACUACCUAUUCCAGCUUUGAUUAUUAUUAUUAUUAUUUUUUUUUUACCACUUACCAUUUGGAAGACUCAAAUUAAAAUUCUCCCAUCCACCGACUCAAAUUGCAAGGAAGCAUGAUAUCUCCGGUGGCACCGUAAAUUUUUCCUAAAUUAGCAUUCCAACUUAUCUAAUGGAAGUUGUACAUUGGGAACACUUAAUACAUUUUCUCUCAAAAAGGGUUUGGAAGUUGAAGUCCACUCGAUGAUUAUUUGAUGACAAUUUUUAAAAAUUAAUUUUUAAAAAACAGGUUUUUAUUGUUUUCAUAAACAGAAUUAUGUAAACCAAAUUAUUAAAAAAAGUUUUUUAGUUCAUUCUUUGUGAAGUCAUCCCGUUUUUACGUGCAUUGUAAUUUUUUUCCAUUAAAAGCACUCUAUCCAAAGCACUUUAAAUUUGUUCUUAAAAAUUGUUUUGUUUUCAUAACAAAUUCUUAAAAAAUUAUUUUUCAAUCAAAGUUUAUCAACUAAAGAAUUGUUUUCAAUUUUCAAAAUUAUUUUAAAAAACAUUUGUCCAAUUAAAAAUCUCUCCAAAACUUUCAUCUUAGAAUAUAAACAAAAAUAAACAUUAGGACAUAUAUUUAUGCACGAUAAAGUUGUUGGUGCAUGAUCAACAAUGCUCAUAUCCGAAAAACUUUUUCUGCGUAAAUGACAAAUGCACCUGUAAUAAAGAGUAAUUGAAUGGUUUUUCUAGGCACAUUCCUUUGAAACUUAAAUUAAUCACAGAAUAGUCGAACAAAAAGUAGUUGGAAGAUGGUUGUAUACCUUAAUUCUGAUAUUUGAUGACUAUUUAUCUUUAACUAAGUCAUAACGCUUUUCAUGUGCUUCAAUUGCUUUUAACACCAUUAAUUGGCAUGCGUAAUAGUUUUUGAGCUUUAAAGUCUAUCGUUUAUGCUCAUUCUUAUGAAUUGUUAUGAUGUAAUGGUUGUUACGUUCAAUAUACUUGAUUAAUGUCAUAUUUAGUGCCUCAUAGAUAAUAAUAAAAAGUGCUCGAGUAAGCUACCAUCAAUAUGAGGAUUUGGCCCACAACAAGUUAACUCUAAGGGUAUAUUUGGAGAACAUUUUUAAAAUAGUUUUUUUAUUUUUAAAAAUAAGAAAUAAUUGAAAAAUAUGUUUAAUGAUAAAAAAUUAAAAAAAAAUAUUUUAUAUUUUUAAAAACAAAAACAAAUUGUUUUUUAGAACAUAUUUUCACUUAUUUUCUAAAAAUCGUUUUAAAAAAUAAUUGCAUAUAUAUAAGAAUAAUUGAAAAUAAAAUAAUACAAAUAAAAAUUAUUUUUAAAAAAUAUUUAAAACAUAUAAAAUAAGUUCAAAAUAUUUUAAAUUUUCAAACAAACUUUUAUCUUAUAAAACACCAUAAUAACUUUUAAGAAUGUUUUUCAAACAAAGCAUUAUUUUAGCAUUUGGAGAGUUGAAGACAAUGGGCGAGAGGAGACUAACGAAAAUAUGAUAAUGGCGAAUUUGAUCACGACACCCACAUCAUACCAAUAGGAUGGGAUAGUUUCCAUACACCAAUUAGAGAAGACUUAUUUUUAAAAAUAAAAACUAUUUUUUUAGUUUAGUAAAUAGAUUGAAUGAUUAUUUUUGUAUUGAAAAAUGAUUUUUUUUUCAAAGCUUAUUUUAAAUUAGAACAUAUUUUAAUCCUUUUUAUUUAUUUUAAAAGGACUUGAUCAAAAUAAUUGUCCAAAUAUAAAUAAUGAUUGAAAAUAAAAUAUUAUUAAUUAAAGUUAUUUUUAAGGAAUAUUUUGAGAGCAUAUUCCAAGUUACCAAAUUGAUUUUUAUUUCAAAAAAUAUCAUAAAAUUAUUGUUUUUAAAUAUUUUCGAUAAUAUUUUCAAACAUACCAUUCUUUCCAUAAAAAACAACCUCUUAUUCGAUAAUUUUGCUUAAAAUUAUAUAUAUAUAUUAUAGAAUAUUUCAUAUAUUUAACAUCAUAUAAAAUUAGUUUUUAUAUGAAUAUCAUAUAUCAUACAUGCAUGGGAUAUAAAGAUAAAAAAAUUAUAUCUAAAACAUAAUAUCUCAUAGGUAGAUCACAAUAAUGAAGUAAGGUUGAAACUUAAGAUAUAGACACUAUAAGUAAAGAAACAUGAAAUAUUACUAGACUUAGGGGUAUUCGGUAAAACUUAAUACUUAUUAUUUAAUAAUUUAAGUUAAUUUUAAGUUAAAUUAUAACUUAUUAGUCAAUUAUUAUUUUAAGCAUUAAGAUUAUUUGAUAAAAUUAACUUAAAAUUUAUUUUAAAUAGUUAAAUUAACAUAUUUAUUCUCAUAAAUUAUAAUUAGGAUAAAAGAGGUUGAGUGAUGGUAAAAUAGUAAAAAAGAACAUAAAGAUAAUUAAAACAAAUGAGGAUAAAAAAAUGAAAUGAAGAUAUAAAUUUAACUGUCAAUAAUUAAAGGUCAACGGUUUGUCCAAUCCUACUACAACCACCUUAAUUUCCCCAACCUUGAAGUUACACAAACACAAACUCGUUAGUUUUAAAAUUUCCCCUAUGCUCUGUGGUGUGAGAGACAAAGAGACCUUUCAGUGGCAAGUAUAUGUGUCAUCCACUAGGGAUUUCAACCCAACACAUUCAAUCAGCACAUGUGUCAUACACUCUCAUCCUCAAAAACAAUGGUGAAAAGUGGAGUUGAUUUUUCAUUACCCUUCUUUCCAGAUCUUUACUUGGCACAUGUCAUUUGAGCAAAUAGAAAAAUAACUUAUGGAAUCACUAAAAUGUAUAUAUCGUAGAGGUUUAGACAAAACAUUCAAAGAAUCCUUUCGCUCAUUUGUCCAUUCGCAUUAUUAAAAAGACUAAAAUGUAAAUAUUUAUAAGGUCUAGAGACAAUUUUCAUGGGAUGUUCUUAUUUAUUUGUCCAUCCACAUCACACAUCGAAUACUCUUUCCUUUGGCGAGUAAAUCAAAAGCCUUAUUGAUGUCUUCAAACUUCAUCUCAUGUGUGAUAAAGUUAUCCACAUUUAAUUCCUGAAAAGAAUAAAAAUAAUAUUUAAAAAAAAAGAGAAAAAAAGAACAAUAAACCAUUAAAGGCAUAAUAUUUGACAAUUUCAUCUCAAAAAAUAGGUCGUAUAUAAAUCGACAUGAUGGAUAGUGGUGAUUUAUAAAUUGUUAUUUCUCUGAUAAAAAGUAUUAUAUAAAGUAUUCUAUAUCAUAUAACAUAUCAUGCUAAGUUAAGAAGAAACAAAGACUAUGAUAUAUAUGAUAUUUAAAGUAUACAUUGAAUCAAUAAAAAUAUGAAAAAUAAAAAUAAAAAUUAUUAAAAAAAAAAGGAUUAAGUUUUGGACUGUGAGAGAACAUUAAAAAGAAAAUAUAAGUUGCGAGAUAACAUUAAAAAAAUAAGAUAAUUUUUUUUCCUUUUAAUUUUCUCGUAUUCUUUGAUAUAACAUGAUUAAUUAAAAAGUGCUAAAUUUGGAUAUUUUUCCUUUACAAUAUUGUUAUUGAAGUAUUGAACUACCACAUAAUAUUUACUCCAUUACCUUGUCCACCAGGCGUUGUAAAAGAACUGGAAUAUGAGAUUUGGGUUUGAGACCUCCAUAUAUACUUCCCAUUACACUUUUUCCACAAUGAAGCAUCUCAACAGAACUAAAGUUUAACAUCGCACCAGGCUUGUCCACUCCUACCAUGAUCGCCUUCCCCCAACCCUAAAGUUACACAAAGAAAAAUUAAGAUCGUUACCCUUGAAAUUUUCCUUACCCUAUAUGCUAUAUUUGAUUCUUAGGAAAGUGCUACAAAAAAACAUAUUGACGAAAAUAAUUUAUAUAUAUAAUAAAAUAUAAUUCUUAUUAUUUAGGUCUUGUUUUUUUUAUUUCAAUUUUAAAGAAAUCGCUUUCAUUUUCUAGAAAACCCAAUUCAGAAAAUAGAAAAGAUAAACCACCAAUUUGGUGUUUUAAUUUUUUUUUUCUUAAAAAUAAAUGGGUAGGGUUUACUAAAAAGUGAAGAAAAAAAAAAUUGAAUUGCAUCAAAAGAAUAUGAAUAUUUGUCAAUAACAUUAAAAUAUUACAAUCUUUUUCAUUUUAUUACUAAUAAUAUUAGUUUAGAAAGUAGUUCCUUGUAGUAGAUGAAAAUAUGCAUGAUCGAUCAAUUCUUUUAUUAACUAUGGAAAAUAAUGCAAUUAAUCAAUUCCUUCAUCAACUAUAAACAUGCUAUAAUUUUUUAAUUAUUAAAAUAACCAAUUGAUAAAAGGAAAUAAAAAAAAUACUCAAAAAAUGAAAUUCUACUAUUUUCAUGCAAAAAAAAAUUAGUAUCAAACAAGGUUUCCUAGGAAAUGUUGUGUCAUGUGCAAUUAGGUCGGGGAGAGAGAUAGAGACCUUUCGGCAGGAAGCAAAUGCGUCUUGCACCAAGGAUGCGAAGCCAACGCAUUCAAAGCAGUAGUCUGCCCCUCCAUCAGUCAUCUCUACAAUCGCCUGUUCAUCAUCAUUCAAUUAAUACCAACAUUGACUUCAAUAAUUCUUAAAGAUUAGUAGUAAUCCAUCACUAGCUUGAGAUUAAUUCAGGUAUAGAUAUAAUGAGUGCAUGGAUUAGAGGAAAAAACCUGGCUCACUGGCUUAUCCCCACAGUUUCUAGGGUUGACAAACUCUGUCACUCCAAAUUUCUUUGCUGCGUGAACAAAUAAAAUUGUCAAUACUUCGCUCCUCAAUACCUAUUUGGCCAAUGUAUUCUUUUAAAUCAUAACACUAUUUUCUGAUUUAUGAAAUUAUAAAUAAAUAAAUAAAAACAAUUAUCAACCAAACCUCUCAAGUUUACUAGUGACGCAAACAAGAAAAUCAGACAUUAAAAAAAGUUGUAUUUACCAACGUCAAAUUUCUCUAGGUUGGUAUCCACACCAAUAAUUCUGGAAGCUCCACACAGUCUUGCUCCCUCGGCAACCUAUUCCACCAAAAGAUAGCUGUGAGGCUCUCUCAAAGACUUACAGAUACAUGCUUGAGAAAGAAAAUGAAAAGAUGUAAGAACUUUUGGAAAGAUAAUACCGCCAAUCCAAUUGCUCCUAGCCCAAAUAUAACAACAGUGGACCCCUUUUCCACUUUUGCCGUUCUCCAUGCGGCACCAACCCCUGAGAGCCCAAAAUUUGUGUUACAUCGAUCAGGUUGCAUAAUGGCAUGCAUCCAAAGAAUUAAGACGAAAUCCAAGCAUAUUUAUACCAGUGGAUACUCCACAACUGAAGAGGCAUGCUUUGUUUGGUGGGAUUGCAGGGCUAAUUUUUGUAAUGUUGUCGAUGUCCACAACUGUGUACUCACUGAAACUGGAGACAUUUAGAAAAUGGUAGAGAACCUCUCCUUUAAGGUCUGUAAAUCUGCUGCUCUUGUGUCUAGGCAACCAAGGGGAGAUUUCGAAUGGGAAUUUUGAGCAUAGGUUGCUCUUCUCCGAUCUGCAAUCCAUGCAUUCUCCGCAAUCUGGAAUGAAUAUUGGGAGCACAGUAUCUCCUUCAGCUACUUCAGUUACAUUCUCCCCCACACUCUCCACAACCCUGCACUUCACAGUCAUCAUAUCAUAAUCACAUCCCACUGAUCUAAAUCUUUCCAAGAAACCCCCAGGUUCUAGGGGGACAAAUUUGAGAUUACCCGACGGCUUCAUGGCCCAGAAUUCUCGGAAAGCAUGCUGGAGGUUCCUGCACAAUGAGCAAACCUCCAGAUUUAUUUUCUUCGUCCAAUAUCCAUAUCAAAAAUCAUGUAGAGGAAGCGGAAGACUGAAUAUGACCUUCAGUUUCCAGAAGGUGAGGUCGCUGUGGCAAAGCGAAGUGCAGAUGAUCCGAAUCCGAACUUCACCAGCCAUCGGCGGAGCUACCAUCACCUCCUCCAUCACCAGCGGCUCCCCUGCUUUUCUGCUAACCGCAGCUACACAACACAAAAACAAGUACACCCCCUCACUUCACAGUUUCAUCAUAAUAAAGAGUUUCCCAAACAACAAAAAAGACUUCAAAGAGUACCUCUGCAUCGAAUGGGCUUCCCCCUAGUCUGACUCUCACCAGCCACCUUCUCUUUCAAUGGUUGAUAAGAGGCCAUCGUCCUCCGGCCUUUCACCUACGAGUUUUUUAUUGGUACCUUCACGAUUGGCUCAAUAGGAUAGAACAUUAUAGAAAAUGCAUGUAGUGUGUUCUCGUAUAUCCUUAUGUCUUUGUCUUUGUAUUUCAUAAUAUGAUAUCUUGAAUAUUGUCCUGAAUAGAUAUUAUAAUAUACUUAUAUUUAGUUUAUUAAAUGGUUAAAAAAUAAAAUAAAAUAAAAUAUAUAUUAUUUUUCAAUAUUCAUAUCAGUUUAAAAUAAAAAUUAUUUAAUAUUUGUUAUAAAAAAAAAAACUCAUGUUUAACAAAUUUAUGAUUAAAAUAUUUAAAAUUUAUAAAUAGAAUUUAUAAUGAUUAUUUUUAGAUGGACAUAGGGAGUAGAUUAGUAGUUAGUGCUCCUAUUAUGACUUUUUCCAUAUCAAGAUAAGAGAAAUCCAGAUUUUUGUUGAGAUGGUUUGAUUUUGGGCUAUUUUGAACAAUUGCUUAAGACUUCCUCACAAAAAAUAGGUAAUUUAUCAAUUUUUCAUGCAUGUUGUUGAAAUUUUUUAAAUGAGAAUUAGAAAUUUUUUUAUUUAAUUAGAUCUUGAGGAAGAAAGUAUACCCCCUGGCAAUGUGGUGGUGAUGAACCCAUGGACAGUGGUGCCGUGGUAUAAACUGGAAGUUUAGUUUCGUGACUGGUUGUGACACGUGGGAUGAUAGUCUCCCGAGGUGGCAGUACGGACGACUUGGUGAAGGGGCGCCAGACCCAUGAGGAUGUCAACUGGCGGCAAGGAGAUGAGCAACAAUGAGGGCAUGGUCGGUGCAGCAGCGGCGACGGCGGAUGGGUGGCCUGUGGCGCUGCUGAUCUGAGAAUAAUGGAGGUGGUGGUGUGACGGUGUAACAGUGGGGCGUGGUGGUGCUUGCGGAGGAGCUGUGAUGCAUGGUGCAGGCUGGCAGUGGAAAUGGAGGGCGGUGGUGCAUGGUAGCGGCGGUGGUGGCUUGGACUGAUGGCUGCAACUGUUGCUGCCGGAGAUGAAGGAAGGGCGGCUGUGUGGGCAAGGGUCCGGAAGAGAUGGGUGCGGCGAAAUGGUAGCAGCAUGGUGGUGGGAAGGGACUGUCAAAGGAGCUGUGGCGACGGCAGGGUGCGGAAAGAGAAAAGGUGGGAAAAGAAGAAGGAAGGAGAGGAGGAAUUCCCAUUUCCUCUUAAAACACCCUCGCCUUUUUAUAAUGCUAUUUUUUAGGUCGUGUUACCGACUUAUAGUAGUAAGCCUAUUAUGGCGUAGAAGCAAACUCAGAUACAAAUAAGAAAAUUUCUAUUUAUCUAAUAUCUUAUCUUAUUAUGGAUCAAAUAUGAAAUUUAAUAUAUUAUUUCCUCUUUUAUUAUAUCUCAUAUUUGACUAAAUAUGAUUUAUAAGAAAUCUUAUAUCAAAAUGGUAAGUGUAAUUCUCAUAUGUAAAAUUAUUUUUAUGAAUCUAAUUGAAUGGAUAUAUAUAAAUUUUAUUUAUGGUAAUAUAUCUAUUAUAGCUUAUAAGGAAUCUCAUAUGGAGAUAAGAGUAAUAAAAUAUUUGAUAUUAUUUUUAUUAAUCUAAUUGAAUUGAUAUAUAUAUAUAUAUAUAUAUAUAUAUAUAUAUAUAUAUAUAUAUAUAUAAAUUUUAUUUAUGAUAGUAUGCCUAUUAUGGCUUAUAAGGAAUCCCAUAUCCAAAUACUCCAUAGAUAAAUUUAACUACUAGUACAAUGUAUUACAACAACACCUUUUAUAUUGUAUAUUUGGAAUUUUGACUACAAUUAGUACAAAAAUGAGUAAUAACCUUUAAUAAGGACGAGUACCAUUCAAUUCAAUAUUUUGUUCAUUCAGGUUUGAUUGUAUCGUAGCUCUAUAAGUCAAAUUAGGUUUACCAUGGGAUGAACUGCAUUGUUGAUAUUGACCCAAAAAAAGAAAUUGUGGGUACAAUUAGUCUGUGAACAACCAACCAUCACACUAUAAAAAUUGUAUAGGUUCAAUCUAUAGUCAUUGGGGCCUCCUAAAAAGAUCUACUAAAUUCAUCAAGUUGUUUCAAAGGAUCAAAACGGUUGAUUAUUAAUGGAAUUCCUUGUCGGCUCUUUGUGAGCUCUCAUUUCACAUGCCUAAUAUGGUUUAUGUCAUAAAUGGACUUUGAAGGCACAUUAAAUUCCAAUUUAAUUUAAUUUAUACGUUUGUUUUUAAAUAAAAGUAAUUUUUAAAAUGAAGUGCAUUCAUGAGGUGGCCUUCUUCUACAUAUAUACGUGUGUGGAUUGAAAAUUGGAUUUGAAAAUUGCAUCUCCAAUAUUAUUAUUAAUCAUUUCAAUUAACCCUAUUCAAAUAGAUCAUCACCCUUUUAACCAAUUAUUUUAUAUGUAAGUAGAUGACAAACACCUUAUACUUGUUCUUCAAUAGUACAAUGACUUAGUGUGUUUAUAGUUGUGCAAAUAAAAUUCCAAUGGGGACCACUAAUAAUAUGAAUAAGAAAUAAAUAAAGGUAUGACACAAAUGUCAUACACUUACAAUACAAUUACACUAGAACUAUAACAUAUUAUAACAAUACUUUACGUAUCGCACUUUUGAAAUUUUUUAAUAAGACCAAAUCAAGUUCCAACAAAGCGAUAAUGGUCAUAUCGAUGACAAUUGUAACAUUCAACCUUAGAUUUGUCUAUAGACACUCGUUUUCCUUGAAAAUCAACAACCUUUUCUUCUAUUUUGUGGUACCCAUUUUUGCCUUUCCAUUCUCCUUUUCCAUGUCUAACAAUUCUUUGAUAUGUUGUUGCUUGCAAUUCUUGUUCUUCCUUUUCUCAAAGAAUUAUUUUCUACUCAUGGAUCAACAAAGAACUCUAUAAUUCAUCAAUUGAGAAUAAGUCGAUGUCUUUUAAUUCUUCAAUCACACAAAAAAUAAUUAAAAUUUGUUAUUAAGAUCAAAGAGUGUUCUCAACUAUGGUGAUAUCCUCAACGUUUUCCCUACUAAUUGGCCUAUUAUUUGUGAUUACUGUAGGGACCCCUCCCCACACGUGGCACACAUCUCCUGAUGACACGUGGCACACAUUCUCAUCCGGAUUUCCCCAAGAGUACACGUGGCGCACAUCUCCUAUCCGAACUCCCUCAAGGAGAGGCACACGACACUCACAAACAUAACAUCCGGACGACUGCCACAAUGCACCCGGAUGACCGACAUAUACUGUUCGGAUAUGUUUGUCCGGAUCAUUGACUGAAGUAAGCAAGUCGUGCACGUUAUCACAACAGUCUGCCAUGGCCCACGUUCCGCCACCUGCAGAGUGAAAGGACAAGAAUGAAGUGACGACAAGUCACUUCCUACUAUCUCUGACAAUUCCAACGCCUCCCACGAUCUCUGUCAGCCGCCCGUAGGGUGAUGAUGGCCCUACCACCACCUAGUGGCAUUAUGACAAACCCAAAAUAUCUCCCUACCAUUAAAGAGGGAAACAAAGCUUCUAGUACUAUAUAUAUGAACCUUCACACAAAGAGGAAGGUAAGCUUGUUAUACCUAGUAAAAAGGUCAACUGAUUUAUCUCUCUUUCCAUGGCUGAAAAAACCAUCGGAGGGUGUGUCCGGACACCCUGUCCGGACGCCUUUUGCAGGAACGACUGAACUAGGAAUCUAUAUGGGUUGAGAUCGUGCGUCCAUCCAUUUGGCAGCUACAUGAAUCAUCAGGGACGCGAGGCCUCAACAAUUACCAUUGUCCUUGAAAUGUACUUUGAAACCAAUUCUCCUAUCUUCAUUCAUAGAGCUUCAAGUUCAACAUGAAGUGCUUAGGGGUGUACCCAUUUCGCCCUUGUUGUCCUUAGAUACUUCUUUUUCAUGGAGUUCCAAAUUUGUUGGAAUUGUCUUUAUUAAGGAUUGUUUCUAGGAUCAAGCGAUCAAUAGCUUGGAACAAGUUAUAAGUUUUCGCCUUAAGAUCCUUCAAUCUCUACUCUUCCAUUCUCUUUUGUUAAGUUUUUGUCAACACCACUCUACUACCUAGUUCAAUCACACCAAUUUCCACAAUAUUCUCAUACUCCAUAGAUCAUAGAAAAUUUUCCAUCAACAUGCUCUGAUGAUCAUAGUGACUAUCAAAUCAAUGGAUCAUUAGCUACAAGUUACCAUUAGAUGUCAUUAAUGUCUAUUGGUUACUACUACAACAUAGUUAUGGUUUUUUUUUUCUUUUUCUUUUUAACUCCAAAUCUUUUUGUCACUUUGAUAUCACUGUUACAAAAAUUAAAGAAAAUAAAAUCAAACACUCCUGCAACAAAGCUAACUAACAUAUAUAGGAGGAGUUACUCCUAUUUAUUCAUAAUGAAAACUCCCUUUACAUUAUGCAUAACAACCAACAACCAUGAAAUUUAACUUCCUUUUUUCUUAUAUUAUUAUAUUUAUCAUCUUAUUAAAAGAUAUUUUUAUAUUUUACACUUAAUAAGGAUUAAUUUCAUUCAACUAAGGUUUGAAAUACUUCUGUGUUAACCAACAAAAUUUGAAAUUAAUGGCGACUUGGUGGUGUUUGUUUUUUUACUUAAUUCUAAAUAUAACCUUAAUGCUUAAUAGAAUUAAAUAUUAUGUUGUUUGUUUUUAUAGUAUUUUAUUUAUAUUAAGUAUUAAAAAGUAAAAUAAACUAACAAGUUAUUUUUUUUUUUUUAGAAAAAAUUACAUAUUUUGACUUUUUCUAUUUAGUAAAAAGUUUAUAAUAAGUUAUGAAAAAGUAGAAAAACAAACAACCUAAAUUAUAAAACUAAAUUGAUUUCAGCAAAAAACCAAAAAAACAAACACCACAUGUGUAUUUACUGUUUUACACUAAUCCUAAUCAAAAACAUUUUUUUUUUAAAAUUAUCAAUGAUAAGAAAAAUAUCUCCCCUUUUUUAGUCGAUUAAAUAAUAUUAGAAUGCACGAUAAGUAAAAGAAAAAAAGAUUAGUUUUACUCAUGUCUCUUAUUAAUUUAGAGUGUGUGGAUGUUUUUAGAAUAAAAAUCAAAUAUUAGGUAAAAUUUAAAAAGCACAUUUGAAAUUUUGAAAAUUCAUUUAAAAAGCCUUGAUAGGAGAUACUCUAAAACAAUGAUUUUUAUUUAAAAAAAAUACUUAAACUAAAAGUAAUUUGAUUAAAAACGUUUUGAUAAUGAUUAUAAAAAAUAUUUUUAAUCCUUCAAAAUUAUUAUUAGAAAUACACAUCCUUACCAGACACAUUCUAAGUCAUAAAUGGUUUUAAAGAUAGAGAUAUUCGAGGAUCGUUUCUUUUCGCACUCCAAUACACGAUUAAAAACAAUAAUAAAAAAAAAUCAGUAUAUACCAUCAUAGAACCCAAUUCGUAUGGUACUGUUCCAAUAGAAACGCAUGUAGCUGCCGUUUUGAUUAUUACUGGUAGUGAUAGAAACCGAAGAUUGUAUCCGUCUCUCCUCUUCCUCGACAGGCCUCUGGCGGCUGCUUCUCUCGAAGAUUCAAAUAAUCAAAAGAUCUACUAAAAUUCAUAAGUUGUUCCAAAUAAUCAAAACAGUUGGUUAUUAAUGGAAUUCCUUGUGGGUUCUUUGUGAGUUCUCAUUCCACAGGCCUAGUAUGGUUUAUGUCAUAAAUGGACUUUGAAGGCAAAUUAAAUUCUAAUUUAAUUUAAUUUAUACGUUUUUUUUUAUAAAAGGAAUUUUUAAAAUGAAGUGCAUUCAUGAGGUGACCUUCUUCUACAUAUUUAUGUGUGCGGAUUGAAAAAUUGAUUUGAAAAUUGCAUCUCCAAUAUUAUUAUUAAUCAUUUCGAUUAACCCUAUUUAAAUAGAUCAUCACCCUUUUAACUAAUUAUUUUAUAUAUAAGUAGAUGACAAAUACCCUAUACUUGUUCUUCAAUAGUACAAUGGUUUAGUGUGUUUAUAGUUGUACAAAUAAAAUUCCAAUGGGGACUAUUAACAAUAUGAAUAAGAAAUAAAUAAAGGUACGCCAUAAAUGUCAUACACUUACAACACAAUUACAUUACAACUAUAGAACUAUACUAUAUUACAACAAAACUUUACGUAUCGUACUUUUGAAAAUUUUGAAUAAGACCAAAUCAAGUUCCAACAAAGCGAUAAUGGUCAUAUAUCGAUGACAAUUGUAACAUUUAACCUUAGAUUUGUCUAUAGAUAUUAGUUUAUGUCCUAUUGAAUUCUUACCAUCAGGAUCUCUCUCGUUUUCCUUGAAAAUCAACAACCUUUUCUUCUAUUUUGUGGUACCCAUUUUUGCCUUUCCAUUCUCCUUUUCUAUAUCUAACAAUUCUUUGAUAUGUUGUUGCUUGCAAUUCUUGUUCUUCUUUCUCUCAAUGAAUUAUUUUCUACUCAUGGAUCAACAAAUAACUCUAUAAUUCAUCAAUGGAUAAUAGGUCGAUGUCUUUUAAUUCUUCAAUCACACAAAAAAUAAUUAAAAUUUGUUAUUAAGAUUGAAGAGUCUUCUCAACUAUGGUGAUAUCCUCAACGUUUUCCCUACUAAUUGGCUUAUUAUUUGUGAUUACCAUUGUACUUGAAAUGUACUUUGAAACCGAUUCUCCUAUCUUCAUUCAUAGAGCUUCAAGUUCAACAUGAAGUGCUUAGGGGUGUACCCAUUUCACUCUUGUUGUCCUUAGAUACUUCUUUUUCAUGGAGUCCCAAAUUUAUUGGAAUUGUCUUUAUUGAGGAUUGUUUCUAGGAUCGAGCGAUCAAUAGCUUGGAACAAGUAAGUUUUUGCCUUAAGAUCCUUCAAUUUCUACUCUUCCAUUCUCUUUUGUUGAGUUUUUCUCAACACCUCUCUACUACCUAGUUCAAUCAUACCAAUUUCCACAAUAUUCUCAUACUCCAUAGAUCAUAGAAAAUUUUUCAUCAAAUCAAUGGAUCGUUAGCUACAAGUUACUAUUAGAUGUCAUUAAUGCCUAUUGGUUGUUACUGCAAAGUUAUUGCUUUUUAACAUUUUAGAUCAUAGAAAAUGAAUUAGAUGAAAUAUAUUAUUAGGAUAAAAUUUGAACCAUCAGUGAAUAGUGUAUUUACAUUAAACUUUAAAUGGAUUGUAAAUAAAAUUAGUCAAAGAAAAAUGACAUUAGGAAAAAAAAAGCCUAUGUGACAUUUUGAUCAUUUAAUUGUGCUAUUUGAUUAAAAAAAGAUGAAAUAACUCUUGAUUUGUAAAUCUAAUUCUUUAUAUUAAUUUUUUAAAACCUACGUGGAAAUUAUACCAUUUGAAAACAUUUAAGUCAAAAAUGGUUUAAAACAUAAGAGAUUAGAUUUAGAAUUCGAGGAUCGUUUCUUACACGAUUAAAAAUAAUAAAAAAAAAAAUCAGUAUAUAUUAUCACAGAACCCAAUUCGUAUGGUACUGUUACAAUAGAAACACAUGUAGCUGCCGUUUCGAUUAUUACUGGUAGUGAUAGAAACCGAAGAUUGUAUCCGCCUCUCUUCUCUUCCUCGACAGGCCUCUGGCGGCUGCUUCUCUCGAAGUUUCUAGUGACUUCUAUUGUUUGUUUUCGGAGACAAUUGCUUCUGUAAGUAUCAAUUUUGGGAAAUAAUUCCUCUGGUUGGGAGUUUGCAGAGUGAAUGGGGGAAGCUGAGGUUAAGCCUAAGAAGGCUGGCCCUGUACAGUGCUCCAUCUGUAGCCAGAGGAGAGCCGCUCUUAAGCGCCCCAAAACCCUAGAGCAGGUACCUCUGCGACCCUCUCAAUUUCAGUUGUUCCGCUGUUUGGUUGCUGAGAAAACGGAGGAAAAAGUAAAGUAAAUAUAAGAAAAUUUCUGAUUGUCGUUCACUUAUGUAUCUUUUGUUUGAAAGAAGAAAAAAAAAUAUCUUACCUAAUCUUCGCCAAUAGUUUCAGGGGUUCUUGUCUUCUUCAUGUCCAAUAAGGAGAGAUUGGAUCCGAUUUUUUUGUUUCCUUUUUUUUUUUUUCCUCGCAUUUGUUUUGUUUUGCCGCCAAACACUGUAGUAUCUGGUUCUUAUUUAUGAGAUUUGUAGACCCGAUGGUAAUCCACUAUUUGCUUAUUGCACGCGCUGUGGAACCCUAGGUUUUGUCUUUGAGGGCUUAUUUAAUUUUUUUUUUUUCAAAUGAAGAUUUGCAGGGAGUGUUUCUAUGCUGUUUUUGAGGAAGAGAUCCAUAGAGUAGUCGUUGACAACCAACUAUUCAAACCUGGUGAGCGCAUUGCCAUUGGAGCUUCUGGGGGAAAAGGUGAAUACCUCAUUCUUUGUGACUUUUCAUCUGAUAAUGAUGUCACUGCACAUGAGGUUUCAAUUAAUCAAUUGUGCUGAUAUGUAUUAAAAACUGGAUUCAUUGAGUAGCGUGUUUUCUCAAAUAUGACUUUGAUAUGCUUGUGCCAAUAGAUAGUAGAUAAUGAAUUGAGUAUCUGUUUCUUCUCAUUACCGUUUCCCUCAUCUAUGCAGAUUCCACAGUCCUUGCUUAUGUAUUAUCAGAAUUGAAUCGCAGGCAUAAUUAUGGCCUCGAUCUCUUCCUUUUGUCAGUUGACGAGGGAAUUACUGGGUACAGGGAUGACUCACUUGAAACUGUCAAAAGAAACGAAAUUCAGGUGCACAGUUUUGUUAUGAAAAAUCCUUCUAAAUGUCCAUGAGUAUCGUGCAAAAGAGAGUUCUAAGGGUUUGGCAAUAGAAAGUUCCUUGGUUAUCAAAAAAAAAUAAAAAUAGUUGUUUGUUUAUUUUUAAAUAAUAUAUUGUAGGAGUUAAAAAUUCCUCUUAACAUGAUUGUAGUUAUCAUCUUACUAGUCGGAUGUACACCUUCUGGGUAUUCGGGUGCUCUCAUCCAAGUAGUUUGCUUUUCAUUGUCCUUCUUGCUUUGAAGUCGUAAUGUAAACUACAUUGGUCCCCUAUCAUGAGACCUUUGGCUUCCCCUAUCAUGACACCUUUGGCUUGAAGAAAGGUGGCAAUGCACUCUACUUCUAGUAGUUGGUGAGGAACUCACUUGUUCUAGUUGAUGGCAAGUAAUUCUAUUUGAUGUGGUUGACAAUCUUUCCUUUUCCUCAAUUUUAUUCAUAGUCUUUAGUGUACUUGAAGUUGCUUGGACUUUGAACCUUCAUAUUUACAUACAUAAUCUUUUGUUGAGUUAUGUGAUAAAACAUAUUUAGGGUAUUUAUUUACUUCUUUUAUAUAUAUAUAUAUAUUCUUUUUUUUUUUCCUGGCUAUCUCUCAAUCAAUUUUUAGAUUGAACUUUUAUUAAUCAAUUUAAAUUGAGCUUUUAUGUAUGAAGAACUUUAGUUAUUUUUUUAAAUAGAUGAUUAUGCUAAUAAAUUUUAUAUUAGCAUAACUUCCAAAAAAAUUAAAGAGAUUAUGCAAGUUGCAUCUUAUUGUGUAAUUCUAAAAGAACGUAGAGUUCUACAACAAUAAAAUUAUAAUAAUAAAAUAAAAAGUAUAGUGAUGAGAUUAGUGUUUUUAUAGCAAAAGAGUUUUUAUAAAUAAAAUCUUUAAAUAAUAAUUAUAAUCAAUAUAACUAUAAAUAAAUGAAAAUUCAGACUAGAAAAAUUUUGUGUCUAGAAUAUCAUUCUCUAGUGAAAGUUCUAAGAGUUUGAAAUCCAAUUCUCAUUGUUGAUAAUGUAUAGUACUUUGCACUUCGGCUUCAAUAUUUUACAAGACUUUACAUUUUGAUAGGUGAUUAACUUUUUAUUCAUUGUUCUUAUCGGCAAUACCAAAUUGUAGGAGCCACAAAAUUCUGUUAACAAUAAUACAAGUAUAAAUGGUAUGAAAGAUAAGUAAUCCAGAAAAGACAUUUUUGUUAUGAUUAUAUAACCAUAAAAAAGUUAUUAAGUGUCAAAACUUAUAGAUUCUAUGCAAAGAUGGGAUAUCUUUUCAUGGAACUUUAUAAGUUUUAGCACUCAACAACUUUUUCUAUAGUUAAAUCAUAUAUGAUUAUGGCAUAGGUUUUUUUUUAUUAUUACUCUUUUAUCUUGUUUAAGGAGAAUUUUUUAGCUCCCUACAAUUUGGUGUUAUUUGUGGGAAUGAUGAACAAAAAGUCAAUUUCUUAUCAAAAUGCAAAGUAAUGGUCUUUGAUAUCAAAGUUAGAGUACAAAGCAAUAUAUAUCAUCAACAUUCAGAACUUUUCUCAUAACUUUCACUAGAGAAUGAUAAUUAUGGGAAAGAAUUUUUCUAGUUUUAAUCUUCAUUUAUUUAUAAUUUUAUUAAUUAUAAUUAUCAUUUAAAGAUUUUAUUUAUGAAAACUCUCUUGUUGUGGAAACAUUGAUCUUAUUAUUAUAACUUUAAUGUUAUCAUUAUAAUUUUACUGUUGCAAGACUCUUAUGUUCUUUCAAAGUCUCAUGAGAAGAUGCAUUUUGCAUAAUCUCCUUAACUAGUUUUUGGAUUUUAUGUUAAAAUAAAAUUUUAAUUGCAUAAUUAUUUAUUAAAAAAAUAGUUAAAGUUCUCUAUGAAUAAGAGUUUAGUUUAAAAUUAACUAAUAAAAGUUUGAUCCAAAAAUUGAAUGAGAGAUGAUUGAAAAUAAAUUUUUUCUUACAAAAAACAUAUAGAAGUUCAAACAAUUAAACUAAAUAUAUUUAAGUACAAAAUCCACAAAGAGAUUAUUUAUUUACAUGUAAAGGUUCAAAGUCUAGACAACUUCAAAUACAUUAAAAAGUAAGAAUAGAAUUAGGAAAAUGAUUCUAGAAGGUUGUGAACAUGAAUAAGACACCAAGAAGAUGUUGCAACAAGUAGAGUUUGUUACCAUCAACUAUAAGAAGUAAAGUACCCCACUAAUUACAAGUAGAGUCCCUUGUCAAUUGUUUUCAAGCCAAGGGUAACAUGAUGGGAGAGCAAUAUGAUAUACGUUACAAGUUCAAGGCAAGGAAAAUGGAAAGCAAAAUACUCGGUUGAUCACCUAAGUGCUAAGAAGAUGUACAUCCGAGUACUAAGAAAAUGAAAAUCUUCUAAAUGUCUAUGAGUAUAUUUCAAAGCAGAAGAUGUUUCUUUAUUUUCUAAAUAAUAUUAUCUGUUUUUUCUUUUUUGUUUUUUUUUCCUCAGUAUGGCCUGCCACUGAAGGUUGUAUCUUACAAGGAUUUGUAUGGAUGGACGAUGGAUGAAAUAGUGAAGAUGAUAGGUUUAAAGAACAACUGCACAUUUUGUGGUGUUUUUCGUCGUCAGGUGUGAGAAUUAAUUUCUUCUAGGCUAGGAAAUGAAAAUUGUAUUUUUUUCAAUAAGUGUAUCGCCUCUGAUAUGUGCUGAAAGUAUCCAGAAUUAUCUAAUGGCUUCUUGUUCAGGGCCAUAGAAUGUUUAGCGAGAUAGGAAUUCAACUUGCCUUAUGAAAACUGGCUUUCUGUUUUAUGAAGCAUGAACCUGUAACCUUCAUACAUGACCAGGCAUUAACAACCCUCCGUCCAUUCUCAUCUCUCUGCACUUUUGUGGUCUAAUUAAAAACCUUAGCCUUUAACCCUGCUGAGUAAAUUUCAUUUCACUCUUCUCAUGAGAUCGUAAAUCAUUUUAAAGGGAAUUUUUUUUUUCUAGCCUAAAUCUAAUAUGAACUUUGGGAAACACCUAAUUUAGAAUUUCUUUUAUUUAUUAGAUCCAAAUUCCCUGAAUUUCAUUAUAUUUUCUGAAAUUGUAGCUCGUAUUCUUACCGGUCAAAUGGUUGAAAUUUUCCUUGAAUUUAAGGAAAAGUCCUAACACUGAUUUUGGUUGAGUUUUCUUUCAAUUUGAUUUGGUGGGCCUUUUCUGAAUUUUAAUUUAUUAACAUGUUGUCACUAUUUGUUGAAUUCUUAAGACCAUGAUUGUUUAGAAAAAUGUUAUAAUGGUUGAAAAUUGUCCAAACUUCUACUAAAUCUAGUCAAAAUUGCUUGUAAUUUGUUUAACACCUUGUCUGAAUUUGAUUUUUUUUACAAGUUUGUAAUUUUUUUUUUUACUUUAUUUUAUCCUUUUCAUGUGGAGUGAUAAAAAAGAGGGAAAAAAAAAAAUCUAUCCAAAGAGAUAUUGUAUAGUAUAUAUAUAUGAAACAGCUAAAAUUUGUUAAAAUUUUUUGGUAAAAUUCUAGAGUUUUUCUGGUUAAAUUUGCUUUUGAUUUUGAUAUGGACAACCUUUCUAAACUUGAAUUGCAACUAUUUGGAAGACAUUUUAAGACUGAUUAUUUGCAAGGAAAAAGGUAUGAUGGAAAUUUGUCCACAGAGCUUUUCGUAGGAAAUAAUAUAUUAGAAUAAUUAAAAAUUUCCUACAACUUUGGGAAAUGUCUCUGAUUAUCUCUGUUCAAAUUUACCAUCAAUUCUUGGAUGCCAUUUUGGAAGAACUUGUUUACAACUUAAGACUACCAGUAAAUUUUUGAGACCAUGAUUACCUGUAAGCAAGAAGUACAAUGGAUUUAAUGGAAAUCAUGGUUUUAUUUUUAUCCCUAAGGCUCUUGAUCGUGGUGCUGCAAUGUUGAAAGUAGACAAGCUUGCUACUGGACAUAAUGCAGAUGAUAUUGCUGAAACUGUACUUUUAAACAUAUUACGAGGUGAUAUUGCCAGGUAAUGCAUUGAUAGGUUAAACUUUCUUUUUCUUUCAGGCUUCUUCUCGCUUUUCUUUCUGGCUGCUGAGUUGAUGCAUUUACUUUGUAGACUGAGUAGGUGCACUUCUAUAAUCACUGGUGAAGAUGGACCAAUUCCAAGAUGCAAGCCUUUUAAGUAUACCUAUGAAAAGGAGAUUGUUAUAUAUCCUUACAGCUUUGUUGUGGUUGAGUUUUUUGUUAUAUGUUAUUCAGAUUAUUAUUUCUUUCUGUAAGCUGCAAAACCUUAACCGGAUUUACACGUAUGCAUAUUUCAAAAGGCUAGACUACUUUUCCACCGAAUGUAAGUGUUCAUUUUCCUUUACUGUUCAAGCUCUUAUCCUAUUACUAGGUUUUAUUCUUCCGCUUUUUCCUUUUGGGGUGGGAGUUGUUUUCUUGUUCAUCUUUUUCUGGGGGUUGGAAUGAUACACUGGAAGGCAGGUUGACGAGCUUGACAAAGAACAUGAACUCUGCAGCUUGAGAAGCUUGAUAUUUCUUUUCUCUGACCUGCAUAUAAUUGGUUUUAGCAAUAUACAACUAGCUGAAUUGGAAUUGAUUAAUUAGUUUCUUCAAUUGGUCUUUUCUUUUUCCAUACAGGGUAUUAGUUGCAAGAAGGUGGCUCUUAGCCUGCUGCACCCUCUUUUAGUUUCCAUUUUCUACUUCUUACAAAUAACUGGCCUUUCUUGUAAAUUUUGGCCAGUUUUUCUUUAUUUCUAGAUAAGCUUACCCUUGGGAUCUGUUGAUGUGGCAGUCUCUAGAUUAUGAACUUAUCAUAGAUAAGUGAUUGGCCUGUUUUAGACCUUUAGUAUUUUGAUCUUUAAAAUUUGUUUUCUUGAUGAAUUGGGUUGUUUUUUUUUCUGGUACACACACACACACACAAAUAUUCAUAAUGUUCUGUUUGCCCUAUCAAGUAAUGAUACGUUUGCACUAUGGGAGUGCCAUGUUAUGCAUUCUAAUUUUGCUUGUCUGUAUCACUCAAUCUUAUUAGAUUUUGUACUGUUGUUUUACAUUUCAGGCAUUUAUUCUCCAAACGCAUAUCGUGGUUUUGCUCGUGAGUUCAUUAAAGAUUUGGAAAGGAUCAGGUUGUUGCCUUUGACACUAUUUCAGCAGUGAUUGGCAUCACAUAGUUCAUGAAAUAAUGCUGUUUUCCUGCUUUUGUAGACUUUCACUUGAUGCUGUCAGCUAUUUUCAUUUUGACACCUUUCCGGUUGGUUCAUUGUAGGCCCAGAGCUAUACUUGACAUCAUCAGAUCAGGUGAAAAGUUUAGGAUAUCCACUUCUGCAAAAAUGCCAGAGCAGGGAACAUGUGAACGGUGUGGUUAUAUUUCUAGCCAGGUCAGUUCUGCUUCCACUUGUGCAAAAUCAUGUAAAAAUUUCUCAUAUUAAAUGCAAGAAUAUUUAUGAUAGAAUUCAUCUAUAUGUGAGGCUCUAUUUGGCUUGAUGACAACUAGACCCCUAUUGUACAUGCCAUAGGCCUAACUAAAUUGGGGGAACCUUAUCCUUCUAUUAAUAUUUAUGAAAGUUCAUUUAUACAAACAGAACUUUCAUAACCAUUCUGUAUGGAUGUUACUUGAUGAGAUAAAAUAGGAUGAAUAAAACUUCCCUCAAUUUUAAAAACUUAAAUAGGCUUUUGAAGUCAUCUAUAUGAAUGUAUGUGGACUGGAGCUUUAAAUGGUAAGCGCCUAAUGGGAGAUAAGAUUCAUGACUCUGGAUCAUCUAGAUAUGAAAAUGACUCGUCAAUAUCUCCCAUAGCAGCCCUAGCGCGUACCCCACCUUUUUCAUCAAUAAUUUCCAGAUUUAUUAGAAAUAUGUCUCAAUAUUUCAUGAUCAAUUGUUGGUCUAGUGGGCCAUCCCCAUCAAUUCAUUUUGAUGGGACAGAAUGAUUAAAGAAGAUACAUGUACCUACCCUUCUGAAUAGUUGGGAUAAGGAUGAUUUGAGCAUUUAAGUUGAAUUAGACACAUUGAUGCAUCUUAAUAUUAUAGAUGGUUUAUAUCUGCAGAAAUGGUGUAAAGCUUGUGUUUUGCUGGAAGGAUUGAACCGCGGUUUGCCAAAGUUGGGUAUUGGGCGGACUCGAGGCCUCAAUAAUGGUCUUGAGUGCGAUACAAAACAAUCCAAUGGAGUGAAGAAUAUCCAGAGCAAACAAUGUGGAACUUUGGAUUUCUGAGUGGCUUUCCUAGGGCAUCAACUUUGGUAGACUCCAAGAUUUGAGUCUCUUUUGAAGCCUGCAAGCGAUAUUAAGUUGAUGCUUUGGGGCACAUGAGAAGUGAUAGUAACUCAAACCAUAUGGCUACUGACGUCUAAUGGACUCUGCAAUGAAUUUCUUAGAUCUUAGAGAUAUGAACCUGGUAGAAAUGAGGAUUCUGAAGCAAUCGGAAGCUUCUUCCUAUUUUGUGCAGUCUAUUUAUUCGUUUGCAUUUUGAUAUCUGAACCUUAAUAUUAUUGAUAUUGAACCCUUGAAUUCUCCAUAAAUAAUUACAGGAUUUUAGCUCACUAUGAACAACAGUAUUAGUUUGGAGAUGGAAGUGCAUGUCAGUCCUCUCCAGUGCUGGAUGGCUCCUCUAUGGACCCUGGUCAAUCUUCAAGUACAUAAGAAGAGUGAGCCUAGCAUCAGGAACUUUCUCCUUCCUAACCCUUACUAUCUUUUUAUUCUUCAACAUUAUAUUUGACAUCAACUUUUUCCGCAAGCUCAACGCCGGGUGUUACAUGUCAACGACUCCCCCCUUCCAGAUCCUGCCCCCGCCCCCACCCUUCCCCUUCUCUCCUCUUCUCGUCCCCCUUAGCUGCUGUUGUUGCUGCCGCUGCUCCACCCCUAGCUGUUGCCAUUGUCAGCCGCUCCGCCCCCAACUGUUGUCCUUACCGCUGCCGCUUCGCCCUCUUUUUCCUGCUUAUAUUAGUCUUUGACUCUUUCACUCCCAUUUUGAGAUUUUUUUUUGCAUUUUUAUUUUUAUUUACUUUAUUAGUUCCCUCCAUUUUCCGGUAAUCUUUCAUCCCAUUUUGAGAUUUUUUUUACAUUUUUAUAUUUUAUUUACUUUAUUAGUUUUUUUUCCAUUAUUAAAAUUGAAAAAAUUAUGAUUUUAUAUAAUUUUUUGAAAAUGUUUCAAUAAUAAAUUUCCAAUUUUAAAAUAAAUUUAUUGUUAUGAAAUAUGGGAUUCUGGUAAUUUGUAGAUUAUCAUUCAUAAAUAUUUUGUGUAAUUUUUUGAGUUUUCCUAUGCAUUUUAUUUUUCUCUUUCUUGCUUUCUCUUUCUCUCACUUUGUUUUACAAUGCGUUAUCAACACGAAUAGUUUCUGAAAAAAAAUAGAAUUUUUUUUCUCUAUUUAGAGAAACAGAAAGACAUUCUUUUCUUUAGAGAAAUAGAAAGACUUUUCUCUUUUUUUUCUAACAAAAAUGUAUGUGAUAAAUUUAUAUAUUUUCUACUUUAUUAAAGGACUCUAUUUUCACUUAUUUUAUUUGAAUGUAUAAAUAUAUUCAGGCCCUAUAACCAGAAGUUAUGAGAUAAAUUAUAAAUUAUGAGGUAAAUUCAUAACCAGAAGUUAUGAAAAAUAUGCGCAAUCCCUAUAAUCAGAAGUUAUGACAAAAAUUAUAAAUACAUGGUCAAAAGUUAUGUAUAUAAUCCCUAAUUAUUUAUUUUUAUUUAUAUAGUAUAACUGGAAGUUAUACCAAACAAUAUUAUAUAACCAGAAACUAUAAAAUGAAUAGUUCAUAGUUUGAAGUUUUGCACAAUAUUAUAUAGUCUGAAGCUACGUACAAAUUUAAAUAUUUUUUUGUUAUGACAAAAUAAUCAUAGCCUGAAGCUAUGAAAUAUAUUAACUUUUAAUUUCUUGAAUUUCUUUUAAUUAUAUUGUGUAACUAGAAGUUAUACAUAAAUAGUUCAUAGUCUAAAACUAUGUACAAAUUUGAAUAUUUUCUUAUUUUGACAAAAUAAUCAUAACUCAAAGUUAUGAGAAAUAUUGGCUUUUAAUUUUUAUUUUGUAUUCACUUAUCUUUCACAACAAGAAUUAUGGAAAACAAUUUUUAUUAACAAUUGUUUUGUGGUCAGAAGUUAUGCAUACAAUUUCUAAUUCUUUUGUAUAACCAGAAAUUAUACAAAACAAAAUUGUUAAUGAACAACUAUGUACUUAGAAGAUACAUUUUUUUUUUGAAUUUUGUUACAUAACCAGAAGUUAUAUAAAUAUUAUUAUUCAUAACUUGAAGUUAUGAAAAUAAGAAAAUUAAUAUUCUUUGUGUUAACCAAAAGUUAUGCCAAAGUUGUUAAUAUUUACUUUCUUAUAGCUAAAAGUUAUAGAUAACAAAAUUGUUAACUAACAAUUUUGUACAACUUUAUGAAAUUUAUAUAACCAAAAGUUAUAAUGAAAUAUAUUAUAGUAUGAAGUUAUAAUAACAAGCAUAUAGAUAAUAUUUACAUAUUAUCAAAAGAUUAAUAUUUUGUAUAUCAAGUUAUACAAAUAGCUAAGUGUUUGAUAGUUUUAUAAAUUUCUAUUAUUAGAAGUUAUAUGAAUUUUUUUUUUUUACAUAUAAAGGUAGAAUUUUGGAUUGCAUGAAAAUUUGAUAUUUUUGUAUUAGAAGUGAUAGUUUGGAAUUUUUUUUUUAUUCUAGUUGUUUAAUACACAAUAAUAUUUUGAUUUAGAAAAUUGAGAUUCUUUGAAUACAUGUGAAAUAUAUGACUUGGUCAUAUAAUUAAUAAAUUUAUUUUGCAUGUCAAUUUUCUUUAAGACAUGUUUUUAUGAUUCAAAAAUUUUGAGUUAUAUAAAAUAAUAUGUAUUAUUGCAUGUUGCCACAUAUGGUAUUUUUAUUAAUGCAAUAAUUUUAUUAUCCAAAAAUAAUUUUGAAAUUACAUAGAUUCAACUAUUGUUCUUAAUAUAUUAUGUUAUAUCUUUACAUAUAUAUUUAGAUGAAUUUAUAGUACUUCAAUUAAAGUUUUGAAACAACAAGAUGCUUCAAAUCAUGAUAUAUUAUCUUGAAAUUUUGAUUUAUGAAUUAAUUUUUCACUUUAAUUUAUAUCAUAAUAAUAUUUUGAAUAAAAUUAUUGAUAUAUCACUACAAUUAGUUUGAUUAUUGAAAUACUUUAUUGCUAUUUCAUGUAUAAAUUGCUCAACUCUUACAAAAUCAAAUGUGUGAGAUUAUUUAAGAAAUAUAUAACUUUAAAUUUUCUUUUCAUAUUUGUUUUAUUGUGUUAUAUAUGCUCUCGUUGCUUUUACACAAGUUAUUAAGUCAUCAUCAAUGACUAAUAUUUUUUCAUUGAUUUUAACUCUUUCUCCAUGAUAAUAUUUCUUCAACUCUAUAAAGACGAGGUCUUUAUGACAAUGUUUUAUGACUUGUUACUUUGAUGAAACUUUUGUCUCAUUAAUUGCACAACAUUGAUAAUAGACAAUGUUAAUACUAUAUCAGGUGAUAGAAACUUGAUUAAAAGCUUCAAAAGAGCUUAUACCAUGUCACUAGUAGUAUUUCAUUCCAUGUAAAUGACACUUUAUACGAUGCUGGAUCCAGAAGAAUCUUGUAAGACGAAUUUGGUCCCCCGGGAUAAAAGGUCAUGUGGAUGUAUAUUAUAAAACCAAAAGUUUUUAUUUAGUAACUAGUCUACCCAUACACUUAAAAGGUAGAAUGACAUGUUGUGCGGAUUAUCAUUUUAAUGAGACAAUUUUCUCAUUGUUAGAGAGAGAAGAACCAAUUCCAGAGGAACGAUGUGAAAUUAUUUGGAAUGCAUUAACUUUGACUUAUCUUGAUCCUCGUACCAAUCGAUGUGAACUGAAAGUUUAAAAGACUAUUUAUUUGCAAAAUCUUGCAAAUCAAUUACCAGAUGCAUUCAUUGAUACAAAGAAAGUGACAAAAUCAUAUGCUGACUACAAAUACUCCAACACGGAUUGAUGUCUCUGUAGGACAGUUAACAAAUGAAUCUAAGAUACGCCUGAAGCGUGGUAGACCUGUCGGCUCAAAUGAUGUAACUCCCCAUAAGAGAAUAACCCAAGAAAAACUUGACACUCUAAAAGAGGUCACUAAAAUGAUUGAUCAGUUUAAAAUUGAUAAAUCUAUAGCCCUAAAAGAGACGCAAAUAAUGCAGAAAGCCCUUGAAGAGGCACAGAUACCUGAAAAUUGUGAGAUCUCAGUAAGUUAUGUAUACACAAGAGAAAAAUGAGAUCGAAAUAAUAUUAUUAUUAACAAUAUUUUUGUUUUCCAAGUGGCCUCCGAUAUCAUAAGAAAUGAUGAAAAUCCUGAACCAUGAAAUGUAAAAGAAUGUCGACAUAGAAAUGAUUGACAAAAAUGGAAAGAAGCUAUGCAUGCAGAGUUAAACUUAUUAACAAAACGAGAAGUUUUUGGACCUAUAGUCCAAACACCUGAAGAUGUAAAGCCUGUUGGGUAUAAAUGGGUAUUUAUACGAAAACAUAGUGAAAAUAAUGAGAUCAUAAGAUAUAAAGUGUGAUUAAUAAGCACAAGGUUUCUCACAGAGACCUGGUAUUGACUACGAGGAAACAUGUUCUCCUGUCAUGGAGGCAAUCACAUUUCGUUUCUUAAUUAGUUUGGUAGUCUCAGAAAGACUAGAUAUGCAUCUCAUGGAUGUUAUUACAACAUAUUUAUACGGAUCCAUGAAUAAUGAUAAACACAUGAAAAUCCCUGAAGGAUUUAAAUUGCCUGAAGCAAAUUGUACAAAGCCUUGUAGCAUGUACUCAAUCAAGUUACAAUGAUUCUUGUAUGAAUUAAAGCAAUCUGGACGCAUGUAGUACAAUCGCCUUAGUGAAUACUUGCUACAAUAAGAGUAUAUGAAUAACCCUAUAUGCCCAUGCAUCUUCAUUAAAAAAUCUGAAACCGGAUUUGCAAUUAUUGCAGUGUAUGUUGAUGACUUAAAUCUUGUUGGAACUUCUGAAAAACUCACAAGAACAACAAAUUACUUAAAAAUGAAUUUGAGAUGAAAGAUAUUGGAAAAACAAAAUUUUGUCUUGGCUUGUAGAUCAAACAUUUUCCAAAUGGAGUUUUAGUACAUCAAUCAACAUACAUUAAGAAAGUUUGGAAGCGUUUUUAUAUGGAUAAAUCACAUCCAUUAAAUUCUCUAAUGAUAGUUCAUUCACUUGAAGUGAAAAAAGACCUUUUCGGUCCUAAAGAAGAUAAUGAAAAACUACUUGGUUUAGAAAUACCAUAUUACAAUAUUAUUGGUGCACCAUUGAAUCUUGCAAAUUAUACACGACCAGAUAUUGUAUUCCUUGUUAAUUUACUUGUGAGAUAUAGUUCUACACCAACUCAGAGACAUUAGAAUAAAGUCAAUCAUGUACUACAAUAAUAUGGGUCUAUGUUAUUCUGAAGGAUCAGAAUCUUAAUUGCUUGAAUAUGUAGAUGCUAACUAUUUCAGACCCCCACAAAUCUCGAUCUCAAAUGAGAUAUGUAUUUAUAUAUGGUGGUAUGACAAUAUCAUGGAAAUCAAUCAAACAAAUAACAAAAACAUGAUAACUACCCUCCAUCAGAGGUAAUGCUACUAAGUUAAUAAUGUAGCACGCAUUGCAUAGAUUAAAAAAUGAUACAUUAAGGGUGAUAAAAUUAAGCAUAUAUCGCCCAAGUCUUUUACUUUUAUUAACUCUAGAAGAGUGAUGAAAUUGCUAUUCGAUGAAUAAGAUCAAGUGACAAUUUAGUAGAUCUAUUCACAAAGGCAUUGUCAAAUGCAUUACUCAAGAAGCUCAUUAGAAUACGCCGACUCAAAGAUCUCCAUGUUGUGCUACUAGAGAAAAUACAAUCAUGUCAAUAUGAGGGGAAACUAAUUGAUAAGAAUAUCACUAUACUGCACUUUUUUUUUCCUUUGUCUAGGUUUUGUCUCAUUGGGUUUUACUGAGAAUGUUUUUAACGAGGUAGUUGUAGUAAUCCAAAAGAAUAUUGUACUUUUUUUUUUUCUUUCACUAGGGUUUUUCCCAUAGGGUUUUUCCUAAUAAGGUUUGAAUGAGACAUUUUUUUUAUCAUCCACGGGGGAGUGUUAUAAAAUAUGAGAUCUUGUACCACUAUGGUAACUUAUGGAUGAUUAUCCAAAAAUAUUUUGUGUAACUCCCUAUAAAAUGGAAGGACCCCUAAUGAAAUUCGAUUGAGUUUUCUCAUACAUUCUGUUGUCUCUUUUUUGCUUUCUCUUUCUCUCACUUUGUUUUACAUUAAAACUAAUUUUAUGAUUUUUGAAAUAAAAUUUUAAUUUUUAAAUAAUAUAUAUAUAUAUAUAUAUUUAAUUAUUUUAAAUUUUAAUAAUAUAUAAAUUAUAUAUUUAUAACAUUAAAUUAUGGUUCAACCGUCGGUCCACCAAGUUCACGGUUUUUGAAAACAUUGAUAUUUGUUAUAGAAUUCUAUUUUCUCAUUUCAUAUUAACAUAUGUUAGUUUUUCCUCACUCAAUCUCCUAAUGUUUGCUGAUAUAGAAAGAUAAUUUAAUGGAUGGUAUGACAACGAUGCAUCCUUUUGUUCCCCUUUGUGUAUUGCUUUUCUAUAUUUUAAACAAACCUUACCAAUUCCAAAUCUUGCUCUUGGUAUAUAAUAGGAUUUAUGGUAUUCUCUGAUUAAUUACAUAUGUUUGUAUAUUGAGAUGCCAUCUCCUAUGGAAGUUACAAUCAUCUCCAGAGAAACCAUUAAGCCUUCUUCACCAACACCCCAUCACCUCAGGGCCUUCAAGCUCUCCCUCUUGGAUCAGCUCGUUCCUUGUUGCUACACCCAAGUCCUCCUUUUCUAUCUCAUCGACGGCUUCCAUGGCCAAUCAAUCGAAACCUCCCAUAUCUCAACUAGGUUGAAGGAUUCUCUAUCUGAAACCCUAACUCACUUCUACCCUCUAGCUGGAAGCAUCGGUGAUGAUGAACUUCAGAUUGACUGUAAUGAUGAGGGUGUGCCUUACUUUGAAGCUAGAGUUGACUGCAACCUCUCAGAGUUUCUCCAAGAACCUGAGCUUGAGUUAUUAAAUCAAUUUUUUCCUUGUGAUCCUCUUAAUACUCCUCCAAUGGCUAAGCUUCAUCUAGCUAUGAUCCAAGUUAACAUCUUUAAUCGUGGGGGAAUCGCCAUUGGUGUGUGCCUUUCUCAUAAGAUUGCCGAUGGGGUCUCCAUCAGUGCUUUUCUCAAAGCUUGGGCCGCAAUCGCUCGGGGCUGUUUUGAGGAGUACCCCAGUUUUGAAGCAAAAUCACUCUUCCCACAAAAUGAAUCACUCCCACAAGACUACUCCAUGGUUCUAGGAAAAUGCUUGAUCAGAACAGGCAAAUGUGUUACCAAGAGGGUUGUGUUUGAUGCAUCUGCCAUAGCCGCCCUUAAAGCCAAAGCCUCUGUAGACUGCACCCGAGUCGAGGUGGUGUCCGCCUUCAUAUGGAAGCGUGCCAUGGCCGCUGCCAAGCAAAAACUUGGAUUCCAAAGGUCUUCCAUACUCACCCACGCAGUGAACUUGAGGAAAAAAACCAUCCUAUCGUUGCCAGAAUCCUCCAUGGGAAACCUCUUCUGGAUAGCAAUCACAGAAGGCAGGGUUGAUGAUGAAGCUGAACUGGACCUCUUGGUUGAUAAAACAAGAAAGGCUAUAUCAAAAAUCAGCUGCGAUUUUGCGAAGAAGCUACAGGGUGAAGAAGGCUUUGCAGUGGCUUUUGAACAUGUUAAAGAGGUAAAAGCAGCGUUUGAGGAAGAUGGAGUGGACUUCUAUGGGUUCAGCAGUUGGUGCAAAUUUGAAGUGUAUGAGGGUGAUUUUGGAUGGGGAAGGCCUAUAUGGGUGAGUAGUUUCAGUGGAAAAGGAUCAGUGUACAAGAAUUUGAUUUUUUUCAUGGACACUAGAUGUGGAAAUGGGAUUGAAGAAUGGGUGACUUUGGAUGAAGAGGAGUUGGGGAUUUUGGAAUGUGAUCCUGAGUUUCUUUCAUUUGGGUCCAUGGAUCCCAGUCCUUUGAAGUUGGCUCAUUUUGGGCAAGUUUGAUGGAGAUUCUUCGUCUUCAUUUCUUUGGGAUUUCCAAUAGACUCAUAAAUCCCUACUUUUGUUAAAAAUAAUGAGUCAAUAUUUCCGAUUUGUUUAAUGUAUAUUUAAGAAUAUCCUAUUAAUCAUAAAUUAUUUUCCUUUUUUUUUUCAUAUCACCUUGUUUGUAAAAAAAAAAAAAAAAAUCUAAUUUAAAUGAAUUAGAAAUUAUAUAUUUAAUACGGCUUAAAAUAAUAUUAAUUUGUAUAAUUCAAUAUAAAAUUGUACAAAAAUGUUUUUAUUCCAUAAGAAAUUAUAUCUUAGGAUCAUAUCCUAUAAAAAUUAAUAUAUAUUUUUUAUCCUAUCCAAUUGAAAAAAACUUAGAAUUCGUUUUAUAAUGAUUUUAAAAAGCGUUUUUAAUAUUUUUAAUACUUGAAAAUUUUUAUCAUUCAAGCAUUAAAAAUAUUAAAAAAGUUUUCUAAAAUCACUUUUAAACGCGCUCUUGAUACUGCUGAUCCAGUCUGAAACAAUUACUUUUGCAAGCUUUUUUUUUUUUUUUUUCCCCAAAAACAGAAAAUGAUAAUCAUCCAUAAGAAGUAGCAUUUAUCUCCUAGGCCCAAUCUGGCACUCAAAUCGAAUGACCCAACUGAAAGGCCCACUUUGAAAAAGAUUUAAUGGGGCUGACCAACACAAAACCUCGUAAGCCCAUUACAAAUCAGGCCAUUGUACCAUUCUCACACACUGUUUCACUAGCACCAAUGGCUUCUUCUUCUUCUUCGAGCUCUGCCUCAAACUUCCAAAACCCUAACAAGAAGAAGACGCUAGGGUUAAUUGCUAAUGCAUUGAAACGUAAAGACAGCUUCAUACAGUUCUUCGCCAUGUCUGGAAUCUUUCUCCUCAGCCUCAGAUCCCUCGGUCAGAAGUACCGCCUCAAUGAUCUUCAAGAAGAUACUGCCUCUCUCAAAGAGGAACAGAAAGGGCUCCAUGAUCGCAUGAAUCACAUCAAGCGCAGCCUCCUUCACGAAGCUUCUCUUGACUCCACCGGCCUCUUCGCUUCCCGGCUUCGCCUUCUCUUCGGUGACGACCAGUGAAUCUGGUGAAUUUUGUAUUGCUUACGCUGUUUCUACUGUUCUGAAUAAAUCUUCUUUUGGUUUUUGUUUUUACAAGAAAGUUUACUGAGAAAACUAGAGUUUUUUUUUUAGUUUUCUACAGGAAUUUAUGUGGUUUUAGGAGAAAACUAGGGAUUCUGUGACCUUUAUUGGAUGCUGUCAUCUAUAGUAUUAAAUGAGAAAAUUCGGGGCUUCUGUUAAUGUGUUCUCUGCUAAGGAAUUUUUAACCCAGUUUAGAAGGUUGAAUGCUUUCUCUACACGGGUUCUGAUUUGCUCUUCUAUUUGGUCUUUAUGAGGAGUUUUGGGUUUUAUAUGUUUCAGGUUCUUGGAUUACAAUUUUCAUGUAAAAUUUUUGUUGUUUGAUUCUGGUGACUUCUGAAGCGUUGGACAUAAUUUUUUCUGAUAACAAUAUUGACAAAAUUGAAAAGGAUGAAUAAAUUGAUUGUUUGAGGGAUACAUCUUUCCCCGGUGAAUCUAGGGCUUCUAAUUUUCUCGGAAUUUUGAUCUUUAUAGAGAUUUAGACUCCAUUUGGCAGUUAUAGUAACAAUAUUGACAAAAGAACACUUAGAAAUUUUUUAUUUUUUAUCAAAAGCUAGAAAGGGUAGAAACGUUAUCUAGAAUCCCUAACAACAAGCUCUUAAUUUUUAUAUUUUUUUGUAUGGUUUUUGAAGUUUGAUUUAACUAGAGUAUGCUUGUUGUGCUUAACUCUAUGAAUAGUGUUUUAGUUGUUUCACGAUUUGACAUAUAGAAUGAAUAUAUGCUGUUGAUAUUGUUCUUGGGAGAUGAACUUGUGGUUUCUGUUCUUUGUUUUUAUUUUUUUAUUUUUUAUUUUUGUGUGGAUUGCAUGUAAACAUUGUUGGAUAUGUUUUGGUUCUAAAAUAGACAGAGUUGCUAACUGCUAGUGUUUCUCUCCUUUCCCUCCAUUCAUUAUCAGGUACCAAAACUAAUUCACUUUACUAAUAAAAGCUCAAAAUAUUUUCCUUCUCUGAUUGUUUUGAUUUCUUCGCUUUUUCUUUCAACUAAAUUGUUGUGAGGUAUGUUGCACUGUGAGUAGCAUGAGAAAAUCACCAUCUUAAAAUUAACGCCUUAUGCUUAUCACAGGCACAACACUGAAGAAUACCCAUACAAAGUUGUGAAUCUUGAGACACUUUGAUGAAUAAUAUCUUUCAUUAUCUAUCAAGAUUUUGAAGUCUUGUUUCACCAUAAAUGUACUGACGAAAGGAAUUUUGUUAAUUUUUGCCCUUGAGGCCUGGCUCAAGUGCGAAGCAGUUGGGAUGGGGGAAGUUCCAGAUUUGAGCCCCAGUGGGAAAAGAAAUGAAAAGAAAAUGUUUACCUAUUAAAACAAAAAUGAAUUUAGUUAGAUUUUUCAGGAUUUUUCUUAAUGUCAGUUAAGAGUUUCUUGUGAGCCAUUCUACCAAUGAAUAUAAACAAACGUAGGGUUAUUUUUUAUGAUUGUUUUUCUUGUUUAUGAAUACAUCAAAUUCAAGUUUAUGACAAAAUCAAGUUCUAAUGCACAUAUUUGCACUACCUAUUUCAUGGACUCUUUUCUUAGCAGGGCAUCUUGUUAUAGGACUAGGAAAAUGUUUAACUAAAGUUUACAGAAACUUUCUUGUAGUGAACAUGGGUUUCCUUAUACUUUGUUAUACUAAUCAACAUUAAGAUUUGGUGCAUUUUGGUAAGAUGCGAUUUUCUUUUUUGACUUGGUGUCUGAUCAGGUUUCACUUUAUAAUACUCCCUUUCAUGUUUCAAUUUUCUUCAAGAUGUUUUGGACUGUCAAACUUUCCUAUCAUUUUCCUGUGUCUGGUUUCUAUGACGGAUAUUUUCACAUUUUCAUUUCCCAUCCUGGUAAAUACCCUCUCCUUGUUCCAUGGCUGUCUCCAGAGCCAAGAUCGGGUUAUUUAUAGCAUGUGCAAUGUGCUGGAAAGAAUUUUAAAAAAUUUAUUUGACGUUUGUUUGACACAGGUUUAUUAGCAAGUGUGAUAUGCUGGAAAGAAUUUAAAAAUUUAUUCGAUGAUUGGUUGACACGAGUUCAUUGCCCCCAAUUUGAUGAUUUGGAUUGCCCCCUAUUUGAUGAUUUGGAUCGCCUCCUAUUUGUUGAUUAUGAUAGUAACCCUAGUGACCUUUUUUGGUCGGAUCCUGCUUAAACUGGCAAAUGGAGGCUGCAUUCAAACCAAAUUUAUUUCCUCUUUCCUUAAAAGACUUUCUUCAUAUUUGAAGUUGAAAGCUAGCUUAUUUAUAUGUGUCCAUGCUUUUUGGUCGUGGACCUAUGCUUUUAUCGCUCUCCAUGGUGAUGGCAUUGAAAGUCUACUUUUACCCAAAAUAACCAAUGCGAAAAACAACUUCAUAGUAUGUGUAUAGGCAUAUAGAAGGUGGAUUUUUUUUACUUCCUAUUAUCCCUUCUUAUUUCAACAUGUGUAUCCCACUUAAAGAGAUAUCAAAGCCACUCACAGGUACCCUCAUGUUUUACAUCCAAUGCUCACUUCAUCUUCUAGCUUCAAAGUAGAGUUCAACAAGUGAAAGGGGGUGAUUAGUGAUUAUCCAGCGGGUCAUCCACUCCAGAAGGAAAACUUUGAGAGACUUUAUUAGACCGAGUGACAAACUUCAAAAAUUUCACUAAACUUCUUAUAUUCUUGUUGCUAAUCAGACAAAAGUAUUCGGUUAUUGGGGAAAAAUCAAUAUACUUCUAAUGUCAAAUCAGGAUCAACUAGGAUAGAAAUAAAGCAUUGGGUCGAACUCUUCUUUGGUGUCAAGGUAAUAACUAUGAAUAGUCAUCGACUCCCGGGAAAGGGUAGAAGAAUGGGACCUAUUAUGGGACAUACAAUGCAUUACAGACGUAUGAUCAUUACGUUUCAAUCGGGUUAUUCUAUUCCACCUCUUAGAAAAGAACUUAAAUCAGCUUUGUAAUUGUUUAUUUAUCCAUAUUUGGUUUUUCUUCUUUCAUUUUUCCUCUUGUUCUUUAAUUUUGGCGUUUUUUAUAGUUCCAAGUUAUCUGAUAUUCUGAAUUACGCCAGUAAUUAAAAAUAAAAUAUAAAAUCCUCCCUUCACUGUUUGCAAUAUAUAUGUAUAUAAUUUCAAGUCUCAAGUCUGAGAUGAAUGAUAUAGGACCAGAACAUUGGAAAUUGAACUUCCGUGUUGAACAUGGUUCUUAAAAUUUAGCUAAAUGCUUGUGAAUAUCUGGUAAAAAUACCCCGAACUUGAGUUGGAUCAAUAUUUGGGGUGGAUAGAUUUUGAACAUUUAACUCUACGGUAGAUUCUCCAAAUUCAGACAGAAAACAUUGUUCUUUUGUCUCAAAUCUAGACCAUGCCGCAUUCCUAAAUCCAUGAUUUCAAACUUUGAAUAAACACACUCUAGCUUUUUGUCGGCGGGUCACAAGGAAUCUGCAUGUACAAAAACAAAACAGCUGGUUAGGAUUGAGAAAUGAGGUUAAAACCUUGGAUAACUUUUACCAGAUAGGACGGUCACAUUACCAGUAACUCUCCAAAGUUCACACUUUUACUUGACAUGCCUACCAUACUGUGUGUUCAUGCUUGAUUGAAGAUGAUGAAAGUAGAUUGAUGUGGAUGUCUACACUCUCGUAUCAUGCGUGUGUGUGAUUCUGAUUUGUUUAGGUGUAACAGUGCCCACCGAUUGCGCUUGUUGGGUCCCAUUCACCCUCCACUUUGUUCAUUGUUAGCUCUUUCCUCCUAACACCACGACACAUAAUAUCAUGCGCCUUGUUUGGUUUCGAGGUUGCAUAUUUCAAAUUCAAUUUUAUAGCGCUAUCAUUAUUAUUAUUAUUAUUAUUAUGGGCGGGGAAACUCUUGGAUUUGCCUUUUGGUUUAAUGGCCCUAUAAUUUAAAGAUUAGUGAAUUAAGAUUUUAAAUUUAGUGAUAUGAGUGUGUUUUAUUUCUAUUUUUUUGGCGCAAUGAUUGCACAUGGGGCUGCCCACGCGUUUAUCCAGUUGGGGUACACUCAUUGUGUUGCCUAAACCUCAUGAUUGAGUUAAGCCGAUUUGUUUUUGUUUCUCUUCUUUUCUAAUAAAGAGUAUUGGCCAUGUAACAAAUAUGAUCACAUAUUUUCUUAGCCUGGAAAUUAUUUUACUUUUGAAAGAAAAAUCCAUUUCAGCUUCACCUUUAUUCCUUUAAUGGUUAAAUAAUUGGAAGCAGCAUUAGACACUUGGUUUCUAGUUAUUUCCAUUUAGUUAAAAAAAAAAAAAAACUUCAACUCAACACUUCAUGUUUGAAGUAAAGUUAAAGCAAAGUUAAAAGUGGUAAUAAUUCCAUCAAUAUAUAAACAAAUCUAAAUGGGUCUGUGGGACCCUUGUUAUAUAGUUGUGAUUGAUGAAGUCUUUAGUCCUUCAUUAUUAUGUUUGGUUUAUGCUUUUACUUUAGUUUGUGUAGGUGAAAUUGCUGGAUAAACGUGGCUGACCAAAACGAAAGUCUAUGUUUGACCUCCUAAUUCUAUAUAAGUGCUGAAUUGGAUACAUAUAUACUCAUACUAUCUCAUUCACACCCACCAUCGCUUUAUCUUCAUUCUUCUACUUUAAAUCAUUUCCCCCCCUUCAAAACUAUAUAAUGGUCAAAAGUUGAGGCUCGUCACUCCACCGGGCUAUAUAUACGUAUGAGCUUGACCAUGUGUUUAGCCUUCAUUGAUGUGACAAAAGGGGUUUAUAGAAAAAUGUUUUUCCCAAAAUUAUAGGAAAAAAUGGGAAUUUGUUAUUUAUAUGAAAUCUUGUUUUGAAAAGUAAAUACGUGGUGAAAUGUUUCAAAAAAAAUACCCAAGGGGAGGAAGAAGCCAUGCACGUGGGAGACUAAAAGUUGGAACAGGAACAGGAACAGAAGCUCCAAACAUGAUAUUGGAUUAUUCCAAAGAAAAAAAGUAAGGAAAAGGCAGGAAUGAGGGUCCCUUCGUCUUCACUCGCCACAUGCAGAUUUGGAGGAAAAAAUAAACAUGAGCAUGUGAGAAUCAGACACGGUAACAAUAGCCCGUCAUGCCCCUUGGACCCCACCACCGACACCCACUUCUCCAAUUCUCCUCCCCUUUCCUUCCCUUUUUCUCCUUAUUUUCCCUCCAUUUCCCUCUCACUAUCUUCCUCUGUACCGCACUUUAAAUAUACACCAUCCGUCCUCAUUCACUACCCUUCUUUCUCCUUUAAAAUCCUCUCCCACUUGCAACUCCCCACCAUCACCAUCGCUCAAGAAAUGGCCCUGAAUUCUUUCCGGGCCUUUCUAUCUAUCUUUUCUCUCCUCUUCACCAUUGUCGCCGCUGAAGAUCCCUACAGAUUCUUCACCUGGAAUGUCACAUUCGGCGACAUUUAUCCUCUUGGUGUUCGUCAACAGGUCUGUUAUCUAAAUUUGCUUCUUUUUUUGCGUAAGAAUCAGCUGGAUUGAUGGUACAUUUACCUAGAUUCUGUUGAUCUUGUUCCUGAUUCACAUCAAAACCAACAAGUUCAUGGCUGAUCUGUUGUAGGGAAUCUUGAUCAAUGGCCAAUUCCCAGGUCCUGAUAUCUACUCCGUUACCAACGAUAAUCUCAUUAUCAACGUCUACAACAGCUUGACUGAGCCUUUUCUACUCUCCUGGUAAGCUUUCUUUUUCCCCUUUUCACCCUGCCUAAGUUAUCGGAAAAAUGCUGUGGCCAGUUGCCGGACUACUCCUAGUCUUCCCGCCUAAAAGCGCGUGGAAGCAAUAAAAACAAUGAUCUGGCCACAGCUAUUCCCAAUUUUCCUAGAAUGAAGAAUCUUCAGAUUUCUGAUUCUGAGAAUGACUGGUUGCUUUAGUACUUCUCUGGUUUUUUUCUCGGCAAAUGUGAAUACUACUCUUAACAUUUCCAUGUGCCGAACCUUGUUUCACAUCCACCUAAUGUGAUGUGUUUGGUUCUUUUCUCGUUAAAUUCUGUACCCAAUCUUCACAUGAAUAUACAAUAGGAUAAAUAAAAAUCGGCUAAUCUAGAUUUACUGUAAGGCGUUUUUUCAACUUUUUGAUUAGUUUUUGACACAUUAGCCUGGUGUUUGUUCUUGUUCACAGUCAAGCCACCAUUGAUGACUAAUAAGUAAAUAGCCAUUCUGUAUAAAGAAAAAGAAAGCAACUUCUAACAGCGAUUGAUAAUGGCAAUGUAUAAGAAACACACAUUAAAUGGCUUGUGGAGCUUACCCUUUUUUUUUUCUCUUUUUAUUCUUUCAAGAUGUAUGGCUAGAAUCCUAAAUAUUUGUGAAAAGGAAUUUACUUUAUUAAGGCAGAGGAUUAGCAAUUAGUGGGUCCGUUUACUGAUUUAGUUAAACCCCUACUUAGAAAUUUAGUUGAACUCUGCAUCAUCAUACUUUUGCCAUUCAACUAACGAAAAUAUUCGACAUCAUUAGUUUCUCUUGUAUAUGCCACCUCAUUUAACUCACUAACUCAGUGAGUUAAUAGAUGAAGUUCUUUACAAUAUAUAUAUAUUUUGGAAAGAUUGGAUCAUCUUAUUUAUGUUAAAUAAGAGAGAAAUG
rnacentral:lncRNA from 1 species